rnacentral:lncRNA from 1 species
AGUCCAAUCCUUUAUAUCUUUGCUUUCUUUGUAUGAACCAUCAAUGCUUUCAUACCUCCAUUGCCAAAGUUUAUCUCUAAUUUUUUUUUAUUUUUUUUUAAGUGUAUCAUAUCAUCUUUUAAAAAAAUGAUCCUUUUACAUAACAUCUUUGUAAAAUCUUUACAUUCCCUUCUUAAAUGAUCCAUGCUAUUACACCACAUGCACCUAUGUAUUAUACCUUCCAUUGAUUCUAACCUUUGUUUUGUUGAUACUCUUCAUGAUUGAUUCUUCUCUUCAAAUGUUGUAAAUUUUAUUUGCAAAUCUCUCAUCCCUCAUAUAAUUUUAUCAAUGUCAAUUUCUUCUUUCUUUAAUGUAGUCAUUGAAGGUUGAAUCAUAGAUGUAAGAUUGGUAGUAGGCAUUUUUACUUGACAUACUUGCAAUAGUCUUUGAACAUCCACCGUGUCCUUUCUCUUUUCUCUUUUUGUAAGCAAUCUUAUUACCUCUUCUACUUCCUUCUAAUUUUUUGUCAAUCCUUCAUCUUCUUCUUUAUCUUUAAGCAAGAUUUCUAAUUUUUCUUACAACUCUCUAUCAAUCACUUGAAAAAAAAGCUCUAAUUUACUUAGAUCCAAUUAUUGCCUCUCUUUUUUUGAUAAAUGAGAAUAUUUCUUUUUAAACUCUUUUAAUAAUUUUGUUAUUAGAAGAUCAUUCUUUGGCCUUUCAAUCCAUUCAAAAAAUGACUUCUUUGUAAACUUGUCACUAUCUUCUAAGAAAAAAUGACUUCUUUGUAAACUUGUCACUAUCUUCAAUGCUUGAGAAAAUUUCUUCAAUGAAUCUCCAAAAUGUCUUAUAAGAGACUUUACUUGAUUUCUUAUCAAUAUAGAUGAUCUUCUUAAUCAAUUUCAAGGUGAGACCAUCUUUAGCAAAUUGGAUCUUCAGAGCGGAUAUUGGCAGAUAUCUAUUGCAAGAGAGGAUAUUAAAAAGAUAGCAUUUUUGUACAUACUAUGGAUAUUUCAAAUGGCUUUUUUUACCUUUUGGCCUCACUAAUACUCCAGUCUCUUUUAUGGAUCACAUGAACAAAUUUUUUUAGGACUUUUUGGACAAGUAUGUAGUUGUCUUCAUUGAUGAUAUCCUUAUAUAUAAUAAAAUCCUUAAAGAGCAUGAGCAACACCUACGAGAAGUGCUGAGCUGGUUACAAGAUAGUCACUUCUAUUGCAAACAAUCAAAAUGUGAACUUUGGAAGUUAAAAGUCACAUUUUUGGAGCAUGUGAUGUCUUCCAAAGGCAUGCACAUGGAGUAAGAUAAAGUGUAGGCAGUGGAGAAUUGACCAACCUUCAAAUAAGCUUCUAAAGUCUGCUUAUUUUUAUGCCUUGCUAGAUAUUAUCGCAAUUUUGUUCAAUGAUUUGCACACAUUGCUACCUCAUUGGCAAAUCUAUUGGAAAAAGAUGUCCCAUUUGAAUGGAAACUGGAGCAACAAAGCGCCUUUGAUAGGUUGAAGGAAGUACUCAUUACUGCUCUAAUAUUGUAACCAUAUAAUUCCAACUUUCCUUAUACACUUGACAUUGAUGCUAUUGACUUUGUUAAUGGAAUGGUCCUUCAAUAAGACUUUGGUAGGGGCCUUCAAUUUGUAGCAUAUGCAUCAUGCAAGCUUAAAAGGCGAGAGCACAAUUACUAUGCACGAAAUUGAGAGCAAUUAGCAAUUGUACAUGCUACAAAGGUGUGGCAACACUAUUUAUUGGAGAAGCCAAUGGUUGUUUGGACAUCAAUCCUUGCUACAUGAUUUACAUUUGAAAAAUAUGAAAUCAUGACAUCAUUGUUAAGAAGAAAAAUUACAACUUUUUAAUAUUCAGCUUGAGUAUAAGAAAAGGUGACAACAUAUUGUACUAGAUAGCUUAUUGCGGAGACCAGACUUGAAGGCCAAAUUGAGAAAUAAGAUAGAAGUUGCUAUCAUUAGUAGUGUCAUUUCAAACCUAACCAAAGAGGUAAAAUGGAAAAAAGCUACAUAUCAAGAUGCUUAUUUCAAGAUGGUUAGCGAUCAAUUGAAGGUAGGAAAUACAUGAUAUCAAGAUUACAUUCUUAGUGAUGGCUUGCUCUAUUUCAAAAAGCAAAUUUAUAUGCUUGAUAGUGCUAUAUUCUGGAUGUGCAUACUUCAAGAGAGAUAUGACAUUCCAAUAUUUAGACAUCUAAGGCAAGAGAAGACUUUAGAACAAAUCUUAAGGAUAUACUUUUGGACAAAUUUGGAUCAUAAUGUUCGAGCUUUUAUGGACUCGUAUAAAUCGUGCUAACAUAACAAAGCAGACAACACAGCGUCUUCUGAAUUAUUGCAGCCAAUUCUACUAUUUAUUAUACAUUGGAAGUAAGAUACUAUGGAUCUCAUUAUGUAUUUGUCAUAGAUGCCUCAUAAUCAUACUACAAUUGAUGUCUUUGUGGAUCGACUCUCAAAGCAACUUCACUUAGCUAUGGUGUACUUGGAUAUUGAUGCCUUAGCACUUAUAUGGAUCUUCUUUAAUAUUGUCUUUCGUUACCAUGGAUUACUUUGUGUGAUCAUUUCAGAUUAGAAUCCAUACUUCAUAAAAAGCUUUUGGCAAACUUUGUUCAAGCUACUAGAUACACUACUUACCAAGUCUAUAGUCUUCUAUCUCCAAACAAAUAAAAAUAAAAAAUAAAAAUGUACAAAUUGGACUUUAGAGCAUAUGCUACGUUUGUUUAUAAUAAUUCAUCAUAAUAUCUGGAAUGAAUACUUGAUGCUCUUGAAGUUUGCUUAUAAUGAUAGUAUUCAAUCAAGUACUGAUCAUUCAUCAUUUUUUUGUAACAGUGAUUAGCAUCCAAUUAUGCCAACUUUUCAUCAUUCUAUAGACACCAAUAAUUGAACAAUGGAAGAGUUUAUACAAUGGCUUAUAACGGCCUUACAACACGCAUGACACUGCCUCUUUAUUAAAUAGAAUUGAGAAAAGCAAUAUGCAAAUAGUCAUCGACAAUAUAAGACCUUUUGAAUAGGUGAUCAAAUGUUACUCUCUAAUAUCAACUUGUAAUUUGCAACAUCAACCCAAAUCUAUAAACUAACACCUGAGUGGCUUGGACCUUUCAACAUUUCUACAAUGAUUUUUGAUAUCACAUACCACCUCGAGCUUCCGCUACAUAUUCAAGUCCAUCUAGUCUUCAAUGUUUUGCAACUAAAAGAAUUUCAUAUCAAGCCAAAGAGCUUUCUAGAUUGAUACCAACUACAACCACCACCAGUUGUAAUUGAUUACCAAUAAGAAUAUGAAGUAGACAACAUUUUUGAGCAUCGCGACCUUCACCAUGGUAGUAGACAUCCACAACUUCAGUAAAAAAUUCUUUGGAAAAGUUAUCCCAUCUAUGAUGCAAUAUGAAAACCUGCACAAAAUCUCAUUCAUUACCAUGGGAUGAUUUGGAAAUACCAUUGGGAGCGAAAUAAGGAUGUUCUACAUUAGUAGAGAGGGAUUAAUUGUAACGGGAUAUAGAUAAGAUAUUUGUAUUGUUGACACAUAGCAAUAGAUAGUUGGAACCAUACUGGAGAAGUUAUGGAAGUUUCUAGAAUUAUGGCUAGGUUAGUGGAUUAUGUAUGACUCACUCUAGAUCAUUUAAAAAAAGUUUAGGGUGGUUAUUUAGGUAGGAUCCACCACAGAACCUUCUAAAAGGAAUUUAAGGUGGUUAUCUAAAUGGGGUCCAUUAUCUAAGAAUAUUUUAGAAAGUCCAGGAUUGUAGAACAAAAUAUAAAUAGGACUAACUAGGGCCUUCUAGGCAGUUGGUCAGGUAUGACUUUAGUUGGUCAGGUAUGAUAUUGAAGAUUUAUAUAGAUUUACAAUAUGCAUAUUAAACAACUUAUGUCUAUAUGUAUCUUUUUCUCUCAAAAAAAUUAUAAAAUUUUCUAAGUAUAAAUAUCAUAAUCUUAUAAUUUUUUAUCUAAUUGUCUAUUUAACAUGCAUGGUAUAAUGCAUAAUAAUUUGUAAAAAGUCGUUUUAAUUCUUUCUAAUAAUUGUAUUGUAUUUUUAAAAAGUAUUUAUUAAUCAAACUCAAUUUUUUUAAAAGCACAAUAGAAAGUACUUCUUAUAAAUAUUAUGUUAAAAUAUUCAAUAAUAUUUUAUAGUCUUACCAUUUUUAUAAGAAUAAAAUUCCAAACUUAAAUUAUAAUAAAAUAUUAUAAAAAGCAUUCUUAAAUUUAUUUUUUUAUUAUAAUUUAUUUUUACAUAAAAUUCACUAAAUUUUAAAUUUAGAAAUUUACUUAAAAUAUUACAAAAAUAAUAUAAAUAUUAUCAUUAUGUAUGUAUAUAUGUACUUCUAUUUUUAUGCUUUGAUUUUUUUUUAUCAAAGUAUGGUAAAAUUUCAAUAAACAACAUCGAUUUUUUAUUAAUAUUUACUUUUGAUUUUUAAAUUUUCUUCCUUUUAAACUCUAUUUUAUGAUAUAAAUUUUAAAUUAUUUAGUUGCAUGAAAUAGAUAGAUAUAUAUAUAUAUAUAUAUAUAUAUAUAUAAUUUUACUUGUUUAUUGAAAUAUUAUUUUGUGUUGGUGUAGUUGAUUGGCCUAUUGGAAUUUUGAUGUUCUAGAGAUUUUUCAAAAUUCCAAUAGGCCAAUUCAUAUAUAUAUAUAUAUAUAUAAUUCUCCUGUUGACUCUUUUGACCGGGUUCAACGCCGCCCCGACCGCUGGUCACCAAUCACGACCAUUGGCCGGCAGCGGCCGCGACUGCACGAGUCCGCGACGCUUUCCGCAAGUGCCCCGCAAGCUUCAGCGCAGCCAGCGGGGGAACAAUUCUGCGCAGUAGCACGAGAAGGAAGACAAACCCACCAGGGAUUAAGCCUAACUCAGCGCAAAGCUUGCAUUGCCGAUGCUAAAUUGAAAUUUUCAAUCCAAAUCUCGGAAAAAAUCGAGCCUAUUCGAGGAAAACUAGGGCAAUAAUCGAGACGCAACAGUGGCCUGCCCAAUAAUGAGCACUAAAACGGGAUUCUGCGCCAUCCUUCCUGCGAGAUUUUGCACUCUGACCUCAGCGUGCGAUCGCUGCCAAUAGAUGCGAGAGGCCCAAAAGUAAAUCAGCAAAAGCGAAAAAAACAAAAAAACAUAAAAAUCACAAAAACCAGCCUUCUUUACGCGUGCGAGUUCUACCCAUUCCCCUGGCGAUUUGAUUCUGCUGUGAGGCCGCGGCCGAAAUCCAGGCACACUACAUUUGCUUCACUGCCGUGCUUCAGUCUCGUCGAGUAAUACCUCGUGUAGGUUGUACAGGUGCCGGCUCUGCCCCAGGGUGUAUAGUUUGGAUUUAAUUUAUAAGUGAGAAGCAGCUUCAGAGUCCCUCAAAUGGGCUGGCGGGUGUGAUCUGAGGUGUCAGGGGGACUGAGCAAUCGCCUGGGAAGAAGUCCCUGAGAUGAGUCAGAUUCAACUGACUGCAUCACCCUUAGAAGUUCUGAGCUGCGUAGUGGAUGCGCUGCUGCCGUUCGCAACAUUGGCUGACUGAAUGCUUUUAACACAUGAAUGACAAUUCUGCCCCGAUGUCCACAGGCUGGUGCGUAGACGGGGUUGUGGGACACAGGCAGUGGAACUUCAUCGUCCGGGACGACACAAAUACUCAGAAGAUGAAAAUUUUGUGUGAAAGUGAGCACUCCAUCGGUGGGGGACUGAGCAUCACAGAUUCGGAUGGCUUUUGAUGUGAAGAAUCUACAGUGGCCCAUCUCAGAAAGCGCAGAGGGACGACCAGCUCAGAAGUGGUGGUGCAGAGCAUUUCUUACCCUUUGAGCAAAAUACACUUGUCAUUGUACGUGGGCUGCUGCUGCCGCUGCUUGUUAAAGCGAGAUCCCCAGCUACGGUCGGACUGCGCUCUCCCGAUUGCAACCGAAAAAACUGAAAUUAUUACGCAAUCACCGAAGCCAAAAUUGGACCACUGUUGCUACACCAGGAGUUCCUCGGAGGCUGCCCACGUGGCCUACGAACGCAUUGCCCGGUCCAGACCACCCCCUCUCCACUUACACUGCCCCUCUCCCCACUGAGAGCAGACCAUGUCCGAUUUGCAAGAGAACGUGGGUGGCACUGCAGCAUGAUGUCUACAAGAAAGCAAGUGGCAGAAAUUGAGAGAGGAAUCGAAAAGCGCAGCAGCUUGAGCUGCUGUUGCUAAUUGCAGGUUUAUCGCAGUGAGGAAUAUAUUUCGGGUGGGCGGGAGGGAGGGAGGUGGACCUCCUACUGUCAGACGUGAUUUUUGCAGCGUUGACGCGGGUGUUGAUCUACGUCUGAAUUGCGAGUAUGUUUUUUUCUUCAUUUUUUAAAACUUUCCCUCGCCUGGCGACAUCGAUUAGUGCAGCGGAAGUGGACGACCGUGGUCAUGAGAUGCUCUCUAGCCGCAAGCUGACGGAAUUCGCUGCUUGGGACGUGGAGAAGGCAGCGACCAGGGGGGAGGAUUUAAUUUUUGGGAUUGACCACGUGAUGAAGAUUUCGUAGCGACGAUUGCGGAGAGCCUAUCGCCCUUCUCACUUGAAUAUUGAUGACUUGCAUGCAGAGCUCCUGAAACGACUGCUGUCUGAGUAGUUGGGCGAUUAAACCAGGACGGCACGCAGGCAUGGAGUUCGGUGGGCAAAUUCCUUACGGAGGGAGAGAUGGUUAACCUGAUUGUUGGAGAUUGAAGUUGAAUCAUCAACUCCACUACCAACUGCCACACGAAGUGUCUCGAGAAGUGGUAGAAAUCCCUGGUGAGUUUUGUAAAUAAGACGGGACUUCGGCUCAAUGAAUUUGGAACAACAAGGGUGCUGAUGCACUUCUAGGACUAGAAUCAUGGACUUCAAGGACACUGCAGCGAGAGAAUCCGGUAAAGUGAAGGAGAAGGUGGGGUCGAAGGAGGUCGACUGCCAAGCCGCCGUGAAAUUCCACAUGUCUGCUUUCUCCGACCUGCGCAUCUACCUGGUUUACGUUCUCAUAGCCGCUUGCUGUUUCUUGAUACUCCUCGCACAGCUCCUUCCUCUUCGAAGCUUAGACAAGUCCCAGCUGCCGUGCAACGACAGCGUCAGUAUUGUAAGUCCCGAGACGAAUCUCGAAUUCCCCAUCGACCCACUCUCGAAAUCUUUUCUCCAUGAGAACAUCAUUAAUAAGUCCUCCUUAGAUAUCAGCAAAGGGGAGCUCCGCGUUUUCAAGCCUCAUGGAUUAGCUAUGCACUUGUUUAUUGAAAUGGGCGCGUACCGAGGUGGCCCACGGGUAUUCUCAGUUGUGGGACUUAUUGCGAAGCCGAUUCAGACGUUUCAUAAGCCGCCAUAUGUGUGUGAGUGGGUCACCAACGUAGGAAGGACCAUCAAAGGGAGGGCAAGCAAGAUUCUGCCGGAUUGGAACUAUGGCAGACUUUACACUGUCGUGGUGAUCACAUGCACAUUCAGGGUGGACGUAGGGGUACAGAAAGAGGGCGGGGAGCUCGUUUUGCAGGUCAGCUAUGGCGACCAGUUCAGGCAACCAGAGAAGAUUGUGGUUCUCACUGAGAGGCGGGGGCAAUACAAUGCGACGAUGUUCGAUCCGCCCUACCCAUAUGACUACGUCUACUGCGGUUCAUCACUUUACGGAGAUGUAAGCCCGCAGAGGAUGCGCGAGUGGCUAGCUUACCACGCGCACUUCUUUGGCGAGAGGUCACACUUCAUGUUCCACGAUGCUGGCGGGUUCCACCCCCAAGUGUGGAAAGUGUUGGAUCCGUGGAUUAAGAAAGGGCGAGUCUCGGUGCAAAACAUCCAGCAGCAGGAAAUCUACGAUGGGUACUAUCACAACCAGUUCUUGGUUGUGAACGAUUGCCUCUUUAGGUCGCGGUUCAUGGCGAAUUGGACCUUCUUCUUCGACGUGGAUGAGUAUCUACACGUGCCUCCGACGACUACUCUCGACAAGGUGCUGAAUGACAAUCCGAACGUCACCCAAAUAACGUUUGAGCAGGUUCCAAUCUCAAACAAUCUCUGCGUCGCGGACAACAUCACAACUGAUGGUCACGCAAGGUUUGUCGCUGGACCCUCAAACCAUGACUUCCAUCCCUCAAUCCUCUAUUUAGUUGUGCGCUUAGUCGAAUUUCUCAAUAGAGAUGGAGAUUAGAACAAUCCACGAACAGGAUUUGGAGGUGCUGGGAAUGCUGUAGUAAUGUUGAGGUUGUUGCGCAGAAAAUGGGCAAUUGAGAAACUAAUGUACAGAAAAGUAUUGAGGUCGGGGGUUCGCUACGACCGCAAGUAUGCUGUGCAAGCCCGGUAUGCAGCCGCGACAGGGGUUCACAUGUCUAUGAACAUGAGAAAGGGGAAGAAUAUGUAUCCGAAAGGAUACAAAAUCAGGUACUAUCACUACCACGACACAAUCAAUAAGCGAGAGGAGCUAUGCCAAGCAUUCGUCUCUCCGCAGAACAAAACUUCGCUGCAGCGGCAUCAGCGUCAGAACUACCGAUUAGAUGAGACGCUGGCCAUGACAACCCAACUUAUCAAAGAUUACGAGCGCCGAACAAUUGGGUCCCUACCAUUUAUCGUGUAGUAGCCCCAACCAACCCCCAAGUAUAAAACCACACACUACAAGCGGCUUGCUACAGACAUGUCGUGGAACUCAGGGCGUCGUGACUAUAUUGGAGGCCGCCCUAUUCUCGAAUCUGCAACAGUUUUCCUCCCUCGAGACGAGCCCAAGGGAGGCCUGGCACUGCGUCAGAUGCACACCAGAGAGUGGUCGCCGGUUGAUAGGAAACCUCAUGAUCUGCAAGCAGAUCGGAAACCCUAAAAAUGGGAGUUUCUGUGAUUUCUUCGACAAAAACAGGCUGGAAACCAACUCGGAUCAUACCCUAAUUGGAGAAGGGCUUGUCCUUGACCAGCACCUGUUGAACAAGAACGCCCUCCGACAUUGUGUGCUGUUGGGUACAUUCUACUUCCUUGGCCUUGUGGGUGUGUCAUGACGCCCCCAGAUCGGAAUUAGGGUUUUCGGACGCGACGCUCAUUGAAAAGGCUCCCAUGGCCUUGGCACGUUCUUCUGGGAAGCUUGUCUUUUUAUGAUGCAUUCUUCAAGUUUGAAAUGCAUGGCUCGUGGUGACAUAUCCAACACGUUGUUUUUCAUUUCAGUACCUUUGUUUUAUUUAUGAAGAGUGGAGGAAUUAUUAUGGAAGUGAACUAUUGAUGUACUAUGUGUUUUGGUGUAAGCAAAAACUUCCUCACAAAUUUUUAAGUGCUUGCAAUGUUUAAGAAGUGUACAUGCCACUACUGCAAGUCCAAAUCCAUUAGACAUGAACUGAAACAAAUCACACAAGAUCUCUAGGAGUAUUGUAACCUUCAAAAGAUUUUAGAAGAUGAAAUGGAUAAAUUGUAUUUGUGAUAGAGGAUGUAUUAUAAUCAUGAGUUGUUUUUUUUUUGGUGACAGUGAUUGUUGUCAAAUCUUUGGGUGAGCCAAGAUCUUGCUCUAACUUUGCAUGAUGACCAAAGAUUGUGAAUUCACCUUCAAAUUAUCAAUUUCAAAGAAUUUAUAUAGUAAAGAAUCUUAAGUAUAAGACAAAGACAUAAAAAAAUCUUUUCAUUGACCAAAAUCAAACUUAUUGUUGCUAUAACCACCAACAUAAAGCCUUGCAUAACUUACAAAAAGUCUUUUAGUUUACUAUCUCUAAAAAGUUUUGUGUGUCCAAUAAUACAUGUUUUUGCUAGUAGUAAUAUGAACAUAAACUUUGUAUAAACAUAAAUUAUAUCUUUAAAAGUUAGUUAUGUAAGCAUGUUUAUAUAUAUAUAUAUAUAUAUAUACACAUAUUUGGAACAUGAUAUAUAUAUAUAUAUAUAUAUAUUUAUUUAUUGCUAUAGAGGUAUUAAUAUUUGAAGAUAUUAUUUAAUCAACUAUUGUUUCAAAUUUUGUUUCUAGUUUUUUUAAUGUAUUUCAUACAUUCUUUCCAAACAUCAUGUUAUAAAAUUAAUUCACUUAUUACUUAAUUUACAAAUAAUUGCUAUGCCUUAUAUUAUUCAUCUAUAAACUACCAUCUUAUAUAGACAUAAUAAGAAAGUUUGUGCAUGUAAACAAACUACCAUCUUAUAUAGACAUAAUAGAAAAGUUUGUGCAUGUAAACAAAGAGGAAAAUAAAGAAAAAAAUAGAUAUUAUGAAAAAAAGAAUAUACUUCUAGAUUGGAAUUAAAAAGAUACCACUAUUUUAUAAAUAUACUUGUAUGUAUUUUUUUAAAUCCAAAAUUAGAAAAAAAUAUUUAAAAAAUAUAUAUAUAAUUAAAUGUAAAAGUUAUAUUAAAAACUAAUAUAUAAUUUAUCAAUUAAUAAAUUUAAAAAAUAUGGAGAUUAAAAAUGGAAGUAUAUAGAAAUUCAAAGCUGCAAUUUUUAUUUUUAUUUUUAAAAAAGAAAAAAAAAAAAGAGAAGAAGCUUUGAUGUGAUUAAAAAUCUAUUCUAAUUUACUUUCACAUAUUUAUCAAAAUUUUCUAGAAUUGUUUUUGAAUUAAAAUCAUAGAUGCUAUAUAUGACUCAAUAUAUAUACAUGCAUAAAUUAUAUACACACACAUAUAUAUAUAUAUAUAUAUAUAUAAUUUAGAAGAUUUUAAAAGAAUUUAUAAAAAAUAUAAAUGAUAUAAUGUGGAAGAUAAAAAAAACAUAUAAUUAUCAAGGACAUAAUCUCAAAGAACUGAAAGGUGAAUACAUUCUUGUGUCACUCAAAAAGACUAAAAAAUCAUUCAAUAAUGAUAUAGUAUUUAAUUAGAAUGGCUAUUGCCAAAGAUAAGAAGACUAGAAAGUCUUGAAAUAUGAUUGAGAAGUAGAAAGGUGUUGAUUUGAGUGAAGAAGGCUUCACUAUUGCUUCCAUAUAUACUAUCAAGCUAGGAGCUAUGUGGCAAUAUUUUAUAGGACUUCCAACACAUGUUGACUUUGCAUGACACAUAUCUUAACUUGCAAAGGAAGUUUUUUAUAUGUGCACCACAUAGUAAGCUUGUUCUACAAGCUACCAACACAUAUGAUAUGUGCUUAACUUGUUGAUCAAGUUUCUAACCUACCAAUCAACUACAAACAUAUGUAAAGUUGAAACUAAGUUUCUAAAGCUUCUAAGAAGCUUUACUAGAAGAUAUUUUAAAAUUAAUCUAUUUUUAUAUAUAUAUUUCUAUUUUACUUCUAUUUACUUAAAUAAUAUAUGUAUUUCUUAUUUUUAGUGUAAUAUGGGUUAUAAAAUUAUAAAAAACUUCUUUUAGAUUAAUGACAAGUUAAAAAAAAUACACGUAUUUAUUUUUAAUAAUAAUAAUAAUAAUAAAUACUUAUAUUUAUGCAUAAUUCUUUUUAAAAUAUUCUAAUUUAAUAUUUUAAUACAAUAAUCGUAAAAUAAAAAAAAAAUCUACUAUAGUUGUUGACAUAUGUUAAUUAUAUUCUUAAAAAAUAAUUAGAUUUAUUUUAUUCUAUUUAUUUAUUUUAUUCUAUUUAUUUAUUUUUUAUAAUUUUUGAAAUAACUCAAAUCAUUUAACAAUCAUAUUAUCAAAUUGCCUCUUUUAUAUUUUAUUUAGAAUAAUUCUAUUAAGAUUUAAGUUUUUUAAAUUCAUAAGAAUAAAUAUGAAUAAUAAGUAAAAUUUACAUAUAUGGUGAUAUUUAAUAGAAUUUUAUAGUAUUAUUGUGUAUGCUAUGCCACAAAGUAAAAAAUGUAUUGAUAAAAAAAAUGAUAUUAAAAUUAUUGUUUAUAUUUUUUAUUUCUUAAAAAAUUAUUAAAUGGUCUUUUUUGAUGUUUAUAUAAUAUGUACUAUGAAAUCCAAUUUUUUUUGUACUUAGGCACUAGUCAGUUUAGAAAAAUAUUAUAAAAGAAAACAAAAUAUUGAAAUUAAAUGAUAAAAUUAACUUUACUUGUAAUCUAGAAAAAAAUCAACUAUACAAAUUGAAUUUACUUUGAAAAAAAUAUUGAGUCAAAAUCUUCUUUGAAUCUUGGUUUUUGAAAGUUUUAUUUUUCUUUAAAUUAUAUAUAUAUAUAUAUAUAUAUAUAUAUACAUACAUACAUAUUAUAGUAGAAAUCCAUGUUGUUGGACUUAAAAAAGUUAUUUAUAAAUAGUAAAUUGGAGGUCUUCUUGCAACUUAUCCAUAGCCUUUUGCUUAUUAACAAUUUCUUUGAUUUCAACCAAUGUAAAGGAUUCUUUGUCUCUUUAUCUUAUACCUAAGCUUUCUUAUUCCAUAAGUAAUAUGUUUAAUAUAUAAUUUAAAGGAAUUUUAUUUAUUUUUAUUAUAUUAUUAUAAUUUUAUAAAUAUGUUAAUAUAUGUAUAUAUUUUCUACCGUUAUAAAUCAAUGAUGAAUCAAGUUUAUUAUAUAACUUUAAAAAUAUUAUAUUAUUAUGAAUAUUGAUGACAUAUGAUUAAUUUAUGCUCAUUUUGAAAAUAAUAGUAUAGAACUGCCGUACCAAUUGCUUCUGUUUUUUUGUUUAUAACUUUAAAAUAUACUAAAGGUAUUAUAAAUCACAUAAUUAUAUCUUAAAGUAAAAUAAUUAUUAACAUAAAUAAAUAUUAUCAUUAUGGUUUUGAUUUCUAUCAUUCAAAAUCACAAAAUAAUAUGAAAAUAAAGAACUGAGGUGUUUUAGAACUUCUAACUUUUAUGGUUAGAGCUUUGUAAUUUCUAUUCAAAUUUAGAAUAAUUUUGCUCAAAUUACUACUAAUCAUUAUUUUUCAACUAUUUUUUGUAUCUUAAGAAUAUUAUAAUAAUGCUUGUUAUGUAUUUUUAGAUGCCAAUCAAUAUAUUAAUAACUAUAUUUUUAUUCAAGUAAAAAAAAUUAAUAACUAGAUAGUCAAGUAUAAUAGUAGAUUAAUUAAGAAAAUAGCAUAAAUUUCUCUAUCAAUAAUAUAAAUAUUUAUAUAAAAAAUAAAUUAGAAAAAAAUAAUAUUACAUCCAAUAAUAAUAGAAGACAUUGCAUUAGGUGAAACAUACAUAGAAUUACAACAAUCCAAGAACAUUUUCUCACAAAAAUCUAAAAGGGACCACACCACCAAAGAAGAUAUUGAAAAAUAAGUCAUUCAAAUUGAUUCUUUUCAUAAAAUUCUAAAUGAAGAAUUAAUAGUUGGAUUUUAAAAGAAUAUAAUAAUUUUGAUAGUUGUAAUUUUGACCUUAUUUUUGAAAUUGAUGUAAAAGUUAUUAAGUAAGAAAUAAAGUACUUAAAAAAACUUACAAUCACAACUAGAUUAAUAAGAGAUAUACCAUCAAAUGUAGUUUUUAUACAGUAUUUUUAAAUAUUAUAUUAUUAAAUAAAAUAAUAAUAAUUUAAUUUUCAAAAAAUCUAAACACUAGUAGCCUAAACAUAACAAAGAAGUUGUAAUUUUCCAAUCCAUGCCAAAAGCUAAUAAAAUAUAUAUUUUAUAAUAAUAAAUCAAAAAAAAAUCUAAUAUUUUAAAUUCUCUACAAAUUAAAAUUGAGUAUUCAACUUAAAAUAUAUAAUUAAAAUUAUCUAAUAAAGAUGGAUUGUAAGUAGCACCCUACCCAAAAAAAUAGAUUAUAUUUUGUUACUUAUUAGGUACAAAUAUUACAUAUAAAUAUGGCAUGUGAUAAAAAAAUUCAAACACUAAUAGAAUAAAAAAUAAAAAAUAAAAAAUUAGAAAUCUAAGUAUCAAUCUUAUCCAUCAAAAAAUAUUAAUCUUUAAAAUAAGUUUGAAAAAAAUAAAAAUAAAAUAAAAAAUAAACUAGUUUGGAUUGUACGUAUAAAUUAGACUAUAGAUCUUUGUUCCUAAUUCAACUUAUACAUGCAAGAAAGAGACAAUGAUUGGAACUGAAAGUAAUCCAUGCCCAUACUAAUUUGCAGAAGACAUUGGUGAAAACAGUGUGAUGGUAAUGCAUAACAUCAAUUAAGAGCUCAACCACAUAGAAAUCUGGUACUAUUGAAAUCCAUAAAGCUCCCAGUUAUAUCAGUAAGAUGCAAGACUAAACUGACAUUGCUACAUCAAAACUAGUAACUCCAUCAAAACAUGGCAAGAAAAUUAGCACAAUAUCCUUUGGUAGCAUGACACAUUUGAGCAUGAAUACUUCCUAUAAUUAAAAUAAAAUACUGCCUAAUGUAGUGGCUCCAAGCUACUCCAAUGUGCCCACAGUAGAGCAUGUACACCAUAUUGGUUAAAACCUAAAACCCUAAACUCUCAAAUCUAAAAUCCUAAAUUCUAAAACCUAAAACCUUAAACCCUAAAACUUGCUCUAUCACCACUUUUCUUUAUUUGAUCUGUGGUCCUGUAUUCUAUAGUCACUCUCGUUUUGUAUGUGUACCCAUCCAUUUUAGAAUACUAGAUCAGAUACAGCAUCAUGAGAAAGGAGAGCCCAGUUAACAUAACAAUUAGAUUAAAAUGCUGAAGAAAAGAGGCUUGUAAAAUAUUGAGAUACAACACAGACACAAACAAAGUGAAGAAUACAAUAUUUGGACUACAAAUGCAAGAGUUAGAUGCUCCAAUUGAUGCUGUCAAGUUCUCCAGUUCACAACACCAAAAUGGGCCUUGCCAACAAUUUCAAUAGAUUAUAUUUAAGUUGAAUAUAAUGCCUUGGAUGUAAUUUGUGCUAUAGUAGUUUCUUUGAGCAAAUGAAGGCUUCAACAAACAUAAUGGUAUGUAACAUAUGCAUGCAAACUAUUUUCUGCACCAAAGCUUAUGAGGAUUUUUUGGAAGAUUUUAGAAAAUGUUUUUAUUUAAAUUAUUGGUAUAGCAAAAAUUUAUGCAUUUGAUAAGUACCAUGAGACAAGAAAAACAUGGAAAAAUUUGUGUUUUAUAUCUAAACAAUAUUUGAUGAGUGCUAAGAAGAUAUUCAAAUAUAAAUGAUAAAAUAAAAGAUAAAUCAUCAUAAUUCACAAAGAAUCUAUCUAUUAUAAAAUAAAAUAAAAUUUAUAUUAAAAAAUAGAAUUAAAAUAAAAAAUUAAAAGAUUAUUUUUUCUUUUUAAAUAUCAAACUUUAUAAAAUUCUCUUGAAACACAAAAAAUAAUAGAAUUAAUAUUUUAGCAAGAUUAGUCAAAUUUUUAUCCCAUGUAAUAUAUUCUUAAUUAAUACAAUAUUUUUGAGUAUUUUAUCAAAGAAACCACAACCUUAUUUAAUUACCUUUUUCAUGAUUCUUCAAUAUUAUCUACUUGCUAAUCUAAACCUCUUACAUGAUGAACAUUAAAUCCAAGAUACAUAGAUAAAAAAUAAAAAAAAAAGAAAAAAGAAAAAAGAAAAAAGAUCAAAAUAUCCAAAUAAGACAUCUAAGAACUUAAUACAAUUAUCUUAUUUACAAAAAAAAAUUAAAAUAAUUUAUGGUUUGACAAGAUUUUUUGUAAUACUAAAAUAAAAAGUAAUUGGAAUUUUUUUAAAAAAAUAAACAUUUUUUUUAUAAGAUUAAUCACAUUAAACUAAAAAUCAAUUCUUACAGAUGUUAUGAAUAGUAACAUCAAUAAGAAAUCUUAUUAUGUUUUUAACAAUAAAUAAUAGAAAAUAGAGGAGUUAAAAUAAGAAUUAAAUUGAUUGCAACUAAUGGCUUUUGCUCAAUAGAAUUCAUUAAAAUUAUAAGUGAAAAAAAACCAUAGACUGGAAUCCAAAUUUUUUAUAAUGUUGAUAGAGUAGGCAAGCCAAAAGCAAAUCAUGGAAGACAAUAAAAAAUUAGAAUUAUUUCCUUCAAACAAAAAAAAACCAAUUUCAAUUAGAAGAAACUGACAAUAUAUUAGAAUCAUACUCUUAAAACCCUGAAAUAGAUAAUGCUGAUCAAAACAUAGAUCUGAAUAAAAAUCCAAAUCCAGUAAACUCACACAGAAAACGUUAUUCAACCAAUGUAUAAGCUCCAACUCAAAAACUGAAAGAUUACUAUUAAACAUUAGCAAUGACAAAAUCCAAAAAUUGAGAGAUUACUACUAAACAUUAGCAAUGACAAAAGAACCCAAUACAUACUCCAAAGCAAUCAACAACCAAGAAUAGACAAAAGCAAUGAAACAAGAGAUGAAGGGCGUCUAUAAAAACAAUACAUGGACAACAGUAGACAUGCUCACUAACAAAGUGUGAAUAACAACAAAGUGGAUCUACAAACUCAAGAAGAAACCACACAAGGAAGUACAAAAAUACAAAGCCCAAAUUGUAGCCCAAAGUUUUCAGCAAAAUGUCAAAGUUGACUACCUUCAAAGAUAUGCCCCAAUUGUUAAAUGGUCCACAGUACAAUUAGUGUCAUCCAUAGCUGCACAAUAAAAAUGGAAAAUAAGGUAGAUAGACAUUAAGAUUGCUUUUUUAAACUUUUAUUUUAUUUUAUUUUAUUUUUUAAAAGUUUACAUAGAAAUACCUCAAGGCUUCAAAAGAGCCAAAAAUUCUACCAAGGUAUGUAUGCUAAAUUGAGCAAUGUAUGGUUAAAGCAAGUACCAAAGGCUUGGUACUCACGGAUAGAUAAUUGGCUUUUGGAUCAAGGUAUGAUUUGAAGCAAUAAUGACCUCAAUAUGUGUUACAAAGAAAAAAUCAAACUGUAGGAAGUGGUAUCCUUUUCUACUACCAAAGUGGAAUAUACAAUCAUGUCAAAAAUUGUGACAAGAACAUUCUAUUAAUAAAAUUUAUUUAAAGAGCUCCAGAAUUGAUCACUACAAACCAGCACUCUUAUAAAAUGACAAUCAAUCAUGUAUUAAGCUGCUUAACAAUCCAGUAUUGCACAAAAAGACGAAGCAUAUUGACAUAAGAGCCUACUUUAUUUGAAAAAAGGUACAUUUAGGAGAUGUUAAAGUCAACUACAUCUCAACUGUAAUACAAUAAGCAGAUUUCUUAACAAGAUUCCUACAAGCUCUUUGCUACUCUAUUAAGUAUAAAAAACUAGAAGUUAAAUCAAUAUCCAACAGUAUAAUCUAACACAAACAAAUCCUAACCCUAAGGUACAACUCUGCCUCUUUGACUGAUUUAAAACAUUUAUAUUCAAUGCAAUUGAAACCAAAAACUUUGGUUUUUUCUACAACACAUAUACUCCAAAAGUCUAUGAAACUUAGCUUCCUUCUAUGAUACAUAUACUCCAAGUUGACAACCACACUUAACAAUAUACACUCUACUUUUUUGCUAUGGAAAUAGGCUUGAAAUAAAUUUUUGAUUGUUCCUCAAAGGCACCGCUCCUCUCUUUGUGGUGUCAUGUUGUAAUAUAGCCAUUAUAAGAAAGAAAAAAUGAAUGAUUAUAUUAUAGAAAAGCUUAAAUGAAAAGAAUCUAGCAAGUUAUUUUAGAAAUAUAGAUAAUAGACAAGGAUGUAGUAAAAAUUACUAUGUACUAAUAUAAUCUUUUUAUAUAAAAAACUUCUAUUUACUUUGUAGGUCAAUAUUUGAAGCAAAUUAAAGUAGAUAAGAAAAAUAAUUGAUAUAGUCAUGUUAAAAAAAAAAAUAGAAUAGUUUUUUAUCAUAAAUUUCUUUAAAAAAAUCAAGUUUUAAUAUUCAAAGAAGAUUGGUUAUAAGCAAGGAUUGAAAUCAAACCCCAAGGCACAAAACUAUGCACCUAUGGUAAUUCUAGGAUUCUUUGAUUAAUUAAAGAGUGGAAUUUGAUAGAAAAUAAAAGAAAGAUUCUUUAGGUAUUUAUUUUGAGUGAAUUAAGUCUGUAAUGACUUUAUAAAGGCUUUAUAUCUAUGAUUCAAUUUUAUAUGACUAACCAUCUUACAGCUAUGUUUCAACUUUAAAUAGCUAUAUUAAAAAAUAAAUAAAUAUUGAUGAAAUCAUAUGUGGAAUGAGAGAUUUGUAAAUAAAGUUUAUAAAACUUGAGAAGAAGGAUCAAUCAUUAAGAGUAUCAAUAAGAAAAAAAUUAGAACCAAUAGAAGGUGUAGUAGAUAGAUGUAUGUGGUGUAAUAGCAUAAAUCAUUUAAGAAAGGAGUGCAAAGUUUUUAUAGAGAUGCUACGUAAAAGAAUUAUUUUGUUCAAAGAUGGUAUAAUAUGCUUAAAAGAGAGUAGAAAAAAAAUUGAAGACAAAAUUUGAUAAAGAAAGAAUGAAAGUGCUUAUAACAGAGUCAUUUAAAGUCUUAAGCAAUGAAGCAUCAACAUAUUAGGUGGGAGCAAAUCCAAACAAAUGUCUAAGUAUAAAUCUUAAUUUUCAAUAGAAUCUAAUUUCUUAUAAUCAAAUAUAUCAAAUUAUGCUAAAAAAAAUAAUUUAUAAGUAAUAAUAUCAAACAUUUUAGAGACAAAAUUUGACAAAUUACUUGAUGAAAUGAUGUGGUAGAUAGUUUAACUAUUCAUAUAUAUUAUUACAAAUAUACAUAUGUAUUCUAGUAAAUAUUUAUAUGAUUAGAUAGAAGUAUGUAAAAGUAGAUAAAAAUAGAUUAAUUUUAUAACCUCUUUUAGAAAAGCUUCUUAAAAGCUUCAUAGAUGCUUCUUUGAUUUUAUAUGUAUUUAUAGUUGAUUGGUAGGUUAAAAACUUGGUCAACAAGUUAACUAUGUGGCACACAUAUAGAAAACUUGCCUUGCAAGUUAAGAUAUGUGUCUUUCAAAGUCAAUAUGUUUUAGAGGUCUUAUAAGACAUCACCACAUAACUCUUAGUUAAGACUAUAUAUAGAGGUAAGAGUGAAGCCUUCUUUACUCUUGUCAAUGCCUUUUUAGUCUUUAGUCUUGUUUCAAGACUUUUUAGUCUCCUUGUUUUUUGCUACAACCAUUUUAAUUCAAUAAUAUAUCAUCUUUGAGUGACUUUUUAGUUCUUUUCAGUAUCAUAAGAGUGUAUUGAGGAUUCCUUUCUUCAAGAUUUAUAUCCUUGAUAAUUUGAUAAGAGUGCUAACUUACUAUUUUUAUCUUAUUUUAGAAGUGAGUGGAUUAUCUUACUUCUAUUGAAGAUUGCAGACUACCCAUCUAUAAACAAACAAUCUUAUUUUUAAUAUUAAUCUUUUCCUUAAAAAGAGUGGAUUAUCCAUCUUUAUAGAAAUUUUUAUUUGAUAUUAAAUUUAUGGAUUACCUUCCUCUAAUUUAACUUUUUGAAUUUAUUUGAGUUAUUUAAGUAAGAAAAGAUUAUAGAUGCUACUCUCAAUGGAAGUGAAAAUAGAUUUUUAACUAUCACAGAUCUUUAUGAGCUUGUCAACACUCUAAGAGUGGAAAUCUCAUAUAUUUCCAAUGUGAAUCAUGGAGAUACUAUUCCUAUGCCUAUAGAAAAAGUUUAAAGUCUACGAUAAGAAGUUUUAUAAUUGAAGGAAGUAAGUAGAUUGACCUCACAACCAAAUCCAAGGGAUUUUAUUUCUAUAAGUUUGACACAGACAAGAAUUAAUAUGCCUAAGAAGUUUGAUGGAAGAAGAUCAAAAUUUUGAGGAUUUUUGCAACAAGUCAAGCUCUAUCUAAAGUUUCAUUCCUUUCAAUACCCCGAUGGAUUUACUCAAGUUAGUUUUAUAGGCACACUUCUAUGAGGAAGUCCUCUCUCUUGAUUUAUAUCUUUAAUAGAAAAAAAUUUAUAAUUCUUUCAUGAUUUGAAUUCAUUCUUAGGAUUUUUUAUGGCCUUAUUUGAAGAAAGUGAUCGAGAAAGAGUAGCAAAGACUAAGAUCUUAUCUUUGCAACAAGGAUCAUGGUUAGCCACUAUAUAUGUUGCUGAACUCCAAAAUCUAGCUUACAAUAUGGAAUGACAAAGCUCUUAUCAAUCAAUUUUGAUAUGGGUUGAAGGAUAAUGUCAAAGAUUUAUUAUUAACAAUAUCAAAGGUAAAAUCUUUGGAAUAAUUUAUUGCUUAGGCCAUUGUAUGUAACAAUUGAUUAUUUGAAAGAUGUUAAGAACAAAGACUUAGUUGAAAAUGAAAAAAAUCAAAUAAUGGCAAUAGCUCCUAAAUUUUUAGAAAUACAUUCAUUAAGAAAAAAACCAAUGCAAAUUGAUACCCCUCAUAGAGUAGGAAAAAACUCAACAACAUCAAGACGGCUUAUACUUAUAUUAUAGAGAAGCUAAACAUAUUGCUCAACAUUAUCCAAAGAAACAACACAAUCACAAAAUGAGAAGUAUGGUUGCCAAAGAAAAUGAUGUAUCAAAAAAUAAAUUUUUCCAGCUACAAUAGGAAUCGUAUAAAUAGAAUCUUAUUUAACUUCUAGUAAAGGUCUUAUUUUCUUUUCAAAUCUCCUAUCUUGUUUUAUAAUAGAAGUUUAUUUAGGACCAAAAAAUCACAAAGUCUUAACUUUGUUAGAUUCAAGAGUUUUAGCCUAUUUUAAAGAUGAAAAUUUUGUCAAAAAAUAAGAAUUAUUAUUAGUCAAAAAAAUUAAAUUUGUACAUGUAGAAGUCAUAGAUGGCCAUUUGCUAUCUUCUGGACAUGUUACAUAUGAGACUGUUCCUUUAGAUAUAGCAAUUAAAGAUUAUAAUAGCAUAAUAAUAUUUAAUGUAAUAAAAUCUCUAUUCAAUUUGAUUAUUUUAGGAUUAUCUUGGUUAAAAAAAUAUAAUCCUCAAAUAGAUUGGAUUUCUUAUAAUCUUAAUUAUUUUGAUAGUUUAAUCUAAAAUUCCAUUAGUCAAAUAGAAAUAUAUAAAUCUUAUAUAUCCAAACACUUACUAGUAGGUACGAGAGUUUUUAUGCAUGUCGCAAAAAAAGAGUAAUGUUUUGCUUUAUAUGCCAUGCCCAUUUUUGAUAGUGAUCAAGUAGUAUUUUUAGCUAGUAUCAAGAUUUUGAAGAUGUUUUUUAAAAAAAAAAUACAAAUAUUCUUCUACAUCAUCAUCUUUAUGGUUGUUUUAUUGAUCUUCAUGAAGGAGCUUAACCACCAUUUGGAUCAAUGUAUAACUUAUCACAAAAUGAGUUGCUUACACUCAAAAAGUAUAUUAAUAAAAAUUUGGUUAAGAAUUUCAUAUAUCAUUCUAAAUCUCCAGCUAGAGCUCCUAUUUUAUUUGUGAAGAAAAAAGAUGAAUCUUUGUAGAUGUAUGUAGACUAUCAAGGACUCAACAAGAUCACUAUCAAGAAUAGAUAUCUUCUACCUUUAAUUUUAGGAUUUUUUUAUCAAUUUAAUUAAAUAAAGAUCUAUAUAAAAAUAGAUCUAUAAGAAGUAGAUAAUCUAAUAUGCAUUAAAGAAAGAAAUGAAUUAAAAACUACAUUCCAAAUUAGGUAUGGAUAUUUUAAAUAUAAUAUCAUAUUUUUUAGACUCAUGAAUAUACCAACUGCUUUGCAAUAUUUAAUAAAUGAUGUCUUUUUUGAUUUUUUUGAUGAUUUUAUUAUCUAUUAUUUCAAAAAUAUCUUAAUCUAUCCUAAAAAUACAAAAGAGCAUGAAAUUCAUAUUUUUUGUAUAUUAUAAAAACUUAAAGAUACAAGAUUAUAUGCAAAGUUAAAAAAGUUUGUAUUCCACACUACUCAAGUUGACUUCUUAGGAUAUAUCAUUUCCAAUGAAGGACUAAUAAUGGAUCUAAAGAAAGUCCAAACUAUUAUGGAUUAGAGAUUCUAAGAAUAAUAAAUGACAUGCAAUUCUUUUUGGGCUUUGCCAAUUACUAUCAGAUCUUCAUCAAGAAUAUUUUUCAGGUUGCAACUCUAAUUAUAUAUUUGACUUAUAAAGACAAACUUGAGUAGAAUAAAGAAACCAAAGCAUUGUUUGAUGCUUUGAAAAAGAAGUUUAUUUCUGCACUAAUCUUGUAUUGUGUUGACUUUUGUAAGGCAUUUUUUAAGGAAACAGAUGCAUCAGACUUUGCAUUAGGUGUAGUAUUAUCACAAUUGGAAGUAAAUGACAAACUCCAUCUAAUAGCUUUUCAUUCCAAAAAAAUUUUAGAAGUCAAGAUUGAUUAAGAGAUACACAAGAAAGAGCUCUUGCAAUCAUAGAUUCAUUUCAGGAAUAGCAUCAUUAUUUAGAAGGCACCUAGAAUCUAAUAAUUGUAUAUAUACAUCACAAGAACCUUAAGUAUUUUAUAUCAACAUAUAUUUUGAUUUGUCGCCAAGCUCAUUGGAACAUGUCCUUAUCAAGAUUUGAUUUUAAGAUCAUAUAUUGAUCUAGUAAAUAACAAGGUUUAUUAGAUGUUCUUUCUAAAUAUUUUUAUCUUGCACCAAAAGAAGAAUAUGUAUCUUUUGAUCAAAAAAGAAUAAUUCUCUUGAAGUCAACACAUUUUCACCUUCAAGCAAUAAAAUCAAUAUUGACUAUUCAUUCAAUAUUUGUCAAGCAAAUUCAAUUAAGUAUUUUCUUUGAUCCUCUUAUCUAUGAUAUCAAGAAUAAUUCUUUUAAGUUUUAUGAUACUUCAAAGUUUGAGUUCAAAAAUAACCUAUUCUAUUUUGAAGGAUGAUUAUACACCUUAGAAGGUGGACCAUAAUUACAUGUUCUUCAAACUCAUCAUGAUUUUCUAGCAAUUGCAUAUUUUGGAUACAACAAGAUUUUGGAGCUAAUAUUAAGAGAUUUUUAGUGGCCUCAAAUGUGGAAGGAAUUCAAAGACUUUUUAUAAUCAUGUGAUAUUUUUUCAAGAUCUAAAACUCCUUACGAUUGACCUUAUAAACUUCUUCAGCCACUACCUAUUCCAAAACAACCAUGGUCUUCCAUUUUUAUAGAUUUUAUCAUAGAUCUUCUAAUCUUAGGUUCACAUAAUUCUAUAUUUGUAGUAAUAGAUUGUUUUAUCAACAUAGCACAUUUUGUACUAUGUAUUAAAUUUAUUACAAGUGAAGAAAUGGCUAAGUUUUUUUUUAAUAUCAUCUAUUGUUAUUAUGGAUUGCGUAAAGAUAUUAUAUUAAAUAAGAAGAUUUAUAUGAUUUUACAUUCAAUUUAUAUCAAGAUUUUGGAGAACCCUUUUUAAGAUUUUAAAUGUGGAUAUAAAACUCUCUUCAACUUUUCAUCCUCAAACUAAUAGGCAAAUGGAAUGGAUAAAUCAAAUUUUAGAGUAAUAUUUGAAGUGUACCAUCAAUUAUUAUCAAGAUGAUUGGAAAACUCUUUAAUCAUUGAUAAAGUUUGUGUAUAAUAAUUUGAUACAUUCUUCCAUUCAACAAACAUUUUUUUUUUUAUUUUUUUAUUUUUUUUAUCAAUUAUGGUUAUUAUCCAUAACUUAAUACUUUUAACUUUUCAAAAGUUGAUAAUCCUACAACAAAAGAUUUGAUAAAUGAUUUAUUAUAAUUACAUGCAAUAAUAAAGGCGUAGUUAAAGAGAGCUUAAGAACAACAAAAGAUCAAUAUAGAUAUCUAUUACAAUAAACAAUCAUAAUUUAAUAUGGAUGAGAAGAUAUGGUUAUUCGAUUGUAAUAUCAAGACUACUUGUUCUUGUGACAAGUUGGACUAUCAUAGGCUUGGACCUUUUCAUAUAAGUGAAUAAGUCAAUCUUGUUGCUCAUCAAUUAUAUCUACUAGAAUGUAUGAAGAUCUACCCCAUAUUUUAUAUAUCCUUUUUUGAGCCAUAUAAGAUAGUGAAUAUUUUGAGAAGAAGACAAAUGCCACCUCCUCUUAUAGAAGUAGAUAAUAAUCAAGAAUUCGAGGUAGAAGAGGUCUUAGAUUCAAGGCGGCUCCAAAAUAGAUUAGAAUAUUUUGUUCAUUAAUAUGGAUAUGAUAUUAGUGAAUGUACAUAGGAACUAGCAAAGAAUCUUUUAAAUAUAGUAAAAAGAACUGAAGCUUUUCAUUGAAGAUAUCUAUUAAAAGAAAGAUAAAAAAUAGUAAAUAUUUGCUAUAAAAAAAAUAAGGUUAGAUAAAGAUAAUAAUUUAUCUUCUAUCCUUCUUUGUAGCUUUUGUGUAUUUGUAACAUUAAAGAGAUGGAGAAUCCAUAAUUAGCAAAUUCAACUUAGAAACUUUUAUUUGCAAUCUUACUAGACAAAACAUUUGUCACAAACUUUAAGAUGACAAAAUUGAGAUAAAGAUCCUUAAGAAUGACAUAUCUUUCUUUGAAUAGAUAGCAAGAUAUAACAUGUUUUGUACUACAACCUUAGAAGAGACUUCUAAUGUUUGGUGAUUUUAUUAGAAGUAGGAACAACUUUUCAUGGUAUUGCAAAUGUUUUAUUUGAAGAAAGUUACGAAGGCGUCAAUAACAACCAAAUAACAAGGUGGUUUUUUUACCCUAGUGUGGGAUAUUAUUGAUGGCUCAAAGAACCUAUCAACCAUCUUUGAAGAGAAGAAAGAUUGGAGUAUGUAGCAAAUAUGAUUUGUUGCAUCUUAGAUUUCAUCAAUAUAUGAAGAUUGCUCUUUUUAGAACUUAUUCCUAAAAAGAGAAGUAAUAUCAUAGAUAUACAUAGGUACUCUAAUAAAUACUUAUAUGAUUAGAUAGAAGUAAGUAAAAAUAAGUAAAAGUAAGUUAAUUUCAUAAUUUCUUUUAGAAGAGCUUUAUAGAAGCUUCAUAGAUGAUUCUUUGACUUUAUAUAUAUUUGUAGUUCAUUGGUAGGUUAAAAACUUGAUCAACAAGUUAAACACAUGUUGGUAGCUUAUGAAAUAAACUAACUACAUGGCGUUCAUAUAGAAAACAAUUUCUUUUAUAAUUUGUAUAAAUAGUUAAAAGUUAAUUUUUUUUCAUCUUUGCUUUUUGUUCUUAUAUAGGCUAUACUAUAAUUUUUAAUCUUUUUUUAUAUUUUUGUAGCAAUAAUAUAUGAUUAUUCAAAUAUAAUAGGAUAUAUAAACAUAUAUUAUAGAAAGAAAUAUUGUUCAUAAGUAAUAUCUCUUAUCAUCACCUUGAUAUUUAGAUAAGUUCUAUAUAAAUUUCUAUUUGUAUUAUUUAUUGAUCUUAUUAUCUGUUCAUCCUUCAUAUCAAUAGCAAAUUUUUUUAAUACAAUUCUUUUGACAUCAAAUUAAUUUCAAAACUAUAAUCAAUCAAUUCUAUAAUUGGUUUUUUUAUUUUUUUAAUUUUACUAUUUUUUUUGAAAUAGCCUUUGUUUAAUAAUUUCAAAAAUAAUGACUAAAAGCUGGAAUGACAUCUUCUUCUUUUGUAAAUCCAACUCAAAAAACAUCUCCAAAAAAUACCAUGUCAACCUCUUUAUUUACAUUGCUUUCCAUUGUCAUUAUUUUUUAUAUAUUUGAUAUCAUAGUAUCUUUUAUAGAUUGUUUGUUAUAUAAAUAAUAAAUUCAUGAAAUUUAUACCUUGUAAUUCUUAAAAUUAUACAAAUUUUAAAUUCAACCUUUCUAUCUAAAAUUUGUUCUUUAAAUAUCUUCUUCAAAUUUUUAGCAACUUCAAUAUUUGAUUGUAAUGUAUAAAGAGUUUUUUAUUUUUAUUUUUUAUUUUAUUUUAUUUAUAUUUUUUUAAAAAAAUUAUGUAAUUUUUUUAUUAUCUCUUUAUGAAUGGAAUUUUUUAUUUUUAUUAUUAUAUUUAUUUAUUUUUAUUAUUAUAGUUUUUUUAUGGAUUUUAUUAUUUUAUCUCUCAUUUAUUUUUCUUCUAUAAAUGCUUUAUGAUUAUUUCUUAUAAUAUAUGUAUCAAAGAUACAAAUUUCAAAGAAAGAAAUCUUCAAUAUACUCUUGUGAUAUUGAAAAGAACUAGAAAGUCACUCAAAGAUGAUAUAUUAUUGAACUAGAAUGGCUAUUGUAAAAAACAAUGAGACUAGAAAGACUUGAAAUAAGACUAAGUACUAGAAAGGCAUUGACAAAAGUGAAGAAGGCUUCACUCUUGCCUCCAUAUAUACUCUUAACUAAGAGCUAUGUGGUAAUGUCCUAUAAGACCUCCAAAACAUGUUGACUUUGCAAGAUACAUAUCUUAACUUACAAGGUAAGUUUUUUAUAUGUAUGCUAUAUAAUUAAUUUAUUUUUUAAGCUAUUAACAUGUGAUUAAUUUUUUAAUCAAGUUUCUAACCUAUCAAUCAAUUACAUACAUAUAUAAAGUCAAAGUAGCAUAUAUAAAGCUUUUAAGAAGCUUCUCUAAAAAAUAUUAUGAAAUAAAUUUAUUUAUAUUUAUUUAUAUUUAAUAAUAUAGAUAAAUAUUAAAAUAAAUAUGUAUGUUGAUGUCAUUAUCCUUCCUUUCAAGAUUGAAUUCUAUAAGGAACGGUUAUCAUAUAUUGAAGAAAUCCAAGAUGCGACAAAUUAUAUUUGCCACAUAGUUUGAUCUUUAUUCUCUUUGAGGAUGAUUGACAAGUCCUCUCAACUAUCAAUAAUAUUUUAUACCACGACAAGAAGACUACCUUGUUAUUUGAUUAUUCUUGAGGCUUUUAUAACUCCCCUCAAAUAAAACAUUUGGAACACUAUCAAAAGUCAUUCCUACCUCUAAUAAAAUCAUCAAACAUUGAGAGUCUCUACCAAGUUGUGAUACCAAAUACAUUGUAUUUUGCCAUGUAUUUGAAGAAGUACAUGUUGUUCUUGACGCUCUUCAUCUUGAUUAUGUCGACUUAAAGGUUGUGACAAUCAUAAUAUCUUAUCUAAUAAAUAAAUAAGUAAAAGUUCUUGAACUAAAUUUGUUGAUUAUUGGUUCUCUAUUUCCUUAGCAUCAAAAAUGCACAAAAUUACCAAAUAAUAAUAAAAGAUAGAAUGAUAUCUUUUUAAAAAUUUAUUUCUUUUUAUAGCAAAGAAUUUUUAUUUUUCAUCUUGAUUUUGAUGGAUGUUGUCAAUAAAAAAAACUUCAACCUUUUUUAUUGCAUUUACAAGAUUCUUUGUUGGCUCCAUGUUUAUUCACUAAUAUCAUAUUUGUGCUAAUAAAUAAGAUAUUCUAUCUUGAUACUUUCUUGAAUCUAAGAUUUCUUUUAUCUUGAAUUCUUGAUUAUUAUCUACUUCUAUAGGAAGAGGCAACAUUUGUCUUUUUCUCAAGAUAUUCAUUGUCUUAUAAGGCUCAAAAAAAAACAUAUGAAAUAUAUAAUAGAUCUUCAUAGACUUCAAUAGAUGUAAUCAAUAAGCAAUAAGAUUGACUUAUUCAUUAAUAAAAAAAGUUUAAGCCUAUAAUAGUCUAACUUGUUACAAAGACAAGUAGUCUUAAUAUUUCAAUGAAGUAGCCAUACCUUGUCACUCACAUUAAAUUGUGAUUGUUCCUUGCAAUAGGCAUCCACAUUAAUCUUUUAUUGUUCUUGAGCUUCUUUUAAUUGUAUCUUCAUUUUUUUAUGUAAUUCCAACAAAUAAUUUAUUAAAUCUUCUUUUAUAGGAUUAUCAUUUUUUGAAAAGUCAAAAGUAUCAAGUCAUGGAUGAUAACCAUAGUUGGAAAAAAAAUAUAUUUGUUGAAUGGAAGAGUAUACUAAAUUAUUAUAUGUAAACUCUGCCAAUAGCAAAAGAGUUGUUCAAUCAUCUUAAUGAUAAUUGAUGAUACACCUCAAACACUACUCCAAAACUUGAUUUAUCCUUUCCAUUUGUCUAUUAUUUUGAAGAUAAAAAGCCAAAGAGAGCUUUAUAUCUACUUUUAAAAUCUUAAAAAGGAUUCUCUAAAAACUUGAUACAAAUUGAAUCUCCUUAUUUGAUAUAAUAUCUUUGAAAAUCCAUAAUAGUGAUAGAUGUUAUUAAUAAAAAUUUAACAAUUCUUCUACUUGUGAUAGAUUUUGUACAUGGUAUAAAAUUUGCCAUCUUGAUAAAAUAAUAUACUACCACAAAUAUAGAAUCAAACAAACCUGAGAUUGAAAGAUCUAUGAUAAAAUUCAUAAAAUAGAAGACCAUGGUUGUUCUAGAAUAAGUAAUGGCUAAAGAAGUUCAUUAGAUUGAUUGCUAAGAUUUUUUAAUCUUGAAUAAAUAUCAUAUGAUUAUACAAAGUCUUUGACUACCUUCUAUGUUUGAGGCCACUAAAAAUCUCUUGAUAUUAAUUCCAAUAUUUUGUUGUAUCCAAAAUGUCCAACUAUUAAAAAGUCAUGACGAGCUUGAAAAAGACAUAAUUAUGCUUUGCCUUCUAAAAUAUAUAAUUAUCUUUUAAAAUAAAUUAUGUUAUUUUUUAAUUUAAACUUAAAAGUAUCAUGAAAUUUAGAAGAAUUGUUCUUGAUAUCAUGAAUAAAAAAAUCACGUGACAUACUUAAUUGAAUUUGCUUGUCAAAGAUUGAAUCAAUAAUCCAUACAGAUUUUAUUAUUCAAAGAUAAAAAUGCUUUGACUUCAAGAGAAUCAUUCUUUGUUGAUUAAAAGAUGUAUUUUUUAUAUAUAAGAUAAAAACUUUUAAAAAGAGCAUCUAAAAAAUCUUAUUGUUUUUUGGAUCGAUAAGUAAUCUUAAAAUCAAAUCUUGAUAAAGAUAAGUUCCAACGAGCUUAACAACAAUUCAAAACAUAUACUAACAUGAAAUACUCAAAGUUCUUGUGAUCUGUAUACAUGGUAACUAGACUCAAGGCACCUUUUAGAUAAUGAUGCCAUUCUUAAAAUGAAUCCACGAUUGCAAAGAGCUCUUUGUCAUGGAUUUCAUAAUUAAUCUUGGUUGUUGAAAAUUUUUUGGAAUAAAAAGCUAUAAGAUGGAUUUUUUCAUCUACUUCUAUUUGUGAUAAUAUUGCAUCCCAGCUAAAAUUUUAUGCAUUUAUUUUUAUAAAAAAAAUCUUUACAAAAUUCAAUACAAUUUAAAAUUAAUGUAAAUAUAAAUUCCUUCUUUAAAGCAUUAAACGAUGCUUUAUUUUCUUUAUUCUUCUCAAGUUUGUCUUUACAAGUUAAACAUAUAACUAGAACUUCAACUUGAGAAAAAUUCUUGAUGAAGAUCUAAUAGUAAUUGGCAAAGCCCAAAAAAUAUUACACAUUUCUUAUUAUUUUUAAAAUCUUCCAAUCCAUGAUAAUUUGAACCUACUUCAAAUCCAUCAUUAAUUCUUUGUUGAAAAUAAUAUAUCCUAAGAAGUCAACUUGAAUAUUAUGGAAUACAUACUUUUUUAACUUGGCAUAUAAUCCUAUAUUUUAAAAUUUUUGUAAUAUACAACUAUUACAAAUUUUAUGCUCUUUUGUAUUCUUAGAAUAGAUUAAGAUGUCAUCCAAAUAACAGACAACAAAGUUUUUAAGAAACUUACAAAAGACAUCAUUCAUUAGAUGUUGAAAAAUGAUUAGUAUAUUUGUGAGUCCAAAAGGCAUGAUAUUACAUUCAAAAUGACCAUAUCUGGUUCAAAAUACAAUCUUUCAUUCAUCUUCUUUUUUAAUACAGACCAGAUUAUAUGUUCUUUAUAGAUCUAUUUUUGUAUAGAUCUUUGCUUGUUUAAAUUGAUCAAGAAAUCUUGAAAUCAAAAAUAGAGGAUACAUGGUCUUGAUGGUUAAUUUAUUGAGUCUUCAAUAGUCCAAGCACAUCUGCAAAGAUCCAUCUUUUUUCUUCACUAAUAAGAUAAGAGUCUUAGUUGGAGAUUUAAAAUAGCAUAUGAAGUUCUUAGCCAAAUUCUUAUCAAUGUAUUCUUUGAGUAUAGCCAACUCGUUUUGUGAUAGGCUAUAGAGUAGUCCAAAUAGUAGUUGAGCUCUUUCUUGAAGAUUGAUAGAGUAGUCAUAAAGACAAUGCUCUAAAAGAAUAUAUGCAUUCUUUCUUUUCAAAAAUGUCUUAUAAAACUUGAUAUUGGCUAAAAUAUUAAUUGAUGUUUUUCCACCAUUAAAAAUAGAUGUGGCAUAUAUAACAAAAGUUGAUCCUUCUUUUGUUGCAUACAUGAACGUUCUUGUACCUACCACUAAGGAUUUGGAUAUAUUAGAUUUAUGUAUUUUUACUUGAUUUAUAGAAUUUUUUAUUAAACUACUAAAAAAAAUUAAGGUUAUAAGAAAUCUAAUCUAUUUUAAGGUUAUAUUUUUUUAACCACAAUAAUUCUAAAAUAAUUAAAUUAAAAAGAAAAUUUAUAAUAUUAAAUAUUACUAUACUAUUGUGAUUUUUAAUUGCUACAUCUAAAAAGAUAGUUUCAUAGAUAGCAUUUUUAGAAGACAAUAAAUGAUCAUCUAAGAUUUCUACAUGUACGGGAUUAGUUUUCUUCAUUUAAGAUAUUUCUUGUUUUUUGACAAAGUCUUUGUCUAUAAAACAAGCUAAGGCUCUUGAAUCUAAUAAUGCAAAGACUUUGCAAUUUUUAGGUCCUAAACACAUAUCUAUUAAAAAAUAAGGUAAUAGAUUUGAGGAGAAAAUAUGAUCUUUAUCAGAUAUUGUACAUGAUUUCAGCUACACAAUCCCUAUUGAAGCUCAAGAAACUUGUUUUUUGACAUAUUAUCUUCUUUAGCAAUUGUGCUUCUUAUUUUGUAAUUGCGUCACUUUUUUGGAUAAUAUUGAGCAAUUUUCUUAGCUUUUUUAUAAUAUAAGCGUAUAUCCUCUGGACAACGUCAAAUCUUUUCUAAUUUUGUGAGAUAUUUAAAACAUGUUGUAUCAAUUUACAUUGAUUUUGGCAUUGAUGAAUAAGUUUUUGAAAACUUAAAAACUGCCAUCAUUACUUGACUUGUUCUUUUUUAGCUAAGCCUUUGUUUUUAAUACCUUUCAAAUAAUUGAUUGUUGCAUGUAAUAGCUUGAGCAAUAAAUUAUUCUAAGUAUUUUGCCUUUAGCAUUAUCAAUAACAAAAUUCUUUGAUAUUAUUAUUCAAUCCAUAUUAAAAUUGAUUGAUAAGAGCUUUGUCAUUUCAAUCCAUGUUACAAGCAAUAAUUUGGAAUUCAACAACAUAUAUGGUGGUUGACCGUGAUCCUUGCCGUAAAAAUAAGAGCUUAGUUUCUAAUUUUUUUUUUUGAUCAAUUUCUUUGAAUGUAGCCAUAAACACUUCUAGGAAUGAAUUCAAAUCAUAAAUGAGUGGUGAAUCUUUUUUCAUUAAAGAUGCAAAUCAAAGAAGAGCACUUCUUGAUAGAAGUGCACUUAUAAAUCCAACUUGAGUAAAUCCAUCAUAAUAUUAAAAGGGUUGCAACCUUAGAAUAGAGCUUGAAUUGUUGCAAAAAUCCUUGAAAUUUUGAUCUUCCUCAUUCAAAAUUAUCAGGCAUACUAAUUCAUAUCAUCAUUGUACUUAUAAAAGUAAAACUUCUUGGAUUUGGUUGUGAAGCCGAUCUAUUUGCUUCUUUCAAUUACAUAAUUUCUUGAUGCAAAUUUUGAACUUCUUUCAUAUGCAUAGGAUUAGUAUUUCUAUAGCUGGCAUUAGUAAUGUGUGAAAUUUCUAUUCUAUGAAUAUUGACAAAUUUGUAAAGAUUUGCAAUAAUUGCAAAUCUAUUCUCACUUAUAUUAAGUAUAGCAUCUAUGAUUUUUUCUUCUAUUUCAAACAUCUUAAGAAAUCCACAAGUCAAAUUAGAGAAAAGUAAUUUGCAACUUCUAUUAUCAAAUGAAAAUUUCUAAAAAGAAGAAUAAUUUUUUCUCUUUAAUAAAUAAAAUUAGUGUUAAAAAACUAAAUAAUUUUUUUAAAGAUGAAUAAUCUACAACCUUCAAAAUACAAUAAUAGAAGUGGGAUAAUUCACUCACUUGUAAAACAAGACAUGAACAAUAAGUUAGUACUCUUGUCAAAACUGUCAAGGACAUGAACCUCAAAGAACUAAAAUCUUAAUACACUCUUGUGACACUUGAAAAGGCUAAAAAAUUACUUAAAGAUGAUAUAAUAAUAAAUUAAAAUGGUUAUUGCCAAAGAUAAGAAGACUAGAAAGUCUUGAAACAAGACUAAGGACUAGGAAGGCAUUGACAAGAGUAAAGAAGGCUUCACUCUUGCCUCCAUAUAUACUCUUAACUAAGAGCUACAUGGUAAUGUCUUGUAAGACCUCCAAAACAUGUUGACUUUACAAGAUACGUAUCUUAAUUUGUAAGACAAGUUUUUUAUAUGUGCGCUAUAUAGUUAGCUUGUUUUGUAAGCUAUUAAUACAUGAUUAACUUGUUGAUCAAGUUUCUAACCUACCAACCAACUACAAUUACAUGUAAAGUCAAAACAAUGUCUAUGAAGCUUCUAGAAAGCUUCUCUAAAAAAUAUUAUGAAAUACAUCUAAUUUUAUUUAUCUAUACUUAAUCAUAUAAGUAAAUAUUAAAAUAAAUAUGUAUAUCCAUGACAAUAAAUAUUUAGUCUAUCACUUGAUCAACAAAUUGGUGCAUAAUAAGAAAGAAGAACCAAAAUUUUAGUAUAGCAACUUCAUAUUAUAAAAAACAAAAACAAAAUUAAGGUAUCAUAAAAAUAUUAAUUAUAUAUGAAAGCAAAUCUUUUUAAAAAAAUGAUAGAAUAGAAUAAAAUAUACUACUAAUUAUAAAGACUUUGAUUUAUAUAAGCAAACUGUUGACAAAUUGAGACAACAAAAAAUUGUGUUUAACACAUUAUUACAAAGAAAAAAAUAACAUUGAAAGUAAGAAAAGAUAUGGACUUUAUGCUUUCUUUGUCAAUGAACAUCUUUUAUCCUAUAGCACAUCCUAACUCUAGUAUACAUGUCUCUUCUUAAUUAGAGAACAUAAUAUAUUUAGUAUAUAUUUAGUAAUUACUAAAUAUUUAAUUAAAAAAGAUUAAAAAUAUAUAAAUAUUACUACAAGAAAUUAUAUUAUAGUUUUUUAUUCUAAAACAUGAAAUUUAAAAAUAACAAACAAAUCUUUUGAUACAUAAAAGUACUAAAUUCAUAGUUUAUUCUUAAAAAAAUCAUAUUUUUUAAAAACAAUUGUGGCCUAGUGUAAUUAUUAUGCCAUAAUCUAAAAAAUAUAAAAAUAUAAAUUUACUAAAACUAAAGAAAUUAUAAUCUUUUGUCCAACUAAAAUUCUAAGGAUUUUAAAAUGGAUUAAGAUACAAAUGUUCUUUAGUUUUCAACUAUUGGUACAUACUUCUAAACAAUUACAAAAUAACAAAAUGAUUAGAUAUAAAAAGUUGAGAUUUGAACUAAUUAUAAAGAAAAAAAUAUAUAUUUGACUUAGAGUAAUGAAUAAUAGCAUAGUUUGUUAAAAAAAGGACAUAAGAUAUAAUAUAUAAAAAAUAAAAAAAAAUAUAUUAAAGUAUUUAAAAGGUUUAAAAAAGACAUAAAUUAUAGUAGAUAAAGUAGAUAAAUUGACUACACACACUUUUCUAAAAUUGAACUUUACUCUAUAUUCUAAUCUACUUAUAAUAUAUCCUAAAUUUGGCCUUAAUGAAAUAAGUUUCUAAUUAGUACAUAGUACUAGAUGGAUGAAAAAUUUAAAUAGUUUUUUGCAUCAAAACAUAUUAAUAAAUCCUAAACUUUUCACCAUGUAUAUGAUUUUGCAUUUAAUUUAUGAAUCUCAAACCUUUAAUCUAAUACCUUUCCUUCUAUUAUUUUAGGAACUUCUAAUAAUUGGUUGCAUGUCAAUGUCAAUAAGUUUUUUUCAAAAUCUAAGGUAGCUACCUAACAUCUAUGUAUGUAGACAUGCAUGGAUGAUAAUGGAUGAAUGUACGAAUGGAUGAUGUAAAAAUAUCAAAGUGCAAACUAGAUCCAUGUUUUGCAAAAUUGGUCAAAUUGGUACCUUGAAUUAAGGCUUACAUUUAUAUAAAUAUGCAUUAUAUAUAUUAGCAAAACAUUACAGUUCCCUAUGUUUUAAUUAAAAAUAAUAAUAAUACUAAUAAAAAGGUUGGCAACAAUUUAAUCAUUAGUCACUGUUGGUGAGCACCAUACAUCAUUCACAUGAAUUGUUUUCAUCCAAAUACCGAAUGCAUGAAACUCAAACACCAAUCCAGUCCACGUCAGACCAUCAGCGUCCCAUACUGAAAUUCAAGUACCAGCUGGUAAGCCGAGAUUCGCCUGCCUGGCGGGGGGGGGGGGGGAUUGGCUCCUCCCUAAUAAAGGGAACACGGCCAGGGAACAACUGUCAACGAGUAGGGAACAACUGUCCGUAACGUGCGAACGAAUCGCGACGUCGCGGCUUGGGCGGAGUCGCCAUUGCGUCUCCAGCGCAUUCCACGAGGCGUACCAGGCUAAGAUCCCUCUGAAAACUUGACGUCGUAGACCACCUAAGAUCUGACUCAUCCGACGGAAGCGUCAAGCAAUGCUAUUCGAUUCUGCGAAUCAUAUAGUGGCUGUCAGACACUUGCCGCACCCCACGGCGUGGCGUGAUGUCCGAUGCAGAUUGUUUGAUUUUGUGCUAUACGAGGCGAGGUAUUUUGCCUGCCGCUCUACAUUCCGUUUGUUUCCUUUAGUGGACUGGGAGAACUAGGCUUGGAUUGGGGAAGCGGUCUGGGCCUGCAUUAACGCGUAGGAACAUGGUGCUUAUGUGCGAUGAUGAUCCAUGACGGAGCUUUCGUGAUUGUAGCGCGUGUAGUCGGUUCCUUCUGACCGGAGCCUGUGUCACCCAGUGACAUUCAUAACGGUGCGGCAAUUGUCGUGUCCGAAUCUCUGUUUUCGUUGACGCGGUGCCUGUUGUGGGUUGAUUUGCAGGGCACUCAUCCUGGCACAAGCAGCGCGUUAUUACUGUCUGCUUCACGUGUAAGGUCUUGCCUCGAAUGUUAGUUGGAGCUUUUGGCAUCUAUUGAUAACUACAGCCUUAUCUAUCUUUCGCUAUGGGUUUUCUGUUUGGGUGUCAUGCGAUUGACGAGUUUUGGGUUUCCAAGUAGUUAUUUAAGGUUGUAUUCUCUUUUUCCUACGCUUGCGUUGUUGUAGCAGUGAGGAGUCCGUGCUUUGGUUGUCGGAUUUUGUUUGCGUUAGAAAAUAUGGCCAGCAGGCACACACGCCAUAGCUCGGUGGACACGUUAGGAUGGAUUUACACAAAUCGUGUAGAUACACCUCCUGACGAGACGGUUCAACUCGACCAUUCUGUGUCCACACGUUUGUCAAAUUUCGCGCGGGACAUGCUCCCACCCAUCAAGAGGCAGACUUCGAUUCGGUUUAAUCCUGGAGAGUACUUUGGAGGGUGUUUUGGGCCUCACAAAACCAAGGGCUCUGAUCAUGGCUCCCAGCAGCCAAUCCUCAUGGAUUCAGACACUAUGGAUCCUGUGCACACCACAACACGCCGUCCUCCGAGAUCCAGGUCCAGGUCACUCUCCACAUCCUUCCUGGGAAAUUUCAACUUUGCAGCCAUGAAGUUUGGAGAGAAGAAUGAGGAGGAUUCGUCAUGGGAGCUGGAAAUGCGAGUAGCGGAGCUGAAUCACAAAGCGGCAACUGAAGUGGACAGGGUGCAAUCGGGUGGUCGGUGGGUAAUAGACGAAGAUGAUGAUUAUGUGAAACCUCCGGCAUGGAAGCAGGCUAUCAGGAGGUUGAGAGCCGAGGCCAAGCGCCAUGUGCAUCCGGCAACACCGCGAGACCGCUUGACAAACUAUGACGUUGAAAAUUACGAGAAGAAUUUCGAUGACAAUGAAAAAGGAUCGCUGUAUAUGGUGGUUGCUGCUAAUGACGAGUUCGGGGUGAAAGCAAGAGUGCUACACACAAAUCUUCUCGCGCGGUUGCAUUCGCACAGGUUCGAGGACUCGCUUAGCCAAAACCCCCCUGCUAAGCUCUUGAAGUGUACUUCUAUGCCGGUCGCGCCUGUGAAUCUUGUCUCGAAAUCAUCUAGAGAGGACGGUGUAUCCAUCUGGCAGAGGCGACAAGCUGCUCGGCCACUCGUGAAACUUGAACUGACAAGAUCGAUGUGAAUCCGCAACGUACACUCAGGAACUAGCCAAGCUUCAGCUGGACCUGUACAUUGCACAGCUUCAGGGUUCUCUUACUCUCAAGCACACAAUGUUCACAGGAGGUUCUCGGAAGUUGUGGGCGCAGUAAGCAAGCCGACCGCAAUGCGAUUGAUUCCUCGCAUGUCAAUUACUGACCAAGCGAUCAAGACUGCAAUGACACUCCAGCAGUCUGUUCUGAAGGAUAAAACUAGGCUAUCUCUUGCAGUUAGCGACAUGAUCUACUUCGUAGCCUUGGACUACGAGACUAAUGAUUCAAUGGGAGGAAUUUCUUAUUCCUAUUCUUCAUAAUAACCCGUACUAUUCGAAUACCCCUGAUAGAAAGUUUUCGGGACGAUGAAGAAGCAACCCAGCUGUAGGAAUCUUCCAGGGGUGUGUACAUUACAGUAGGAUACAGAAGUAGUAGCGCGACCUUAUACACACAUCCUAUUCGAAUGUGUAAUCUCCACGACUUCUAAUCAGAAGCCACUCUUGGCUCAAUUGCGUAUCACGGCGUCAUAAUUUUGAUCCUGGAAUUGCGUUGAAUGUAGUCACUACAAUCGCCUCCGCUCUCUUCCAGGGGAACGAUAUGUGAUCAGGUUCUUUCUACUCGAUCACCGCGAGUAUUCACGUGUGCUUCUCACUUAAGAGUGAUAUUAGCUUAAGAUUGGUUCCCAUGACUGAAUUAGAAAUUUUGGUUACAAAGCAUUUGAAUUUUGAAUUUGAAUGUAUGAAGACUAGUAUAUGUUCAAUAAUUUUAAUGUUUGUGGUCCGCGAUCCUCCUUCUGCUAAAUCUAUCUAUCUAUCUAUCUAUCCAUCUAUCUAUCUGUAUGUGUUCAUUUAUAUAUAUAUAUAUAUAUAUAUAUAUAUAUUGUAAUCAUUCUGUAAUCACUUUGAUAGAACCUUUCUUAUCAGGUACCUUAUUUAAAUAUUAGCAUACUCACUUUUUAUAUCAUUCAACAUGAACAUGUAAAAUAUUCACAAUGCUAAUUUUGGCUUGUUGUCACUUUAAAAAUGAGAUGUUUACCAAACUUUUGGCAUGGUUGACCAUGUGCCAACUAGAUUGGAGUCCAGUAUCCUUAUUUAUUCCAUACAUAUAUAUAUUUAUAUAUAUAUUUAUAUAUCAUCACAAUGUAGUUUUUUUGUAAUCGAAUAAAUAAUUAAAAAAAUAAGUCUCGAAGAAAAGAAAGAAAGUAGAAAUGGAAAAAGACAGAAAUAAGGAAAGAAACGAAAGUAAGGAAGUAGCAAGAAAAAAAAUAGGAAUUAAAGAGAAGGAAGUUCGACGAAGAUGGAAUGAAAGAAGAAAUGGAUGAAAAGAAAAUAACAGAAAGAAAAAGGAAGAAUUCGCUGUCUCGAAGAAGAAUUAAAGCCAGAAAGAACGAUAAAGAUCGUAAAGAAAAGAAAGAAUGAAAGGAACUUUUAACAUGAUAAGGAUGUUAAAGACAGAACUGGACGGACGAAAAUACGAGUAAGGAACGAAGAGUGGACAGAUGACGAACGAUGAUGGACGUGGAGGAAACGAGAAGCGUUGGACGGACAAUCCAGCCACCAACUCAACCAAUGUGCCGUUUCGUGUGUAACCGUCUCCCCGACUCUUCCAGUUCUCAUGAAUCGAUCCAGGGCCAUGUUCCCGCGUGAUAAUCAUCGCUCACAAUCAGCACAGUUCCGUCAUGAAUCUAGCAACAACGCCCCGCUUUCACGACCCCACUAUUUACCUUGUAAUUUGGUAGUUUUCAGAGAAAAUUAAGGUAGCUUUUCUGUAGGAUUCGGUGAUGAUUUCGGUAUUUGGUUUUUGGAGGUUUAUGAGAAUUUGGGUGUUUGUUUAAUGAGUUGGCGGUUGAUGCUUUGGACAUGGCAGCCAGGAAGUUUAAGUGUGAUUGAUGGUCUGCUGAAUUUCGGUUUAGCAAAGGGAAGCAGGGCAUGCAGAGAUUUUAGAUGCCAGGAUGGUUUUCUCACCAGGUUUUGUUGGUUGGCUCUGACUACGGAGGAACCUUGGAUGGAAUUUGUGAGAAAGGAGUAAUGUUUUGAGAUGCGGAUGGUCUUGUACGCCAGGGAUAUUGGCGCCGAAGAGGCUCUACGUUUAGUUUACUGUAUGUUUUAGGAUUAAGAGUGGAGAGAAGAAGAGAAUGGUGCGAUUCGCAAUGCAGGCACUUGGAACCGAGUCCCCGCUUCAGAGACCAUCCAAAAGAUCCCGCAGUGAACCUCUGCUGGAGCUUCCAACGUCGCCACCAUUGCCUUUACUACUGCAAGAGGAAGACCACCAAUUGGCAGCCACGUUCGACCCUGACACUCUAGAUUGUCAGAUCUGUAUGGAGGCUCUCCAUACCCCAAUCUUUCAGGUAUAUUCAAUCGCCAUGUGGAAAAUUAGUCUAUUGCCAGUCGUUCUUGCUACGAAUUUCGUUCAAUAGCAGAAAUUUUAAUGAUGUAGAAUACUGUGAACGUCAUGACAGUGCUCAAAUGGCCACAUUGCCUGUUCGAGCUGCUGCCAGAAACUCGGCAACAUUUGCGCAUCGUGCUCCAAACCAACUGGGAGAAUCAGAUGCUUAGCCAUAGAGAAGCUUAUAGAUUCCCUUCACAUGAGUUGCAGGAAUGCAGAGUUUGGUUGCCGGAAGAUGCUGAAGUUCACAAAGAGGAAAGGCCACGAGUUGUUCUGCCCUUGCACUCCUUUCGACUGCCCUGUCUCGGAUUGUCCUUUCUCAGGAGCUGCCACAUCCUUUCCGGAUCACUUCUCCGAGUCCCAUCAGAUAAGGACCCUGAACUUCCAAUACGAUGUUUGGUUCACAGCCGUUCUAAACCCGACAGACCUUCAUUUGCUCUUAAAAGCAGACAACAUGGUGUUUCUUCUCCACUAUGAAAAGGAAGAUUUGGGUAACUUAGUAUUUGUUACCUUAUUUGGAGCUCCACAAAGAGAGGAGUUCUUUUCGUAUCACUUGGCAGUGAAAUAUGGUCAGACCAGGUUGACGAUGGAGAGCGUGCCUCGAAGUAUUCUGCGAGCGGAUAAGCGCUCAACUAACUUUAUUUUCAUUCCUAGACCUUUGAAUAUACCUGAAGGUCUGUUGCAAAUAGAGAUCUCAUUUCAUCAUCCUGGUGAAGACAUCUCGGGCUUGCAGAUCAGCCCCUAGCUCUCCAUCUUGCGACAGUAUUUCAGUGCUUCCCUACCACUACGCUUCCCUGUGCAGUUAUUGAUUUGAGAAACUGUAUUAUAAUACGAGAAAAAAGGUUGAAAUAUUUAACGGUCAACACGACGUAACGGACUGAGGGUGGUAGAUUGCUUCACUCUUUCACCUUUUUCAAUGGGGAGGAGAGGGUUUAAGCGUUAAGGAAACUUUCCUAGCUUCCUUGAAGCAUGAAAUGAAGGAUAUGGUUGCCAAUGUUGCAAAGAGGAUUUUAGUUACAGUUGUCUGAUCUGCUGCACUGUGCUGAUUCCUGUAUCCGGUUGGAUCACAUAUCCUCGUGGUUGAUAAUCUUAUCUCCUCCUCUCUUGUACUAGUGUAACAAUCUUUCUUUCAACAUUGUACCAUUACCAAGUAGAGCUAGUGAUGUCCAUUUUAAAGGGCAUUUUUUACCCUGGAGAAUACUUUGUACUCCAAUCGUGAUAUUUGACACAGUUCCAGAUUCUUUUUGCCUUCAUUCAUCAUUCGAUUCUGCAGAGGUGCUCAAACACUGAACAGUGUAGUUACAGAGAACCCGCACAAAUGUUGUCAUUGUGUGGAUGCUGUUCAUAGCACAAUUGUCAGAGGUAAGUAAUCUUCUUUCAUCUGUUUAGAAAUUGUGAGUCUCGGAACGAUGACUGAAUAUUUCUACACUGACACUGUUUUGUGAUAACAGUGAUUAGACUGACGUGCACAUGCAUCACAAUAUUGUAGGGCGAUUUUGGCAGCUUCGUGAUCAGUAACUUGUUUCAAAACUCUGCCUUCUAGAGCGUUAGCUUUGGACCAAGUAGCAAUUGAUUUCUAGUUUUCUGAGAGAUUGCUUUCUAGUUUUGACAGAGAUGCAUAUUAUGUAGAGUGUUUUUUUUUUUUGUCUUUCGUGAACCUCAUCUAACAGUUUGGUCUUUCAAGUCUUAAAAUUUUAUCACUGUUAACAUUCAUCAAUGUCAAAUUAAAACUUUAAAAAAUCCAAUUAAAAAUCAAAACUAGUUAUUUUUUGUAGAGAUAUAGCAUAGAAGGAAUGUACACGCAGUAAAAUAGAGGUGUCCACCUAUUAGUGGUUUCCUACUUAAAAUAUCAUACUAAAGUAAUAAAAAUUAUUAUUAUUAAUAUUAUGAUUUUAAGAAUUAAAAGAUUUUCUUAAAAUACUUAAAAAUUGCAAUAAUCUAAGAUAUCAACAAACAAAUAUUUUUCAAUUCAUUUUGCAAACUUGUCAAGUAUGAGAAACCACUCAAAUUAAGUGUUUUCAAAGAUGAAAUACUUUCUAAGUUGUUUGAUAAGUUUGUCAAGCUUUAGGAACCACUCAAAUUAAGUGUUGUCAAAAAAGAACAAUUUGCCAAUUCAUUUGGCAAGCUUAUUAAGUUUUAACGAAUUACUCAAGUUAAAUGUUGUCAAAGAAGAAAUAUUUGCUUAUUUAUUUUGAAAGCUUGAUAAAAUUAAGUAAUUUUUAAAAUUAAGUAAUUUUUAAAAUUAAGUAUAAUAAUAAAAGAAAGUUUUAGUAAUUUAUUUGACAAGCCUAUUAAGCUUGAGCAACUACUCAAAUAAAAUAUUACUAAAAAAAGAAGAAUUUCAAUUUAUUUGGUAAGCUUAGCAAGCUUGAAUAACCUUUCAAGUCAAGUAUUUUCAAAGAACAAAAAUUUUCCAAUUCAUUUAGAUAGCAUAUUAAGCUUGAAGAAUUUCUUAAAUAAAUUUUUUCAAAGAAGAAAUAUUUGCCAAUUUAUUUGAGAAACAUGUAAAGUUUGAGUAUUAACUCAGAUAAAAUUUUGUCAACAAAGAAAGAUUUAUUAAUUUAUUUAAGAAGCUUCUCAAGCCUAAGUAACUAUUUAAAUUAAGUAUUGUCAAAGAAGAAAGAUUUUUCAAUGUACUUGGCAAGCUUAUCAAGUCCUAGCAAUCUUUCAAAUUAGGUAUUGUAAAAGAAGAAAAAAUUACCAAUAUAUUUAGCUAGCUUGUUAAGCUUUUCAAACUUUAGAAAUCUAUUAAAUAAUAUUUUGUGAAUAAAAAAAUAUUUACCAAUUCAUUUGAUAGGCUUCUAAGGCCUAAGCAAUGACUCAAAUAAAGUAUUUUUAAGCAAAAAAGAUUUGCCAACUCAUAAGAUAAGAUUGUCAAGCUUAAGCAAGUACUCAAAUAAAGUGUUGUAAAAAACCAAAGAUUUAAAAUUUUAUUUAAUAAGUUUGUCAAGCUUAAAAAAUCUCUUAAAUCAAAUAUUAUCAAAGAAGAAAGAUUUUCUAAUUCAUUUGAGAAACAUAUAAAGUUUGAAUAAUGGCUCAAAUAGAAUUUUGUCAACAAAGUAAGAUUUGUUAAUUUAUUUAGUAAGUUUUUAAAGCUUGAUUAACCAUUCAAAUCAAAUAUUGUCAAAGAAGAAAUAUUUGGCAAUUUAUUUGGUAAGCUUGUCAAGCUUGAGCAACCACUUAAAUAAAGUGCUGUUAAUAAAUUAAGAUUGAACAAUUUAUCUGGAAAAUUUUUCAAGCUUGAAAAAUCUUUCAAAUUAAGUAUUGUCCAAAAAUAAAGAUUUGUUAAUGCAUUUGGAAAGCUUUCCAAGCUAGAGUAACCAUUAUAAUAAAGUAUUAUUAUAAAAAAAUUAUGAAGGUUGCACAACCACUUAAAUAAAGUAUUAUUAUAAAAAAAAGAUAUGCCAAUUUUUUUGGAAAGAUUAUCAAGCUUGACCAACCUUAAUUAGAGAUGGUUAUUUUUAGCUAAUUUAACUUCUAUUAUUAUAAAUUUUAUUUUUAUUUUAUUUUAUUCUUUUCUAUAAUAAAAUCAAUUUUGUAUAUAAAUAAAGACUAAUAUGUAGAUUCUUGAUUUUUCAAAUAUAUGUAUUAUUAUUUAUAUAAAUAUUUUAAAUUAAAAUAUUUUAAAUUUAUAUAUAUAUAUAUAUAUAUAUAUGAAAUAUUUUGAUUUUUGUAGGAAGGCAUACAUCUAAAAGAAAUAUAUUAUAUUAAAAUAAAAAAAUCCUAAAAAAACAUGAUAGUAUCACAAGAUACAAAGAAAGCCUAAAGAAAAGCACAUUGGAGAUAAAAGUCAAAAUAUAAAUUGCAUUGAAGAGAAGGGCGUCAAGCAUUAAUGACAAAUAAAUUAGAGAACAAUAGUCCUCAAUAUAAAAAAUGACAAAGGCGAAGGAAAGAAGUGAUGGAAUAGAUUAGAAGAUGGUUGAGGUAAGGGAUAAGGAUUGGAAAUAGAAACAAGAAAUAUAGAGUUGAGAUAGGAGAUGGAUAGUGAGAACAUGAACUAAGUAUGGAGAAGGGAAGAGAGAGUUGGAACAAGAGCUUGGAAUGGGAAUUAAGUAAGAAGGAAUGAGAAAGUUGGAAAAUAGGUUGGAAACAAGAAUAGAAAUAAGAAAUGAGAGGUUUGGGACAAGACGAGGAGAUAUGAAUUAAGAAUAAGAAUAUCAAAUGAGAUGUUAUAAUGAUGGUUUUGAUAGGUGGAUUGAUUUAACUACUAGUAGGAUUAAUUUAAAUUUUUCCUAUUUUAUUACCAAGUAUAAUACCUUUUAAUUAUUUAAUAACAUAACAAAAAUAUAGUUAGAAAUUAUAAUCUAUUGUAUUAGAAAAAAUUUAAAUAUAUACAAAUCUCAAAAUAUUUUAUAUUGCAGUAUGCAAAAAAAAUAUAAAAUUCUUCUUAAAAAAUUCAUUCCAAAUUUUUAUGCCUUUAUAUUCUUUUUUUUUUCAAUAAUUCUUUGGAUCUUAUCUUAUACUUAAACAUAUAUUUUUAUCAUUCUAUUUUUAUUAUUUUUUAUUGAUUGAUGAAUUAACAUAUCUAAAAUAAUACUUUCAUCUUGUUUUACUAAUUUAUUCUUUUUAUUGAUUUAUAUUUGUAAUAUACUUUCUUUUUUUGUACCACUUCAAUAAUUACGAAUUAAAUUAAAUUACUUCAAUUAAAUUAUUGCAAAAAAAUCAGCAUAUGUUCAAAAACAUUUUUUUUUAAACUUUCAAGGCAUCAAACCUUAUCUUCAAAAUAAUCCAUAGCUUAUGAUUACUAUUUUUAUCAUCUCCAUCCAAAUCUCUUUAUCCUUUUAACUUUUGUAAAGUUAUUUUCUAACAUCCCAAUCUCUUUUAUUCUCCUAAAAAUAAGCCAAAAACUUUUAAAUUCAAAGGUAGUUUAUUACAAGAUCUUAUAAUUUUUUUCUUAGCUUCAAUAAAUUCUUUAGGCGAUUUGUCAUUAUCCUAGGAAGAAUUAGCUAUAAAAAAACUUCAUACUUGCAUCUUUUUCAAGUUCUUCAACAUCGAAUUUAUAAAUAUUUGUUAGAUAAUAUUUUAUUACCUUCUAAUUUUAUAUUGUUAUAAUUAAUAUACUAUCUUUUUUAGGAUGUAAAACAUCCAUAGAAUUAAAAUUCAUUAUAUCAUUAAUAUGUUUCUUAUUUUUUACAUUAUCAAAAACUAACAUAAUUUUUUUACCUAUCAAUAAUCUUUUUAUUAUAUUUUGAGUUUCUUCCAAAUUCUUUGGUUUUGAUUGAAAAUUUAUUAAAAAACCAUCAUCUUUAUUUUGAAUACUUUCAACAAAACAUAAUGCAUGAUAAAUGAUACAUAUAUCUUACAACAUUAAAUAUAGUCUUUGCUAAUGUAAUCUUUUCUAUUCCACUUUGUGAAGGAUCUAAAAUCUAGUAUUAUUUGAUCAAGCUACUAAGAUUAUUAUAAUUUGAAGGAAACUUUGGUCUUUCAUAUUCUUCAAUUUUUUUUAUUAAUUAUUUUUUAUUGAUUACACCAUCAAAUAGAUCAUUUCUUGAAAGAAUUUUAGAUAAUGUUAUUGCAAAAGAAUAUACAUCUGCUUCAAAAAUACAUCUUUAUUGAUUCUAUUAUGUUUUUUAAUAUUCUUGAAGCUAUAUAUCUUAAAAUUCUAUCUAUGUGAUUUUUUUUUUAACUUUUGGAUUCCUUCUUACAAUGAUAUUUCACAAAUCAAUAAUAUCUUAAAUAUUAUUGUUAGAUUUACUAACAUUAAUAAUAUUAAAUAGGACAUUUUUUUAGCUAUAGAUCUUAAUGUGUAUUAGGGACAUAAUCCUUAGAACCUUUUAGAGACAAGUUUCUAGAACCUUCUAGAAGCAAGUCUCUGGAACCUUCUAGAAGUUUUUUAGUUGGUAGAAGAUAUUAGGGACAUAGUCCUUAGAACCUUCUAGAGAUAAGUUUCUAGGACCUUCUACAAGCAAGUCUCUGGAACCUUCUAGAAGCUUCCUAGUUGGUAGAAGUUGUUUGAGAAGCUUCCUAAAUAGAAGUAUAUAUUGGAAUCAAGGCUGAAGAGUUCUUCAGUCUCGACAACACAUCUCUUGGAGCUCUAGUUCACCUCUCUGGUGUUGUUCUCAUCUGAUCAAUCUAGUUCUUGCCAGUUCUUCUUGAACUUCUUGUUAGAUCUCGAGUCUGUAUUUCUGUAUCCAUGACAAUGUGUAAUUUACAUAUCAUAAAAAUAAUAAAUAUUUAUUAUAAUUUGAUACAUAACAUCAAUAAGAAAGUAAUAUGGCAUUCAUCUUUUUGCAUCUAAUAUGUUGCUAAAACUUCUUUGUAUCAAAUCUAUUACAAAAUAUAAUUUUUUACUUGAAUUAUUCAGUAGUAAGAAUUUACUAUUCUCAAUUGUAUUAUUUUUUGGAACUUAGUAAUAUUUGAUGAAGUUUAGAUGGCUUGAAUUAUUUAAGAUAUCUACUUCUUCCAUAAGAAUUGCAUUAAAAUUAACAUCCAUAUCUUUUUUUUCACCUCAAAAUCUAAACCACUUUGAUUUAUAAAUUAUUCCAAAAGCACUACUACUUAUGGCUUUGAUAAGUUUUAAAUUUUUUAUAUCUCUUGAUACUUCCAAAGAAUUCAAUUCUUUACUUUUUACAUGCAACAAGCCCUUUAAUCUUAUUAAUAGAUAAUCUUCCAAUCUAUAAUCUUUAAAUUGUACAUCUUUAUUUACAUAGUCUAAUCUUAUGUAAAAUUCUUUAUUAUUGUGUUUAAUUUUUUGUAGAUAAAAAUAUCAGAGAAUACUAGUAUAAUAUCUUCAAACAUUUUUGGACAUUCUUUUUGAAAGUAAAUCAUUUUUUAUAUUAUAAUAAGUCUUUAAAUUACACAAUAACUCUCUAAAAAAUUCUUCGUUUUUUAGUUGAAAGAUAUUUGCUUUACACCAAUGUUGUUGUAUAAAAUCUUUUAUCAACAUGUAUAUUCUUAAUGCUCUCUAUUUGAAUUCAUAAAAUAGAAGUUUUUAAUUAGUUCUCUUAUUGCUAUAAGCUCUUAAGGCUUCAAAUACUUUGAUAACAUGACCAAGUGGUUUACAAAUACUUAUACAUUGAUUUUUGUUUAAAAAUACUUUAGCCUAUAAUAAUACCUCAAUUUCUUGAUUGUAAUCUUGACUAGGCACAUCUUUUAUAUUAACUAUUCUUCUUUCGAAUACAACUCUAAUACCCUCUAUAAAUUUCUUAUAAAAAUUCAUAACAAUUGCAAAUUCCAAUGUACAACAAGCAAAUAAAAACCUCCAUAUUUCUUAAACAUACUUUCUAAAAAAUUGUACAAGAUAAGUUAUAAUAAACACUUAAAUGAUGUAUGUAAUUUGCCUUUAAUUACAUGAAUACAAUCUUAUUUCAUACUUUUUAAUAUUUUAAUAAAUUUUAAUGAUUUAAGAGAAAAUUCAAUAUAAUAAAAUUAUUUCUAGUAUACUUCACAUAAAAAAAAACAAAUCUCUAAUUACAUUUGGAAUUUUUUUAAUAAUUUUUACUAUCUCUAAUUAUUUUAAAUAUAAAAAAUAUUUACAUGUAUAUAUAAAAUAAUAUAUAAAGGUUUAUUUCAAUUGUAUCAUUAUCUCUACAAAAGUUUUAUGAUUGAUGUUCAUUUCGUAAAAAACAACUAGCAUUUGAUUCUUUAAUAUACUCAUUUGUUUAUUCAAGUAAUCAUAGAUUUUUAAAAUAUCAUUUGAUUACCACAAAACCUUCAUAUAAAAGUAAUAUAAAUACUAUUUAAACUAAUUUUUUAUAUAUAUUUUUUUAUAUACGUAAGAUUAAUUUAUAUCUUUCAUAAUCAUUAAAGUAGAAUAUUUUCUUAUAGCUCCAUCUAUCUUGCAAUAAUUAUCUUAUAUUAUCAAUUAUUGAAAUUAAUCAUAAAUAUGAAAUAUCACUAAAUAUAUACUAAAAUACUAUGUUAAAAUUGUAAUCUCUUCUUAUUAAGAUUGUUAGCAUAUUUGUUUAAUCCUUUAUGUUUCUUUAAUCACUCAAUAUACUAAUGACACAAUUAUAACUUAAAUUAAUACAUGCAAAAAAAACUUAAAACUCCAAAUUUGAUUGUUUGUAUAUUCAACAACUUAUUUAAGCCUAAGGUUGUAAACUUCUACAUCAAGCCUUAAUAUAUAUAUUGAUUGAGAUACUCAAGCAACAUUAUUGUUGAUCCAAAGUAUCACUAUACACUUGUUAUCAUUGUAAUCUAUAAAUUACUUUGACUUUCAAAAUGCUACUAUCAAAUAUAUGCAUUCACUUUUUAAUCUAUCCAAUCGAUAAUAUCAAUUUAUUCUUUGCUUUAGAUAGUAUCUUGUAUUAAAAAAAUUACAUGUAUUAAAAGAAACAUCACUUGCUAUUGCAACCACAACACUACAUAUAUGCAUCAAUAUAACAUUACGUUGCAUAAGCUUGUAUAGAUGUAUUAAAAUAUUAUGCUUUUAGUUAGUACAAGAUAUCUCUAACUCCUAAGAUCUAGCUAUACUUAAGAUGAGAAUCUCACUAAUUGCAUAGUUAUCAUUUUGAAGAUGCAAAAAAUAUUUCCUACAAUAUUUACUUUAUUAAUCCAUAUAUGAAUUGCUAAAUAGAUUAAGUGAAAGAUUUGGAUGCCAUUGCAACUAAUCAAAUAUGCUUGAUUAUUGACAAACUUGCAUAGGAUAUAACAAGUAUGAACUUAUAUAAUUUGAUUGUGUUUAUCAAGCAUAUUUUCUGGAUUUUGAGCAGUAUAUUUGAAACACAAUAUAUUUGAAAUACAAUAUGUGCUAUAGGAACAAUCUUGGAAUAAAAAAAACAAAAAAACAAAAAAAAAACAAAGGACUAUCUACCAUGAAUGGCUCUCCCACUUUCAUAUUGCUUACAUGCAGCACAACAAUAUCAAAGUGUAUAUGUAAGCACAUAUUUGAGCAAUUUGAAGCAAAGAAAGAAUACACAAUUAGAAGCAUUUUGCAGCAAGGACAAGAAGAAGUGAAGGAGAGAAGGAGGUGAGGAUGUGUUUAAAAUCCAACUUGGUGCAGAUAGAAAGGACACAUAUGGAUAAUGUCAUUCAAAAGGCAAAUAAAUAAGAGAAUGGCUAUUGCCACAACACAUUUGCUAAGUAUACAAAAUUUGUGUCAUUCCAAAUUUUAGGAUUUCUGUGCACCAAGUAAAUUUUCUAAUUUUAACGACUAUUUAUUUGACUUUGUUAAUCUUUAGUUCAUAACUUUUUCUUUGUUAAAAAUAAUAUAAAGAUUGCAUGUAAUAAUAUUGUUCUAACUUUUAUUGUUUAAAAACUUAGAAUACACACACACACACACAUAUAUAUAUAUAUAUAUAUAUAUAUAUAUAUAUUUCAUAAUUUAUAUUAAUUUUUCAUAUUCUCAUUUGCAUUUGUUUCACUAUAAAAGUUUAAAUUUAUCUAUAUUAUAAUUUAUAAAUUAGAAAAUCCAACAUAUACAAGCCAAUGGUUUAUUUCACUAUCAUUUGUAAAUCUAUGUAUGUAUUUGAAUGUAUGUAUAUAUAUAUAUAUAUAUAUAUAUAUUAAAAUGACCCACCUAUUUACUAAAUCCCACCCUAUUGUAGAAAACAAGGGUGGGUUGGAGUAAGAGCUAGGAACAAGGGGAUCAGAAUUUUUUUUAAAAAAUAAGAAUAGAAAAAGCAUGGAUUGGGAAUAAGGGAGGUAGGGAUGAGGACCAUGAUUGUAAUAAUGGUUUCUGGAGAUGAUCCAAUUUUCUAAUGAUGGUUAUGAUAGGGUAGAUUGAUUUAAUAUAUGGGUGGGUCAUUUUAACAUUUCCUUGUAAAAAAGCAUAAUUCUCUAACAUAAUACCACAAACCACCAUUUCUUUUCCCCCUUAGACCUCCCAACCCAACCACUUAAAAACCUCACAACUGCAGCCAACGAAUACCAUCCCCUACGAACGAAUCACUCCAUCCAUCCCAGCAGCAGAUGUCGUUCAUCCGCGCAUAAAAUUCAUUCAUCGACUCCGCACCUCCUCCUAUUCGGGAAUCAUUCUACAUCAUCUGCUCUGGUGCUGCUUCAGAGCGGCGUUGUCGUGGUGUUCAUCGUUGUGGUUAUCGUCUUCCAUGGCGACAAAUUCUCAAUAUCAAGUGCAUCGCCAUCGCACCCUCGACUACUCACAGACGACAGUAUCUCCCAGUGCCCAACGAUCACCCCCAAGAUAUUUCUCUCCCCCACUCGCGUUGCCCAAUUCCGUUCCGAAACGGGCCCAACUCGCUGACGCCGCAGCGCCUUUGUUGAUGGUCUUUUGAGGAUCUGAGGGCGAGUGUGAAGCUGGUGCCGCCAUGGAGGCCGUUGUAGCCGGAGUAGGGCAGGUGCAGUGGGCACUGGCAGGACAUUUGAGUGCCGAGAAGGGCUUGAGAACGGGCGCGAGUGUGAGGUGCGGGUAUGGAGGAGUAGCGUGGGGGAGUCGACCUGCUGUGCGGUGUGCCAGUGAGAGAAGGAGGGAGGAGGCUUUGCGAGUCCGAGCUGUGAGUGCGGAUGGAGGUGGUGGUGAAGGUAACGGGGAAAGGUUUGGACGUGGUGGUGGCGGUGGAGACAAUGGCGGCAAUGGCGGUGACUAUGGUGGCGGUGGUCGUGAUGGGAGCUCUGGUGGGGAUGAUGCCGGUGGGCGCGCUCCUGAAUCUUCUUCUGGCAUCUUGGCGUGGUAUCUGUCUUACUCUUCCUGGUGGUCUUAAGAUGGUGCUGCCUACGAGGCUGGCUGGGUGAUUGGUGAUUUGCAGGGGAUGAGGUUGAUUGCGCACACUUGACAAAUGUGAAGUUGACAUUGAGGUCUUGUGGCUGAAUUUCAGAAUUGUUUAUUUUUGUAGAUGUUUAGGGUUUAUGGUUGGCUUCUUUCGUGUCAUGGCAUUUGUAAGUGGUGCUUGUCUAUACAAAGUUGUGUUUCCUUUGUUUUGAAUUGAGUGUUGAAUUGGGGUUUUUGAUAUUACCAGGAGAAGUUUUUUGUGCUAAUUUUCGCUUUUUGUAUUUUCUGCUGAUGGUGGUUUAGGUACAUGGAUCGAACGCAAAAAAACCCAGUCACUACUAAGGCCAUUACAGCUGCUAUCCUCAAUCUUUUAGGAGAUAUCUUUUGUCAGGUACUUGACACUGUCUUUUCUCCGCAUUCUACUAAAAUACGAGAAUUCAGGAUAACUACAAAGAUACGUAAUGUCCACUAGGGGAUUGUGGACAAUCUUUUGUGCUUAUUACUUGAGCCAGUUGUUUUCAGUUUCUGCAGAAGAUCCUCACUAUUUUGGGGGAAAAUCAUCUCCUGCCCUUUGCGGGUACAAAACCUGUCUGCGCCUAGCUUCCAUCAUCUAGACGUGUCUUUAGCCUUCAUCUAGUUUGGCUACAUAUACCUGACGUUGUGUAAAUUUACAUUUUGUACUUGAGAAGAUUAUUUUGGAGUUGUCAAAUCUGUCUGGAUGCAUCAGAUGUUUCCAUCUUCUGACAUGAGCCUUAGCACAGUUUAGAGCUGGAAUGUUGAUGGGAGGGCCAUUUUUCUACUUUUUCUUUGGAGGGGUAAUUCAGAUGGCUGACUGUAAUUUAUACCACGCUGCGAAUUCCUUUUGAUCUAGCAGCUGGACAUAGCAUUUGAAUUGUAUUCUCAUAGUUGACCAUUGUCGAUUGGCAGUUAGUGAUCGACAAGUCCGACAAAGUCGAUGUCAAGCGAACAGCAGUGAUCACUUUUCUUGGUUUUAUUCUCGUGGGUCCUACAUUGCACACCUGGUAAGAUAUCAUCUAUAUUCUAUCGUCGUGUUGCUUUUGGAAAGAUUAUUUGUAAUCAACUCUUCAUUACAUACAGUAGUCUGAAAUGCAUAGUAGUAGUGAUAUGCACGCCGAUUGCUUGGAUUAAGGAUUAUGGAUUUGGAGGGACAUUUUGCAGUUUUUGGCAUUUCUCACAUAUUGCCUGUCAAUGUGAUGCCAGGUAUUUGGCUUUGAGCAAGGUGGUGACAGCGACGGGAUUAACAGGUGCUGGUGUUCGACUUCUGCUUGAUCAGGUAGAGUCCCCUGCCUAUGCCUGCUCGUGCAGAUAGUGGCUUUUUUGGAUGUGCAGCAUCAGCACGGCCUGCAACAUAGAUUAAUGAAAUUUGGUUUGUAUUUUGGAGUUAUUUUUUGUAGUCCUUUGGUUGAGGCCAUAUGUACUUCUAGCCCUUCUUCGAAGAUAUCUACCCAGAACUAUUGUUUCAGCUAGAUUGAUUUAGUGCUUCACAGAUCAAAUAUCAAUAAGAAUCUGGCAAGUAUAAAGAAUGUUAGGCAUGUUAGUGCAGAUGUAUGACAAGGAGUUCUAAAGUUUUCUUUUUCUUUUUCUUUUUGCUGCAGUUUUUGUUUUCGCCUGCUUUUGUGGCUGCAUUUUUCGCUGCAUUGUUGACACUUGAGGGGCGCCCGAAGGACGUCAUCCCGAAGCUUAAGCAGGUUUGUCUUCCCACUUUUUAAAAGUUAUGAGAUUACUUGCAGGAACAUUUGAAAGAAACUCUAGUAUUGAGUUGCCAUGUGAGUCAGCUGGGAGAGUUCUUUUGGUCUCUCCUGAUCGUCUUCAUUCAUCAUGCACACUAGCAUCCUGUUUUUAAAGAGGCUGUGAGUCUUUACAUUGUUUUCAUGGUGUCAAAUAUAUGGUUCUGUUUACGCAGGAGUGGAAACCUACUGUUGUUGCUAAUUGGAAGCUUUGGAUACCCUUCCAGUUCGUCAACUUCCUUCUUGUACCUCAAAAUCUUCAGGUGAAUUUCAUGAUCUGUGUUCAUGUGCUGUAAUGUCGCGCUAGAUAUCUAUCUCAGCAAUCAACACAGUAGUCUGUCUAAGAAGCAAUGUUACUUGUUGACUUCCGAGACCUUAAAAUGGAUAACUGGUGGUUUGAAUUUUGCAGGUGGCUUUUGCUAAUGUGGUUGCCUUAGCGUGGAAUGUAUAUCUAUCUUUUGCUAGUCAUAAAGAGGUGGCUAUAGCCAUCCCAACGGCAACUGUAGAUCUUGAGAUGUCUCCCUUUGAUGAGGAAACGAAAGAGUAGUCUAUCACGAAAAUUCCAACCUGAAACCAUGGAACUUAAAGAUGAUAUACGGAGUAUGGUUAAGUGCUCCUCCUUGUGUUUGGGGUAUGUAAUGUACACACUAGUUGCACGUUCAGGGUGAGAUAGGAUAACAUUCGAUCAUACCAAAGUGAGGUUUGAUGCAGUUCAACGUGCUUCAAAGUUGUCCAGUCGAAGAUGGCGGAACUUUUAAUAGGGCUGCUCCAAAUUUUCACGCUUUGAAUAUUGUUUUGAAUAUAUUUUUGAUUUUUACGAUGACAUCGGUAUGUUAUGUCUUGAAUUUUCACAAUGAUGCUCACAAGAAUCAAGUGGUAAGCAUCAUUUCAUGAAUCAUUGUAAUCAUACAAGUGAACGCUAUUCACGUGUUUGUUUAUGUGCUUUGCACUAAUUAUUUUAUGUACUUCCUCUGCGUUAAUGAGCAGAACGCUCGUUUUACUCACUCAGAAAAAAAUAGACGAUAUAAUUAGUGGCUCCAAGGAAGUUUUUUACCGAUUGUAAUGCACAUUCAAUGUAAUGUUUGUGUUGUAACCGCCCAUAAGUGCAUAUUCAUCAUUCAAGUUAAUAAAUUCGACUAAUGAUAGUAAUCAUUUGGUGAAGCUGGUCCCACAAUUAUUCAUCAUCAUUAGCCAACUUCCUCCCCUGAAAAAUUGCCGGAAGGCCAUCGAAUUAGAAAACCGAUGUAAAUUUUUAUGACACCGUAAAUUGCAUUUUCAUGGAGGAUGACAGUUAUGUGCACAUGCACGUACCAGUCACCAAAUACAUGUCCAUCCGUUCCCAUUCAUUCAGGUGGGUGAAAACUGUAACCUCCGCGGUAAUGAAAUUACGGAUACUCUUCAAUCAAAAACACAUAUCAGAUCUCAGAAUGGUAAAGCACCGUUCAAACUACUUAUUAGUGAGCUAACAACACAUUAUUUCCACUGCCUCAUGAAAAAAAAUCACUGCGCAUUACUCGUAAAAAAAACUCCUCUCGCUCUUUUGUACACGGCUAAAUUACCUGAUGGAUCACUGCAUUAGCGAUAUUACUCUCGCUCUCUCUACCUUCACUAUGUUACAACAAGAUACAUGAUCAACAAUGCAUCGACCAAGUCCCUCUUUCUCUAAAACAGGUUGGUCCAUUGCUUCUAGUAAAUCAUCAAAUACUGGUGAAUGGAUAAAAAUCUUAGAAAAUAUCAACAAGGUGAGGAUUGGCAUGGUCCCCUCUCAAAAACCAGCUCUCAUCGGCGCUCCCAUCGCAAGUUCCGCUUGAGCUCUUCCGUCCACCAAGCCAAACGCUGUAGGUCGUCACGGUAAUUGAACCAUGCUGCGAUGUAUGAGCUUUGGUUCUGAUCACGAGCACCCAGGUGUCCUCUUCACGAAUCGGCCCUGUUUCAACCAAAUACCAGAGAAACACCUUCAGACAUCUAGACAUUAUACAGUUGCCGACAUAGCUGGGCACUUCAACAGAGACAAACAAUGAGAGAGUGAGAUGGCAAUUUAAAACUCCAUUGGCUCACAUUAUUCUCAUUGCGAAAAGACUGUGACAUUGCAGCAUUAGGAUGUUGUAAACUGUAUGCACAAUUGGGUUUCUGAGCAUAUGUUGAUUCAUGCAAGCGAGGCAUUGCAUUGUUGAUGAGUGCUCAAUGGAAAAGGGGAGGAUGCACCGAGCUCACUUUCAUGCGAGGCCGACACUCCGCAUUCAACUUGCGAACUUCGUAGCGGAUCUUUUUGGAGAAAAGCCGAGUCCGCCGUUUUUCCUUGUAACGCAUGACACGAGCUUCUCUUCCUCCAUCACCUCCUCCUCCUGGAACUGCUUGGCAUCCAUUAGAAAGAUCUGGGACCAGACCAACGUCACCCUGGAAAAAAUGAAGCGGAAAACACUGGUGUUAAGUUGAAGAUCGGCAAGCAUUUCUGUGUGCAUCCUUCGUCGACGAUAGUGUGCGUAGAAAACAUUUUCACAGUGCGAAAACAAAUAAACAUAGUUACGAUGAGAGAAGAUAUGUAUAUGUACUCAAAAAACUAUUUUCGUACCGCAAUUUCCGAAUAGGAAUCAUCUGGCAAUUUCUGCGGACAUUUUCCGUCAGUCCAGAGGCAGCGGUCGGACCAUGCCGAUAAGACAUCUUCGUAGUUCAACUGCAACAGCGAAGGCGUGUGUUUCAUCGGCUCACCCUCGAGGGAGCACCGCAACACGUCUGCUACUUCUUUUCUGAUGAGAUCGUAGCUAUCCGGCACUAUACACUCUUGGUUCACUUCGUAGUAGAAAUCUUUAGAAAAGGAGAAUCCCUUCUGCUGUUCAAGGCUCAUUUUAGCUUGAAGGCUGCAUUCCAUGCCAUUGCCAAGUCCACCUCCGUUUACCUCGCAGCAUUCGUCAACAAACCCAGACGUAUUCUCACAAUCUUCCUCAAAAGCGUCCCCAUUUCCUAAUCCCACGAUGUCUGAGAAUUCCAGGGGAUAACCUUCGUAACGCUCGUCGCUCCCACAAAGCUGCAAGCCAUCUCCCACACACGCCAUCUCAUGGCUGUUGUCCGAGUCCUCGUCUCCAUUGCCAGAGUCUAAGGGACUCCCUGCAUUCUGGUGGUACUCGGUGGGUGCUCCAAUGGCACUAUCAAAGUCUUCCGUGUAGCCAUUCGGCACCAGAAAAUCUGGUCCGGAGUCUCCACUGCUGAGCUCCUCGUACGCGUCCUCCACGCCCACGUACAUGGCCGCAGUUGCGGUUGCCCUUCCCUUGCAAAACUCUGCCAUGGAUAUCCCCGUGGCACUGUCAUGGGCAAAGGAGAGAGGAGACUCCUGAAUAUUGAUGGUGAUGAAGUUUGGCACCUCGUGGGAUUCUCCCGGAUUCCUGCUUUCGGUUUUCAUUUUACCGCGGCGAUGUUCUGGGUUGGAAAUGUCGGCCGCGUGUUGAAGGUGAGGAUUGGGACGUUGGCAAAGACGAGAGCGCUUGCGUGACGGCAGAAAGUGGGUGUGCGUCGACCGAGGAUGGUGAGGCUUGUGAGCGUCGUUGCCGUCGGCUCCUGAAGUGUCAACGAGGGCUUUCUUCGGCACUUGAGAAACGGUGCCGUGGGGAUUGAGACGGACACGCUCGUGGCGCGAGGCGAGAGCAUUAGCCGAGUGCACGCUCCGGUCGCAUCUACUACAAAGAUACGCAUUGUCAGCCUCACAGUACCAUCGUGCUCCCUGAGAGCCGCAGCCAUCGCAGGCUCUAGAAGCUCUCCCUGCUAUAGCCAUAGCUGUAGCCAUGUUGGUGUGAGCAGUGCUCUUCGGUCUCGCCAUUGCUUGGUAUCUAUUUGCAAAAAAAUGCUCAAUUUCUUUGAAUUCCUAGUACCUGCUGUCUUGAAGACAGUAACACGACCGAUCCGAGAGUCUUCAGAAUCCUCUGUGCCCUGACGUGAUUACAACCUGCACCUUCAGUGAAUACGCAGGAAUAUAUUUCCUUGCCUUCUCAGCGUUUCCAACUAUUCAAACAGAUUUUGAGUCGCUUUAUCGAUUCAGCGAUGUCGAUAUUCACUUCACCACAUGAUCGUGACCCCGGUCCCAUCAACGCUUCCUAACAAGCUUACAAACAAGAGCUCCAUUGCUCCGAAUUGACCAAAAUCAGCAACAAACAUUAAAUCCAGCUAUCGUCUCCCAGCACCACUUUCACUUCAUAACAACCACGAAUUCGAAAAAUUGACCACUACUUCAUUCGACCUAUUUCUUUUCCUCAUGAUCGUCGAUAAACACUUCAGCAACAGACCAAUUCAAAUGCACUAGGCCGAGGCCCGCCAAGCUCAGACUGCUCAACUGAGUAUCUAGCAACCGAGUGAUGAUAGAGAUGUCCGACCGCAGCUGACGCUGCAAUAACCGACCAGAGCUGGAACGAACCCAACCAGAUUGACAACCAGAACUCGCGACUCCACCGCACUACAUCUCUUCCGACACUAUUCAACCACCGCAAACAGUGAUCAUGAGACAACGACCCAACCUCUACCCAAAACCAAACUGGCGCAACCAGUCGCGGAGAGACCAGCCACACGUCCUACAAUGCAAAGAGCGAAGCGACGACGAGCAGGCAAAAAACCAGUCGCGGUCGGGUCCGAGCUCGAAAUCUCAACUACUGUCGUAAAGAGCACGAGUCGACAGACAGUUCGGGGAAGAGAAUUCCAUGCACUGUCACGCACGCUGAGCAAAAUCCUUCGGCGCGAACUCGCAGCAACAGCUCCAGCGCGAGACGAAACGGGACGCGGGACGCGGUAGAGGGCACAGGCGCGACGCGAGGGGAGCUGGAGAGCAAUAUGAGCGCGCAACGCGAGACGGCAACGCCGCCGUCGCCUGGUCUCGAUCCCACCUCAACGACUCGCGACGCACGAAAGGGGGCGUAAGGCCGUGGGCACGGGUUUAGGUAUUGGAGGGGGCUGGGAGGGAAUGUAAUCCCCUUCUGGCUGGAGUUUCACCCCCCACGGCCCCCAUUUUAUCCACCGCCAGUCACUCCCUAGCAAUAUCUCUGCCACGCUGUAUUAUCCCCUAUUUGGCCCCUUUGUCUUUGUGUUGGCUUGGGUUGCUUUUGUAUGGAAAAAUGCCAUAUCUUCUCAGCCUUAGCUUUGUUACUGAUGGAGCUUUAGAACAACACUCCUCUACAAUUAUCCAUUUAUCCACAACCCAGGAUACUGUCUUUAUUAUCAAAGCAACUGGUCAAAAGCCAUAGUGUAACAACCCACAAGCUACACAUUGCAGAGAGAGAGAGAGCAGUACAAAAUAUUGCGCUCCAGCUCCAAGCUUCUUGUGAAGUAUAGUGAUGAACUAUAUCAGUGGAAAUUCACUUUCUUCCAUUUGUUGACUAUUAUAAGUUUGUGUCAUUCUACAACAAAGACAUCUUUGCUGUAAACACACAUUUCCUUGAAAAAAAGAAAAAAGAAAAAAGAAGCACAGAUCAAGCAAAAAUCUCCAAUAAUUUGCCAAAAAUAUUUAUUUUAAAAAAAAUACAGAAAUAAUUUUACAAAUUAGUUUGUGAUGAUGCUCAAAUUUGAGGUGAUUAACAAUCCUCAAAAACCAAUGAGCAUGUGGAAAGAAGUAAAUAUAUAAAUACAUAUCAACUUUGAUACUUGACAUGUUUCAGACCCUUCAUUGAUAUUUAUAAAAUACCAUUCUUUCUAUAAAUGUUCACUAUCAUAAUUCAUAUUUUCAUAAACCACUUUUUUAUCUAAAUAAAAUCAUAAAAAUAACAGAUAAGAGUCAUCUCAAUAUAACUUGCAGAAACAUAGAACGAUAAUUGCAUCUCAUUUUUUCACUUUUUAAUACUGUCCAACAUCAGUAUAUUAUCUAAUAGUAUCAUUCAAAGUUUAUUUCAAAAAUAUAAAAGAUAUGUGAAGAUUAAAAAGUUAAAAAAUAAAUAGCAACAUGAUCCAUUGUAGUAUGACUAUUGAGGAUCAAUAAUGAAUAAAGAAUAAUAAUUUAAUUACAUUCUUUUAAUUGGCAACAUAUUAAGAUGAAGAAAUAAAGAAAUUCGCAACACAACCUCGUGUACUAAGUGAAAAGGAUAUGGAUGAACAAGUGAUGGAUGAGAAAGUGACCGCGAUUAUGGACUACAUCCCGUUGGUCUGAAUGUAAUCCAUCCAUCGGACCCCAUUGAUAGGGAUUCCUUCCUCCAAGACCGCUGUGGGAUCCAUUACCGCCCUUCUGCAACAGGCUUACGAGAAGAGAUUUCAUUUCCACGUGGAUGCCACCUGGAGGUCUAGUCACGUGCGAGCCUGCUCACGUGGCUCUUGCACCCGUCAGUGUGCCGGCACAGAUUGUCCAUGUGUCAUGCUGCCACGCCAACAGCACGUCGCCUCGCUUGGAGAACAAGGGGGAGCGUGUGUGCGCUCCCUUUGGGCACAGGGAACAUUAAUGGGGAACUUUAUGCAUCUUCUGUGUCGUUUCAUUCGUGAUUGGGUCCGAUUAAAUAAUAAUAAUAUUUGUGAUUAAGUGAUCGUUGAUUUCCACCCACAAGCCCAUUUCUCAAAAUAAUUUUAAAAUUGGUUUUUGAGAAAUUAAUCUUUCUGUGACACUUGGUGGCCUUAGUACAUGGAGCUUCUGAGAUGAUGAUGAUGAUGAUGAUAAUUAUGUUGAAAAUGUUAUUAAUAGUGAUAAAGGAACAAACAAAUGGUUAAAAGCACACACACAUGUGUUUAUAUAUGAAUAUAUGAAUAUAUAUAUAUAAACUGCAUUUAUCUUACUUAACUUGUAAGAAGUAUCAAUUAUUGUAAUAUAAAGCUGAAUAAAAUGUAGUUCUGCUCUUUUCGGGAUUGAUUAUUGCAUUGUCAUAAUACUUUCAUACGAUAGGACUGAUGUAGGAAAUAACAAAGCUGUGGUUACUUUUAUAUAUAAAAAAAUUAAAAUUAAAAAAUAGAAUGUAGCAUUGUAGAAAAGUGCAGGAAUAUUUAAAUAUUUACUAUAAACUGUUACUUGGCCUAUCUAUUUGCACUUGAAAUCAAAUAACAAUAGAGUAAAAUACACAGUGGCAAAAUAGUUAUUAAGCAUAUUUAGUGUAAAAAAGGUAAAAAGAACAAAUGGCUAGUGGACCUUUGUAAACAAAUCUUUCUAAGUUGGACAUUUUUAUUUUUUAUUUUUAUGUUUGUUGCUAAUAGACAAAUAUACACAUUACUGCUUCAAUAUAUAACACUUAUAUAAUACACUCAUUACAAUUAUAUACAUUUCGUUAAAAAGAUAUUUAUCAAAUAUAUAUUCUGACUAACGACUCAGUACUUGAUGUAUUUACCAGAAUGAUCCAUUAAAAGUAAUUAAAUCACAAGAAACAAACUUUUUUCUGAAUAUUCACAGAUAAUGAAAGUGCAAAGAAGUUGAGCACAUUCAUUUAACCAUUUCAAUUCUUCCCUUUAAUAAACAUGAGAUUUUGAACUUCUGAAUGAACAUUCGAAGAAAAAAAUUAGUUGCCUUGCAAGAAAAACUUAAAAACCCAUCUGUCACAACUUUCAAACAUUAUUUGUUCUUUGCAAAAUUUGCUCACAAACCAAGACCACAUGAUUUUUCAUCCAUGUACAAUUUGGAACAGGCAAACCAAUGGAAUGACAAAGCCCCCAAAAAGUACAAGAAAAAUUGGGAACAUCCAACUAAUUAUUUACAGAGAAAACAUUUUAAAAAUCCAAGGAGUCCAUGUCAUGCAAAAGUAGAGAUAUUUCCCACAGAGCCCGACAUAUUAAUGAUAGAUGAAUGUCGAACACUUUGGAUGAAUACCUGAAUUCGUUCAUCCUUCGCAGAUGGGCCAUGUCAGCAGGCUGAUGGGUACGUCGAAGGCGCAUAGCCGCACCUGCGUUGGCGAGGUUCGGCCAACCCACUCGCGAUUACGAGGUUCGGUUUCCAGGUUCGGUGGGUCUGGCUCGGUGAGGCACAGCCACACGAAGGGAAGAUGUGGACGCUGCCCUGCUCGCGGUCGACGCCACAGUGGGGUAACCGCGCUCUAACCAGAUGGAAAGCCGUGUGGUGACCGCCGUGUGUCCCAAUCCGGUAGAAGAAUGUUUUCAUCGCUGGAUCAGUUUUUGUUUUGUCGAUGCUGCUAUAUCAACAAACGCCGCAAAUGGAGGGAGAACGCAACCAGUGGCUCAUGCGCGGCCGCUGUGGAUCCAUCGCCACCGCUCCUGUGCUCAGGUCCAUCUUCGCCUUCCAGGUCUCUCAUCCUGGUUGACACUGAAUAAGAGCGAGAAUCUGCCCAUCAACCAUCGCCAACACAUCCACACGCAGGGGUGUGAUAUCCACCCUCAUGAACAGUGCGCGAGACUUGACCGUCGGAUGUUCAUGGUCAGAAUCCAUACCGGUGUGAGGAGUCCACAGAAGACGCGUUCUCGGGAAAGUCAAUGAGCGGAGUAGAAUGCCAACUCAAUAACCCGCACUGGAAACCAGGCCACACACACGACCCAAUCGCUGAUUUCCAGGGCUUUGUUGCUUGGGAGCUUUGCCACUGGAUUGCCGGCCACGCACUUGAGAUACUUUUUUUCUUUCCUGUACCACCCCAUGUUUCCGUCCCCACCCCUGACGGAUUCCGACGAGAUUCUGCACCGAGAUAUACAAGCUCUGGGAUGCAAGCUCCACCGAAGAACAAUGAGACAAAAAGGCCAGAAAGCACCCGCAGCGUGCGUCACUGUGCGCGAGUGCGAGAGUGUGUGUGCGUAAGAAUGAGUGGGUGAGAAACUACAGGGCAAGAGCCACAGCGAUCUCCUCCGCGAUCGAAUGGUUCUAGGAAACCCACAUCGCCCGCAGCGCUGUAGCUGAACCGACCUCCAUCGCAUGAACUUGCACUCUCUCAUCUGCGCCACACCCAGCGAUUCGAAAGAUGCCGGUAAAGAUGGCGGUUCCGCACAUCCGCGUGGGGUUUGCGUCGACUCUGUGAGCUCUGAACGUCUGAUCGAGCGGGUGCUUGUAUUGGGCCCUCCCGUCUCCAUCUUCAUGUCCAGGAUUCUAAUAUAUUUGCAACCACUAUUCUCUCUUCUCACAUUGAAAAUGCUCCUCCUUUAAUGUCAGAUUGUCUCAACUCUAGCUUCGCCAUCGAAUACAAUUCUAGAUGUUAUCGAUCCGCCGCCGAGAAGACUGUCGUCGAUCAUCUGUAUCGACAACUGAACGCUGGAUUGUCUCUUUUCAUUAAUAACAUUAUCAUUGUAGUUUGUUGUGUAUUUGUAUCAAGCUUGAACUAUUCAGCGAAACCUGAUUACUGUUUGAUGUACUAUGAAAACCAUUCGACAGUCAUAUAUAUAUAUAUAUAUAUACAUAUACACACAUAGUUCAUACAUAUACACACACACAUAUAUAUAUAUAUAUAUAUAUACAUAUACAGUGAUGUUAGAUUUAUGGGAAUUUUUUGUAAAACAUCUUUAACAUGAAAUAAUCAGGGAUACAUUUAUAUUUUAUAUUUUUAAAUUUAUAUUUAUAUUUAACUCUACUAAUUUUUAAUUCUACUAGUCGAAUUAUGAGUUUUUCCGACCUAUUUGAUGUAGAAAAAGAAAUUUGUUUGGUGCAACAUCAUUUAGAACAAUCAUUCACGACAAGAACAAUAGAAUUGAAAGAACUAUCUAAAAAGUAAGUUAUUUUUAUAAAAACAGGCAAAAUGUAUUUUUAUACAAGAUAGUUUCAUGUUAUACAAUAAUUUUAUUGUUUGUUCUCAUAUAAGUAUAUAUUUUUAGCAAAUGUCAUAUAUUUAUUUUUAAUAUUUAUAUAAUUUUAUGAUUUCUAAAGCUACUUUAAAAAUAGAUAAAUUUAAUAGACAAUUUUUUUUUGUUAACAUUACAUUUCCAAUUGAUAUUGCUACACCUUAUGUGACCUCCACACAACUAAAAUUGACUAAAAAGCAUACCCCUACCCUUAGGGUAUAUUUGACAAUUCAAUAUUGAAUCCCAUUUCUGACCUAAAAAUAAAAUACACAAAUAAAUAAAUAAAUAAAUAUUUUGGUAGCCAAAUAUAAGUAAAGAAUUAAAUUAAGUAAUUUUAAAGGCAAACAUUUUAGUUUUAAAAUAGCUCUCAACUUUUCUUUUAAUAAAAACUCACUACCUCCCUCUCAACCAUCACCCUUUCUUAAAGCAAAGAAAUGUGCAAAAAAUAAAAAAUAAAAAAGACAUAUUAUUAGCUAGUUGUCUAUGAGAAAGUCACAUAGGGUGUAGCAAUAUCAAUUGGAGAUGUAGCAUUAAUAAUUCUCCAAAAAAAAAUUAUUUUUUUAAUUUAUGAUAAUUGAAUUCUAUAAAUUAUGAUUUGUUCUUAUACUUUAAUAUAUAUAUAUAUAUAUAUAUAUAUAUAUAUAUAUAUAUAUAAUGGUUAUUUUAAAAUUUUAAUUUAUUCUAUUAUCGUAUCUCAAUUUAAAAUUCUUAGAAUGAAUUUAUUAGGAUAUCAAAUAUAAAUAAAAUAUUAUCUAUUUUUAAUAAUAUUAUUAGUAAUUUUUAUAUAUGCAUAUUUUAAAAGCAUUUCCAGGAAGAAAAUUGCCUUUAUAAUUUUAUCUAUGAAAGAUAAAAAAUAAUUAAAAAUAUUGUAAAAGUAUUUUACAAGUACAAUAAAUACAAGACUUUUUAAAAACUUUGUCAAUAUAGUCUGAAUGGAAUUUUGAAAAAGAACCUAGAUAGUGGUUAAAAGUUUUUUUUUUUUUUUUUUUUUUUUUGCAUAUUUUGUUGCAAGUAGAUGUAUUUUAAAGGUUUUGUUACCCAAUCAUGUUUAAAUAAUCACAAAGAUAUUUUUCUACACGACCCCUAUCUAUAUAUAUAUAUAUAUAUAUAUAUAUAAAUAUAUAAAUAAGUGAAUUAUCUAUUUUUAUAAAAUAUUUAUGGAAUCUAAUAAAUUUUCUAUUUUUUAAUUUAUCUUAUGCAUACUGAUUAUAAUAGUCUUACUAAUUUAGUAUAGGUAGUAAAAUUUUAUUAAAUUAGGAAAAUUAUCACAUAAAGAAAGUGUCUUUGAUGUAUUUAGUUUAAGACUAUUUAAUAACUGAUAAAUAAUAGAUGUAAACAACUAGCUAGCUAGUUAGUUUUUUUUUGUUUUUGUUUUGUUUUGUUUUGUUUUGUUUUUUUUUUUAGUUUUCUUAUAAAUAAAAAUUUACAUACAUUUUAUUUAAUAUUAAUAUAAAUUAAAUUAAAUAUUAAAUAGACACAUGCUUUUACUAAAUCAACCCAUCCUUGAUAAAGAAUAUGGUAGUCAUAAUAAAUAUGGUUGGUUUUCAUUGGUUGCUGAUCUAAUACUGGAGAGAUAAAUCUAGAGGCCAGAUUUUUUUUCAUGAUGGGUGGGUCAAUCCAGUAAAAACUUAGGUCUAUUUAACAUUCCUCUAAAUUAACUAGUCUUAUAUGUUUUAGAAACCUAUAUAUAUUUAAAAAAAUUAUUCAUAUAAUUUUACAAUUUUAAUUCGUAAUUGUGUUAUAAUUUUAUUUAACUUUACUAUGUAAUCAAUUACUUAAUAUUAUAAAAAUACAAUGAUUAAUAAGAAUUAUACAUGUUUGGUUGUUUUUUGAUUUUUUUUUUAUUUUAAGGAAAUUAAAAUUAAAAUUUAGAAUAUUGCAAUAUUUUUUUGGUGAAUAUCUAGAUUAGAUUAAUUGGAUUAAAGAAAUAAUAUUUUAAGAAAAUAUUUUAGUAUAAUUUUAAAAUUAGUUUUAGUGGCUUUACAAUAUAGAGAAGGCAAAAUGUUAUCAUGCAUUAAAUACAUAUAAUUUGAAGUAAUUGAAUUACAAAAAUAGAUAAAAAAAUCAUUCAACUUACAAUUUAAUAACUUAAAUUUUUUCUCAGAAUAGUGACAUAUUUUGUACAUAUCGAAUUUAGAAAAUGAGCUUUUAUAAGGUAAAUUGAAACGUUAUUAGAAAAAAUAUCUUUUCAUAUUCUAUUAUUACAUUUUUCUUUUUAUGUUAACAUUUUUUAACUAGCAUCAUUUUCAUAUUAUUUUAUACUUUAUUUGUAUUCAAAAUACAUUCUAAAACUUAAUCAAUUAUAUAAUCACCAGCACUACUAUAAUCUUUCUGAUUUCUAUUCCUUCACUCAUUGUCCAAAAAUUACAAUAUCUAAUUUUGAGAAAAAAUUGUACUUUGUCAAUCUCAUGAAAAAUAAGAUGUUAUUAAUAGAGAUAAGCAAUUUUUUGUAACAUGCAAUAGAAAUAGAAAUGUUUCAUCAACACUUACUUUCUAUUUACACUAUCAUUGAGCACAUAAAGCACUUCACCAUUUCAUUUGCCCAACUCAAUUGAGCCUGAGCUUCUGGAAAACUGUUUUGCAAACCUUGGUCAAUAAGUGCCACUCAUGUGAACAAUCCUCAAAACUCAAAAUCCUAAAGCUGAAGCCUUGAUCCUGGUUCAAGAUGAUGUGCAACACACAUGUUCAAAUUCCACAUAGAACUUCAACUACUUAAAUCAAUCUAUCUUUGCUUUGCUGAUUUGUCAAUACCCAUGUAACAAAAACUAAGCUACAUGUCAGAAGGAAACUUGAACUACAGCCACAAAACUUUGGUAUGCACAUGAUCUUACUGUUGUGAGCUCCUUUUGUUAGUCUUCCUUCAGCAUACACAGAAGCUGAAGAAUGACAGAAGUCCAGGUCUACAGCUUCAUUGGAACAUAAUAGGUCCAUGCAUUCUCCCUUUUGUUGGACCUUCCAAGUGUUGUAAACUUCAAAAUCACUGCAGGUACCACUGAUGGAUCAGCAAUGUAAACAUGCAUGAAAUGAAAUAUUGUUACAUAGAGCUAACAGCAUAGAGCAAAGUUGACUUCCAAGAUUUCAAAUAAGAGAGUGGAGAUUACCAGCUAUUAAAUCUUCCACAGGAAUUGUGAAUCGUGAAUAAAGAUAAGAGUACAAAAGGAGAAAGAGUUUGCAAGAUGUUGCUGCAACACCAGAAGUAUCAGUUAGCUAGAAUAAUCAAAUAAAGGCACCACUACUACCAUCACAACCGCCUCAGCGUAAAAUGAAAUGUUCAAUGAUUUCACAGCUUGUGCCAGAAUGAGGUGCAGGCUUUAUGUUAUGAAAAAAUAGAAGCAAAUUACACAAAAAAUAAAAAAAUAAAGAAAGUCAAUGCAAACCUUUAAGUUCAACUUUUCAUUAUCAAAAAAGUUCCAAUUCUUUCCAUCAAAAGAUCAAUCAAGCACUGAUACUGUUACUAUGAAUGUAAAAAUAAAACUUAUAUAUAUAUAUAUAUAUAUAUAUAUAUAUGUAAAUAAGCAUAUGUAGCAUCAAUAGGAGUUACUCAGUACAUUAAAAAAUUGAGUUUUAAGUCAGAAGAUUCUAAUUUUCAAAAUAGUUAAAAGAAUAUACAAGCUUACAUCAGCAUGCCCAAUGUCCACCAUUUGAGAAUCACUUUGUGAUAUAUAUAUAUAUAUAUAUAUAUAUAUAUAUAUAUACAUAGAUAGGUUAAUAAAGAGAUGACUGAGCUUCAAAAACAAUUCUGCAAGUGCUAAAUUGGUAAAUCACAGCCAUAAGAUGGCAAACCACACAUGAGCAAAGUACAAAUUACAAGUAGGUUAAUGAGAGUGUGUGAAGCAUUACAUGAUGUUACAACUCAAAAGUAACACUGUGGUCUCCUUGUCCAAUAUACAAAUCAGUCAGUACACUAAGAACAUAGAUAAUGAAGAAUUCAUAGCUUACCAUAAGCAAAGCAAUAACCUUUGUAAAAUAACUCAAAGACCCACAUCAGUCAUGCAUUACGAAGUAAGAUUCAAAAGUACUGCCAACCAAGACUAAGGGGGAUACAUCCUCUAACUUCCUAAUAGCUUCUAGCAUAUAUAUCUAAGAAAGAGCAAUGCCAACAGAACCCUCAGCCAACUAUCUUCCUUGCAACUUCAUGUACCUUCAACAGUUACAAGAGUUUUCACAAAGCCAGGAGCAGAGUGUCCAAGGUAAUCCAGAGCAUCACAGUAACAAUCAGUCAUAGUCUUAUUUACAUAAGUAAGGUUUUGAUCAUUUAUCUACUCUCAGUCCUAUGAUAUUAACCGUGAGGAAACAUAAGACCUGAAAUUAGAACUGAAGACAAACUAGAGGACACCACAAGUCAGAACUUGAUCAAACUAACAGAAUUUCAAGAGCAGUCAUGCUUAAGCUUCCACUUCUUAAGUGUUCCUUGAAUGUGCAGAAACCAAUUGAACAAAUCCGAACAAAGUUUGUUCUUACAUUUCAAGCAUCAAUCAAAUUAGAUUCAUGCUUCAAUUCAACGAAAACCUGAAGUAGCCAUGAACCGGUCAAUAGAGACAGCAGCAGCGCAAGUGCUCAGUUUCAAUCUUACUCACAGGAUAUUUAAAGUAAUUGGAUCCAGCUGAAACACCAUAUACUCCAUCUGCAAACGAGGUCAUAUGAUACGAUCUCAAGGACUUCAAUACAUGACAGUUUGAGAGAAUUUGCUACAGUAGGGACGUUACUGUCAGACGGAGCCAUUGUAUAUGUAGAAGACACCUUACAACGUAACAUAGUAUAUAGGAAUGUUCUAGUAAGGCCGAUAGCCUGGAUUUCCGUUAUUAUUAUUAUUAUUAUUAUUGUUGUUGUUGUGAUUCCAUCUGGUGGGACCAGCAACCCCAGCAGGAGGUUGAUGUUGGUGUAAGUGUUGCUGGUGUUGAUGCUGCUGGUUUUGAGUUUGAUUGUCCGUUUCUCCCCUCUUCAACUCCACUUUGAUGCGUUUUCCAGAGACAACCAUACCAUUCACUUGAUUGAUUGCUGCUUCAGCAGAUUGUGAGGAAUCCAUAGAAACAAAACCUGUUUUGGGAGAAUAGCAUAAGGGACUCAAGUGAUCGAAUUUUUUAUGAGCUACAGAGAGCAGAGAGGAGGAGCAGGAUAGGACAGAAAGGAAAGGUGAUGACCCUCAUGUCUAUCAAAUUUGAAGGGAAAAUAGGAUGAGACACCCUCGAUAACCUAUAGCAACAAACGAGGGUUUUUUUUACAACAGAACCUAUAAUCAAAGUUUGGGUUGGUGCUCUAAGCCCAGACCUAGACAAAAAGAAAGCGUGGGCACGUUUGCUAGGUGGCUUCAUUAAAUUGCAGUACAAGAGUUCGUUGACUUCUCAAAGUAUAAUUAGGCAAGUACUCAUUUAAAAAAAUUCCCGCAUCAACAUUUAUAAAGAGAAGAAUGUUGAAAAACAAUUACAUCUGUUCUCUCAAAACCAGAGGAAAAGUUCAAGAUGAAACUAACGACAGAAUGAGUUGUUCAAUGUCAAAACCAUGCAUCAACCAGGAUUUGUUUAUGUACGAAUUAAAGAUUUUAAAUAGAAAAUUUGAGCAUAGGCGUAAGCAUAUUAGAGAUUGAUGAAUUGGGUGUCUGUAAGGAUGCAAGCCUGAUGUUAAUUUGAAGAACAAAUAUUUGCAGUGUGAACUUUCAUGAAGAUAGAUAGAAAUUAACCAACGAAGUUGCCCACAAAGCAAUUGUAUAAACGAAAUCAAGUAUAGUUACUGCUACUAGAGGAGUUGUGGGCAGAAGGAUCCCAAUUCGAAGCUUGCCUUAAACACCACCGAAUUCACAGGAUAGAUGACGAAAAGAAAACUUUACUAAAAGUUUCCUGAGUUUACAGUGCGGCAAAUGCCAAAUUACGAAUCUUAAGACUUCUCAGUACGACUCUUAAAUCUGAACAGUGAAGUUGAAGAAGGGCUUGCUCAGCAGGAAUGGUCCGAGACCAUGACAAAUUCAAGCAAGGAAAUGGAAGGUUUCUAACGCAGGUGAGAAUAUUGUAGCCACUUCAAUAGACGGGCUCUACAAAGAUGAAAAUGAAGAAGGAACUCUAAAGCAAAUUUGGUUAUCAACACAAAAAUGAACACGUCAAAUCAAAUGAAUACAAGCAGAGUGUGGAAGUAAAUUGAAACCCCUACUGUAAUGUUUCAAAGGAAGGCAUGAGGCCAGACUAAAAACUGAAGCUAAAUUUGCUGACAAUCGGUUGGAGAAAACGACCGCUGUACUGAUACAUCUACGAGAGAAGGCCCGGCCCGUCCGAAUUCGUCACGGUAAAGUGGGGGCUUUCCGUCACGAUCAAGAAAAGCAUGAUAGGAGAGAGUAAGGCUUGAUAAUAGCUAUGUCUGUGCCAACCAGGAUAGACUUGUUAACACUUAAAAAGUAGAACAUGUUCUAAAACCUCUAAAUUUUCCUAGAGAAUACGGUGAUGAUUCUACGGUAAUGCAGGACCGAAGAUCCCCUCAAGAUAAUCUGAAGCUCAGAACCAUACAACAGGCCAAAUCAACCUGUGGUUUGUGCCACGAUCUCUAAUAGGAAAGAGCUGGCAGCUACUACAUACUGUUCAAUUCAAAAUUGACAUUAUGAAAGCCACCAACUUGGCUUUAGAACUUUUACCCAAUGCCAGUAAGGAUAUCGGAAGGACUCCUGCAGUCGCAUUCAUACUACCAUAAAUCUUGAGUUUUUUUGAACUCAAGAUAGAGACAUCCAUUCUACAAUUUUGAGAUUUAUCCUGCUUAGAGUCAGUACUCUUGACAAACCUUCGAGAAUAAGAAAAUGCGGCUGUCUCGAAAAGUGAAAAGCAUACUUCAAACUUGAACUUUCUGUAGGCAGACCCAUAGUAGGAGUUACCUCAGGAAAAAUAGGCACCUACGCAGGUUGAAAAUUAACCAUUUCUUCGAUAAAUUAUUUUGCAUUAGUGGUUUGUGUAUCCGAACUAGUGCGAUAAAAAUUAAAAAAAAGUUGCUGCCAUAUAAGUAAGGAGGAAGCAAGCUACUAGUUCAAAGAACCUUAUCAAAACUACAUUGCCCAGUUACCAACAUUCUGCGUUGCAAACCACAAUCUCCUAACUUCUGAUUCCUCAAUGUUUUGGUAUGACUUAAGUGCAUACCUCAGCACGAAGGAUAAUGACCUAAAACUAUUGCAAACAGCUGACGACAAGCAACCUCCAGCACAGGAUUUGAUGAUAUGCAAUCGGAACACAGGGGCAGUAAAUGGGUUAAAAAAGAUAAGGAAAAUACCAUAUGUUCGAUUACGCCCUGUUUCCUUCUCCACCCCAACUUUUGAGUACAUAACUGUACCAUACGGGGUGAACAAGUCUGCCAACUUUUUGUCACCCAUAUCUUCAGGGAUACCGAAUACAAAAAGCUUCGCACCUGGAACAAGAAAUAGAAGCGAGCCAGCAUCAAUGAUAUACCACUUUUCUCAGCCCAAGAGAUCAGAAAUAACCACUUUUUCAGUGAAACACAAAAUGCAACUGUCCUCAACGCUAUUCAGUUUGUCUAAUCAACAUUUUUAUCUUCGCGCUAAGUCCAUAAAAAUAAUCACCUGCCCCUUGAGCUUGUGAUUGGGCCUGAUUUGAUGGAGAAGGAACCGUCUGGACAGCUGCUCUGUUAGAACCUUGACUAGGCUGUGUUGAAGUUUGAGUAUUUUGCGUCUCCUGUUGUUGUUGUUGUUGUUGUUGUUGUUGUUGCUGCUGUUGUUGCUGUUGUUGAUGCUGUUGUUGCUGUUGCUGUUGGGCAGUUGAAGGAGGAUAACUACUUGGCCGAGGCCCGGCCUGGUUGGGCUGAUUUUGGGGCGAUUGCAGAACAGGUUGCUGUGCCACAGCAACUGGGACGAGGUGCUGAAUACCGUUAGCUGUGUGCGUGGGCCCUUGAACUGGAAGCACUCCACCACCUGGAUAGCUUAGAUGACCAUGGACAAGGUGCGGCAUAGGAGUAGGUGUUGCUGUCUGCGGAGCCUGUCCAGGAGCAGAUAUAAGAGGGUUUGCAUUGCCAGCAACUGGUGUCUGUAUCUGAACUCCUGCUGGUGCCAUAGCUUGAUGAACCAGUCCUGCUUGGGUUUGAGCCACUCCAGGAUGUUGAAGAUAGGAAUUAGGUUGUUGCGUUUGCAUUUGUGCAUUCGGAUAUGCAUAUGUACCUAAACAUAUAGCAAGCGUUGUGAAAAAACAGCAGCUACACUUUGAAUUCAAGAACCGUCUAACAAGCUCACACAACUCACCACCAGGCAUUCACAUAGGGUCAAUUGCUGCUGAGAGUACAAACCUGGUUGCUGUACUUGGACCCCAGCAUAACCUGCAGGGUGCUGCCCAACCGCUAGCCCUUGUGGUAUUUGAGCUCCAUUUGUACCUAGUUGAGUUAUGGUUUGGUGCUGUGAAAUCAGACUUCCUCCAGUUGGCUGCUGCUGCAGUACCUGAGGUGUGAUAGAACUUCGCUGAACUUGUCCAUUCAUAAGAGAACUGAAGGCGUGACUUGCAAGUAUAUGGUUGGCGGCCGUCUGCAGUGCUUGCGCAUUCGUGACCUAUAAUUAAAUAAGAUCCAGCCCAGUACAGAGGAGCAAGAUAUAUCGUCAGAUGUAACAAGGAUACACAUUUCAUAUUAGCUUCAAUUACCCUGAACUUCAGGAUGAAAAAUAACAAUGAUAAUAAUAAUAAUAAUAAUAAUGUUUCUAGGAUUAGAUGAGCAUUGUCUACAUUCGUACAGAAGUACACACUCUUCAGAACAACUGAUACUUAGAAAGAGAAAUUGUAAUGUAUCUGAGCCGAACCUGAGAAUGGUUUUGGAUUUCCAAGGCAGCUGGUUUUUCCCACUGCGUAGCUCCUGUAAGAAGAUUGUGAUAGAAGGGUUUGCCGUUUGGUGCUUCAUGCGUGGCCCACUCCUCCGCUGUAUGUCUUACCCCACCAGCUGUUCUGUAAGGAUCCUGAGCUCCCGUAGAACCAAGAUAAACAUUGUUUACAGCUUGCGCUGCUGUUAUCUUUACAGCUUCUGCUAUAGAUUUUCCGAAAUCACUCUCCAGCGUGAUGGAAGAAGGUUGAAGACCAUUGGCUGCUGGGCCACCUUCCUGCACGACACUGACUGUAAGCAAGACUUCCAUAUAGCUGGUCUAGAGAGGUUGGAAAGACGAAUAUCAGAAAAAUCUGGAAUGAUUCAGCGACUUCCUUACAACACACAUGUGCGUGUACCUGAAUCGGUGUUGUGCUGCAGAAGAUGGUUGUCCGCAUAUGACGAAAGUAUGACUAAACAUAUAUUACAAUGUCCCACUUUAUAUGUAGAAGGGACCAGAACUACGAAUUAUACGAAGAAUAUAUGAGCAGCAAACCCACAUGUAAGGCACUCCUUGAAUUUUUCACCAAGUUUUGCUUCUGCAUGAGCACCAAAGCUUCAUCCUUAGCUUUACAUAUCAAUAUGUAAAGACGAGCAGAGUAGUUCAAUAAACCUUCAAGCUUUUGAAAGCCUGGUCACUGAGGGACGCAUCAGUGGUAGGAAAAAAGUUAUAUAAUUUCCAAAUAGAAACACUUCUCUGCCUAGUGAACCCUUACUAUGAUGUAUCUUUACGUUUAUGGACUGCAAAUUCAAACAUCAGAUCGUUUGCUUCGCUGAAAACUCACUAGCAGCUUAUUUGCAUGCCAGGGAAUUAUCAUGUUAAUGAUUUUUAGAAUACUGCACCUAAUGAGAUGAACUUAUGUUUGCAACCCAAAUGAUCAUCCACAUCAUUCUGAACAUCCAUCAAAGUAAAGACGAUUGAAGCACCUGAGAAUGUAUGCCGUAACCAUCUGCAUAAUGUGACACUAUACCAUACGCAGCAUCCGUGCCGUUGUAACUUCCAUUGUACACAAUAUUACCUGUUAUUUACAAAAGCAGCACCUCCAAAUGAACUCCUUAGAAAAGACGCGUCUACAGUAUGAAGAUCAAGGUGACUCCAGCAUUUCAAAACCUAUCCAAAAAAUGCCCUUAAUGAACCAAGAAAAUCAAGAUGCAUUGAAUCAACGAAAAGCAUUUGAACCCAUCAUUACUUGUUGAAAAGGCCGUAGAUCAGAUUUGAUAAGGAAGAAAUGAAACUCUUUUAAACUAUUGUGCUAAAACCAACUUCGACUUUCUCAGAAAUCAUAAAGAUGGAAGUGAGCAGAGAGAGGCUUGAGGUCGCAACAUCUCAUUCAAAGACGCCCUUCAGAUCAGUGCAUCACAAUUAUGUUUACCUGAAUUUGCACGGGCUCUCUUCUCAGCAUUGACAGCCUCUGUCCGCAGCUUCUCCAAAUCCCUGGCCAUAGCAGACAGAUUCUGUUCCAUGGCUUGCCUGUGCUCCAUCUGCUCAGCAUUCACUUUCUUCUCUAAUUCAAACGCAGUUCUGAAGCAACACAGAAAAAUAUGAUUAAAAGAUAUCAAUGUAAUAACGAAAAGUAAUGCAGGCUUCACAUUAAGUUGCGCUCUGGAAUUGAACAACGGAACUGCAUGAGUCACACUUCUAAAUGUAAAGUAGUAUGUACACAUCAUCGAACCUCACAAAUGUCAAAUAAAUCCACAAUCACUUUGAUGAAAAUUGGACCAAAUACCCCAGUAUCUCGUAUCCACAAAUACAAAUAGCAAUAACAUAGAAAAUCCAAAUGACCGGGUAAACACCUGGCCCGCUGUAACUCUGCUCGAAUGUUGUCCAUCUCUCCACGCAAAAUGGGAAUCUGUUGUACAUCUGUACGGGCUCGCUGCAGUUCCUGUGUUGUUGUCCGCACCUGCUGUGUCAGAUCUUGUGAGUGUAGAUGCAGCUUUUGACAAUCUGCUCGGGCUUGAACAAGGUCUUGCCUCACAUUCUCAGUAGAUCGCAGUUCCGAUUCUAGUUUUGCCGACUUCUCAAUAAGGGACCUUAUCUGGGCUUCCUUCUCUGAUUGUACACCUAACACAAACAUUUCUAAGUUAUUGAAGAAUUUCAAUAUACUCAAGAAAAGAGAUAAGUGCCUAAUCAGAAGGACGCAACUAAUCAGAAAAACAUGGAGGGUAAUUGAUGAGUUAUAACUUAGAAUAAGGUAUAUAUCCUGGCCAAUCUUAUGCACCUGUAAGCAUCGCAGUUAAACGUGCCAUUUCCUGUUGUGCAGAGGCUAGUUCCUGCCGAAGAGCAACAUGAGUCGCUGCAAGACGUUGAUUCUCUGAAAGGAGACUCUGUAUCUCCAUGUGCUGAGAUUGUAUUUUUUGCUCCAGUAUUGCUGGCAUUGGUCCUCCGCCCAUACCUGCUGACCCUCCCAUCGAUGAUCUAACCUGGCCAUAUGGACUAUGACGACCAUUCUGAGCCCCAGCGCGCGAGUUGAGUGCCAGCAUGCGGUUUCUGGUCCCCAUAUUGGUCUUCUCUGGGAAGGCGAACUGCAGCGACAGAAGCAUUACGACUAGUCAACUCCACAAGCUGGUUCCAUAAAAAUAAAACAUACGAUCCGUGACAAAGAAACAAGAUCCAACAACAACAGUCCCUUGUGUACAGCUUCCGCAGAAACUAAAGAAGUCCCCGAAAUUGAUCAACUUCGUCCCUACAACCUCCACUCGCCGAAAUUGGAUAUUUUGAUUACUUUGUCUCAAGGUCAAACAAGAACAAUGAUCGAAAAGAAUGCCUCACAUGACCAAGAAUAUGCGAAAUAAAAUCAUGCAACUCCUCCUGAAACACAUCAACCCGAUUCAAAAACAAAAUUCCUGAGGACGAUUAAAACACAAUUGCCCUAUCUGGGUGCCAUUGAACAGCAAUGCUCUUGAUGUUGCGUUACACAUGUCACGUACCUAAGUAAGAGGACGCCAGAAAAUGCAGGCAACUGAGGCCUGGUGAAAUCCUCCCAAGAAACAGCAAGUCACGUCCCAAAAGAGGAGUGAAAGUCGACAACAGGUCGGGCAUCGAGAAGCAGCAAUCACAGACAAAGAACAGCCAAACCCUAACCAGAAAUCAACCCACACUAAACAGGAACACGAAGGCGUGCAUACAAAAGGAGUGAGGGAGAGAAAGAUGAAGACAAGAACAGCGUGGUGUAACUGUUAAACCGGCUCCGUCUGUCUCCGACAUCCGGUUAUAGUGACAUCAGCGCUGAUCUAACUAGUUGCUCCAUCACCAAUUCCAUAUCAACUCAUGUUACUCUAACCGGAUACAAUCUUUACAUUCCGUAAUUCCUUCCCAAUCGUAACCUGAAACAGAAUCUCUUCAAUCCAACCAUGACAGUGGAGAUUCUUGCAGUGAGACCCAAUACACACACAACCAAAUGCAAUGCUUUUGACUGGCUGACCUACUUCGUCACCCAAUACCACGGGUGGCUUCUUACAGUUGGCAAACUAUGCAUGUCCAAAGAAUCAUAACAGACAAAAAAAGACAACUGCACCAGAUUCUUAUACACGGCAUCAUACAUCCCGUAUUCGAGUUUCGAACCCGAGGAGAGCUUUCGUUUUAUACUUCGUCGAUUCCGGGAUGUGAACUCAGGGGGUGAAGUCCAGGGCCCACCGGAAUCUUCGUUUGCCUGUUGAGGAUGGAGGUUGGUCGGAUCAUUGUAUGUUGAAGGUGAAGGCCCUUCAUGCAGCGUUGCUUAAAAUGUGGGGAUAAAAAAAAAAAAAAAAAAAAACCCUGUCCAUAAUUCCUUGGUAGUUUCCCAUGCAGCGAGGAAAAGCUACUGAGUAAGUAAUUAUUAAACUUAAAACACGCGGAGAUUGCUGCCCGCGAGUUUCUCAGCUAGCCUCCAAAAAUCAUUACGAAAUCUCAAGGGGCUGUUACUAUCCUCGUUUGAUCCCCGCUUGGGCUAAGUGGUCCUGAAGGUUGAUCUGGGUGUAGAGGAUUACGGGAUUCGUUGCCACUGGUUUACGAUUAAGAGACUGGGACGGCGUAGAAAAGGAGCUGUGGUUAGGAUUGUGUCAGGGUUUGUUUUGCGCAUGAUGGGUGGAGGUGUCUGUAAGGGGUUGAGAUGGAGAGUGCUGCGGACGAGCUAGGGCUGUAAUAGUAAUAGGAUGAAACCUUUUCGAUGUCUUUCCAGAAACAUGUGAUGUGUUCAUCUCUAUGUUUAUUUGUGUGAUACAGUGGAGAAGGAUUGCUCCCAGCGAGUACCAGCAUUGUUAUUCCAAUCUCUCUGUUAUCUGGCACCUGAGCGGAAUUCGAGCUCAGACUGCGCCCAAUUGAGUGGGUAUGCGAGAUCCGAUGAUUCUGUAAAUAGGUUUGUUUGUGGUUAUGGAGGAUCGCAGCUGAGAUUGGCAGAAAGCAGUUGAGGUAUCUAGACUAAUUGCGCAAUUGGAUACUUGCCCCAGUUCUCUAUUUCACAGUACCCGUUUUCCGAGCCAUGGUUACAAGUACAUUUCUUCUUCGAUUUGUGACUCUUGCCUUGGUUCUCACGACGAUUUGCGCUGAUGAGGGGAGGAGUGGUUUAAAAGAAGAGAAGGGCAUGUGUGAUAUGGUCCUGAAUGGAACCGGUUACCCUUGCACAGAGUACACUGUAGAGACCGCGGAUGGAUUCCUUUUAGGGUUGCAGAGAAUAUCGCAUGGAAUUGAAAAGUCACAUGGAGCGAAUAAGUACCCCGUGCUACUUCAGCAUGGAUUAUUUCAAGGAGGUGACGGUUGGGUCCUGAAUUUCCCUGGUCAGUCUCUGGGUUUCAUUCUCGCGGACGAAGGUUUCGACGUGUGGAUUGCAAAUGGACGUUGCACAAGAUGGAGUCAUGGACACAAGUCGUAUUCUAGGCACGACAGGGGUUACUGGGACUGGACUUGGGAUGAGCUUGCUCAGUAUGAUCUUCCCGCCAUGCUUGAAUUUAUAGUGACAACGACCGGGUCGAGGGUGUUCUACGUUGGACACUCUCAGGUAAGAAUCCAUCGCUGUCCCUGAAUUUCAGCCAACAUGCACGAUUAGUUGCAAGUUUUGCUAAUUGCACUAAUUGUACUGGCAUUACGUGCAGGGGACAAUCCUGGGAUUAGCGUCAUUUACUCAACCAGCUGUAACGGAUAUGUUGGCAGCAGCAGCGUUACUAAGCCCCAUCUCGUACCUCGACCACAUCUCAUCGAAUUUCAUCAACAGUGCUGCACAUCACUACAUCGACAGGAUGGUGAAGACCAUGGGCUUGCGGGAGUUCAAUCUCAGGAGCGAGGUAGGGGUGAGACUCAUGGACUGGGUAUGUCAACGAGAGGACGUCGACUGUGGUGACCUCUUGGCAGCCAUCACGGGCCCCAACUGCUGCUUCAACGUCACCCGCAUCCCCUACUACCUGCAAUUCGAACCACACUCCACGUCUUUGAAGAACCUGGCUCACCUAGCGCAGAUGAUAAGGAGAGGGACAUUCUGUAAGUACGACUACGGCUUUGUCGGCAAUCUACAGCAUUACCUGAGCCUAACUCCACCAAAUUAUGAUCUCACCACCAUCCCGGGAUCUUUGCCUCUGUGGAUGGCAUCUGGAGGUAACGACGCUUUGGCUGAUCCUGUCGAUGUUGUACACACCAUUGAGCAGCUCCAGAGAAAACCAGAAAUUGUGGUUCUGCCUGAUUACGGUCACAUUGAUUUCAUUCUCAGUAUUCAAGCAAAGGUGGAUUUAUAUGACGGUAUAGUUGCCUUCUUCAGAGCUCAUGCAGAUCGUUGUAAAGCAGGCAUUUCCCAAGUCAUUUAAGUUCCUGAACUGGCUUCUAUCUACUAUUUAUUUAUGUACAUAACUUAAGAUUUCAGUAUCUGUAUAGACCUUACAUGAAGAGGCCAUUUGCUUGCAGUACUAAACCACCUAUUUCAGUAUGUUGCCGUGUACAAACGGUCUCUAGUUAGAUGUUUGAUUAUUAUUAUUAUUAUUUUUUGAGGCAUGAAUACCCACUUUGGUUAAUUUUAGGCAUUUUUCUGACAUUUCAGAUUGUAUAUAAAAUCUGGAUGAAGUUGGUAGACUGCGUUUAGUUGAACUUCUUGCUGAUUUUUUUAUGACAGUGUCCUUUAACGGCUUGGAUCUGUUCACAUUGGGGAAUGAUGGCAUUUUAUUUGCAAAUUUGUUGAUGAUUGUUUUCAGACUGUUUUAGGUAUGUUAACUGGAGGUUUUACCAAUGAAAUAAGAUUUCUUUUGUUAUCAUUAUUUCUAUUCAUGUUAAUGCGUUGUCACUGUAGUAAUUUUGCAUAUUUAUUUUUGUAACAACACUCAUCUUUUGAGUUCUAUUUUAUUCUAUUUUAUUUUAAUUUUUAUCUUCUGGUCUUCUUUUAUACAAAACAGAGCUAUGAUUUUAAUUGUUUGUAUUAAUGGAGAUGAUAGAAUAGGUGAUUAUUUUAUUCAAAUUUUUAUAUUAAAUUUUGGGAUCAUAAGAUUAAAUCUUGGAUUUGUGCUUUUUGAAUACAUGAAUUUAAAAGGGAUAAUGUUUCCUUGUUACUUAAAAUCAUCUGAUGCAAGAAAAAAAAAAAAAAAAUUAUUAUUAAAGGUUAUUAAUCAUAAGAAGUGCUCAUUACAUACAACCACAUAGCCUUGCCAAAUGACAUAAAGCAUUGUAGCCAUAGCAAUCAUGUGGCCUACCUUUAUUACCUUUUCUAAUUAAUAAUAUUGAAUUGAAUUCAAUCAAGUACUAGAAAUUAGAGUUUAUUAAUUGUACAUUACAAAUUUUGAAUUGAUUUCUAAAAUUUUGAUUAAUUAUUGGAGAUUAUUAAAUUUUGGAGGAUUAAUUAAUAAAGAAAAUACUAUAUAUAGUAUUAAUACAUUUCUACCAAAUAAAAAUAAAGGCUGACUAUGUGCACACCUCCCUUCUACAGGAUGUAUAUCCCCCUAUAAUCAAAUGACAUUUUUUGAUCAUCAUUGACUUCAAGUUCGACUUAAUAAAGGGGCCAAUGGCUUGAGUUUGAAAGCCAAUGGCUCUCUUCAUGUGCUAUUAUUGGGAUGGCUUCCACAUACUCCUUUGGGCCAUCCUCUUGUACACAUGAUUAUCAGAUCUUGGAUUGGUGUUACUUAUUCUUAUAAUAAUAUAACAAGUUGUUCUUGUAACAUUUGUUGCUGAUGGAAUGGAAGAUGCUCAUGAUCUUCAACUUGUUUAAUUUGUUGAAGUCAUGCCGAUGACAUGUAAUAAUAGUAUUUGAACCAAUUUGUUUUAUAAGUUGAGUCUAUGAAGAUCACAUGUGAAAAUUCUUGUACUAAUGCUAUUGUUGUGGGUGCCACAAAGAAAAGAUACCUAAGUUGUCCUUUGAUAUUAUAUUGGAAGGCAUGCCCUAUAUUCUAGGUGUACAAGUCAUCUAACAACAUCUCCAGUGAUGUUUGUCCAUUGAACUCCGUGUUUCAAAGAUGAAUUUUCUUGUUGUAGAUGUCUUUUAAAACAAGCCAAGAAUUGAUAUUCCAUUGUUUCAAGGUUGUGAGAAUGAAUUUAGGUGCCGCACUUACAUCUAACAUUUGUUUGAUGGUUUCACAAUCAUUGUGAAAUAAUUUGCACUUAAUUUAAAAUGUAGACAAGUCUCCUAUAUUUGCAUGGUUGUGCUUUGCAUUUUUGACUUGAAUUCUCUACUCCAUUAUGCAUAUAUCAUUAGAAAUUUGUAUUUCAUCAUUGCAUUUUCCGUCGAGAUCAAUGCAUUAGUUGAGAAAUGCUAGUACUUCAUCAUUUUCAUCAACCUUGAUCAAGAAGUGCCAUUGAAUGAUAACAAACCACAAACUAAUACACCUUGCACUUGUCUUCUUUUUACGCAUUUUAUCAAUGAAGAAUGCUCUACUGUUCCAAUAAUCACCACCAUGACCACAAGUAAGCUAAAAUUUUUUGUGGUCGCUAGUCUUGCUCUUCUUUAGGCACAAUCUUGACAUUGUAUAUCCCUCCAAAAGAGCAAAUGUUUACACCUCAACCUCCACUUCUCCAAGCAAUACAUACGCGUAAUUUUUUGGUAAGGACAAUGGCAUGUCACAAGAAGAAAGAAUGGCACGAGAAAAAGGAUUAAAGAAGGGAUGUGCCCUACCAAAAGAGUUAAAAGGGGGGUAUGUACAUAAUUGGCUCCUUUAUUAAGUCGUACUUGCAGUCAAUGAUCUUUAAAAAAUGCCAUCUAAUUAAAGAGGAGGUAUAUGCAUAGUUGAUCCCUAAAAAUAUUGACAUAUAAAAAAUUUAAUUAACAACUAAAAAUAUGAUCAUAAAAAUAUUGAAGCAAUAAUGAGAUUAUAACUAUUAUAUUUAUAUCUUAAUUUUUAAAUAUUUAUUUAUUAUACAAAAAUAUUAGAAUAUAAAUAUUAAGACAAAAAAUUGUUUUUAUAGAUUUUUAAAUUGUGCUAAAAAAUCAUACAUUGUUUAAAUUUGUUAUUUUAAAUGAAAAAAAUAAACACUAGAAAAAUUAUUCUUCAAUACAAGAUUCUUAUAAAUACUAAAAUAUUUGAUUAUUUGAGUUACUAAAAUUAAAAUAUACAUAAUUUUUUUAACUUAUAAUCUUAUUUCACAUAAAAUUUAAAUAAAAUAUAAUUAUCAAAAAAUAUUAUUUUAUAAGUUAUUGUAAAUUUAUUUUUAUUAAUAUGAGAAUUUUGUCUGAUAUUUUUAAAUCAAAAAGAAAAUAAAUAUUUACUACUUUCAAAAAACAAAGAUUAUAGCAAAAUUUAUCAAGCUUAUUAUGAAAUGUUAUAAGACCUUAGAUUAAAUAUAGAAAAUAUUUUUUUAAGGCUUUACUUAUAUCCUAGCCUUCUUUUAUAGAGGUUUAUUAUUUAAAAAUUAUAUUCCAUAAAAUCUUCAAGGUUUAGAUUAGAGGUUCUAAAGAUAUACAUCACUUGAAGAAAAAUAAAAAAUUAUAUUCUACACAAGAAAAAUUAUUUAUAUUACUAUAAAUUAUAAAAUUAUAUUAUGACGCCUUUUUAAUUUAAUUUAAGGUAGGUGUAUCUAAUAAAGAUAUAAAUUUAUGAAAAUUUAUUAAAAUAUAAUUUAUGUUAAUAUAAUAAAUAAUAAAGAAAGAAGAUCUAAGUUGCAAGUAAAUUAAAGUAUUGGUGUUUUGCAAAUAAAAUAAAGGUAAUGAGGUCUUUUAAGUUGUAAAAAUUAUUUUAUGUUCUAUUAUUUUGUACUGCAAUAAAAAACUAUUUCAAUCAAAUUUUUUUAUUUAAAAAAUCAAAUCAAAUAAGUAGGUUUUAAUUUACUCUAUUGUCUUCAAUUUGGUGUUUACAUUUAAUAUUGAUUUUAAUUCUAUAAUUUAUUAUUAUAUUCUAUUAUAUUAAAUAAAGGUUGAAUAAAUAUUUAUUAAAGAUUGAUUAAAGAUUGAUUAAAGAUCCUUAAUAUUAUCUUCUACUAAAAAUAUAUUUUUAAAAAAUUUAAAUAUGCAUGUUUUAAUACUCUCUAAUUUAAUUGAAAAACUAUAAAUUUUUAUCUUUUCUUAGUUAUUUAAGUAUAAAAUUAUUUGAUUAUUUUUACAUUUAAAAAUAUCAUAUUAUUUGAUUUUUUUAACUAAAAAAUUAAUUAAAAACAUAUCUUUAAAACUUAAGGUGCUAUUAUUUUAUAUAAAAAUUUAGUAAUUAUUUUGAAGAUAUUUUUUAAAUAUAUAUAGGUAAAUUUACAUUGUCAAGAUAGAAAUCUUCUAAAAAUCAACUAUUUUUGUUGUUAGAUAUGCACAAUUAGGUAUUUAAUCCAAAAUUCGUUUUUUUAAAUUAUUGUAAGUUAUAAUAAUAUAAUUAAAAGAUUUUAUGUUGUAAUGAUAUGAAUCAUUAUUUUUUAAAGAUUUAGAUCUUUUAAAUCUAUAAAUUUUUGUUAUGAUUAAUAUAAUAAGAUAGGAAAAAUUAAAUUUUGUAACUUAUCUAAUAUAUAUUAAGUUAGAAUAGUAAAUUUUUGCAAAAAAUAUUAAAUUUUUUUUAAAAAAUAUUAAAUUAAUCUUAUAUAAUUAAUCUUUUAUCUUAUUAUUAAUUUUAUUUAAAUUAAAUAUAUCAUAAUAACAUUUUUUUUUAUUUUUUAAACUAUAUUAAUUAUUAGAACUUUAUAAUAUCUAUUAUAUAAGAUAACUUUGGUAUAACACAAAAAUAUAAAGAAUCCUUUUAAUUAGCUAUAAAAAAGCAAAUGCACAAAACUUAAGGAAUGCAAAAGCAUAGGAAUAUGAAAUAGUUGAUAUUCUAAGGAUUUCGAAUAAUUGGUUCUUUUUCUAAAAACUAUCAAUUGUAUGAAGCAUAUUUUUUCUUACUUUUUUCUCUUUUUUAAAUUUUCUUACUUAGGAUAAAUCUAAGGGUGAAGUUUAGUGUCAUGGACAUAUAUAAUUAUCUAAAUAAAAAUUAUUAGAUAGAAGAUAAAUGUAGGUAGAUUUGAUAAUAUCUUGUGAAUUAGCUUCUUAGAAGCUUUAUAGAUACGAUUUUGAAUUUAUAUAUAUUUUUAAUUGAUUGAUGGGUUGAAAACUUGGCCAACAAGUUAGCUACAUGUUGUAUAUGUUGGCAACUUGUGGUACAAGUUGGCCAUGUAGCUUAUAUGUAGAAAUUUUUUUUUACUAUUUAAACACCUAUCUAAGGUUCUAUAGAAUAUUUGCAUAUAGCUUUUAAUUAGGUAGUGUAUAUGAAGACAAUAGUAAAGCCUUCUUCACUCUUGUUAAUAUUUUUUGUUUUUAGUCUUAUUUCAAGAAUCUUUUGUCUUCUUGUCUAUGAUAUUAGCCAUUCUAUUUUUAUACUAUACUACUUUUAAGUAAAUAUCUCUUCUUUUUGAGAGUCUUUUGUCUUCUUAUAGAACUUAUAAAGACUUAUGAUGUUUUAUUUUGUUUUAUUUUGUUGAUUUUUAGUUUAGCCAUAGAAAAUUUAGAGGAGAACCUUUUUGUAAAAAAUAAAGUUUUACAAGAGCGUAAUCUAUCUUAAUUAGUGUAAUUAUUUCUCUUCUUUGAUUUGUAGUUUUUAUGGAAGGUCUUCUUUUAUAAGACAAAUUAUUUCUUGCUAUUUUCUUUUUGCUUCUUAGUAUUUUUAUAACACUAUUAAUAAUUAAGUUUUUUAUAUAAUCUUCUCAACUAAUUCCUUUUUUGCUAAUGAGUUGAAUAUUUUUUGCUUUGGAAUUUAUCAAUUGUAAGGAUUUACAUUAAAAACAAAACCUUAAAUGUAAACCAAAAAAUUUCCACCUCUACAUAAUGAAAUAUAUUUUUUUUAGAUUUAAACUCUAAAAUCUUAGAAACUAUAAUAUUAUGGAAUUUUUUUAAAAUUUUAUGUUUUUAUUUUAUAUAAACUAAGUGUACACAAUAUUCUAUAAAUAAGAAUCAUCUGUAAACUCACUUGUCCUUCAUAUCAAUAAUUUUUCCUUCAUUAAAAUUUUUUGACCUGAAAUCAACUAAUGCCAAUAUUGGAUUAUUUAAAUCACCAACUUUUACUUAUGUCUCUAAGAUUGCUUUAGUCCAAUAAGAAACUGAAUAGCUUACUUUGUCUUUUUUAUGAUCAUCAUACUUGGUACAAUUUGUAUCUAUAGCUUUUUGUACUUGAUGUACUCUCAUAAGCAUAUUAUUAUUGAUCAAAGUCUUGUCUUUUAAAUUUAUUUUUUUCUUUAUUCUUGGCAUUGUAGAUUGAACAAAUACAUGUCCUAUUUCUUCUUCUUCAACUUAAGUCGUCUGAGCCUCUAAUACCUCAAUCAUAAUAGAUUCAAUUGUCAUUUGUCACUUUUUUUUUUAUUUAUUUAUUACAUCAAUAAUCAAUUCAUAGAAGUCCCUCUUUGUUAUAUCAAGAGCUUCUCUCAAGGUAAAUUCAAUUUUGGCAUGCAAAAUUUUUUCUUCCAAAAUAUUCUUCAUAUCAAUAGAUAUUUCAAUAUCAUAUUAAACUUUAUAAGUGUGAUUUUUACCUAUGGCCUUCUUUGAUGAAUAUUUUUCAUUUUUUUUUAUUUUUUUAUUUUUUUUCAUGCUCUCUUUUUGUUGGAAAGUUCAGUAGAGUUUUGUUAUUGAAUAGUUUUAUUUUAUUUUAUUUUAUUUUUAACCGCAAUACUAUAUGAACUAGCAACUUAUUGAUCUUCACUUGAAAAAGCUCUAAUACUCAUAGCAUCAAUCAGAUCUUGCCACUUAGUCAUUCUUCUAAUAACCUCAAUUCUUCUAUUUAUAGCAUCAAUUAUUAGUAAAUUUACAACCUUUACCUCUCUUUGUCCCACUUUAAUGGCAUAAGACUCUAUUUUUUUUUAGAUAUGGUACUAUACUUAUAACUUUGCUUAUCUACUAAUUUUUUCAUAUCUCUUUUCUCAAAGUUGGUCCUAAAAGGUUCAUUAGAGUUUGAAAGUUUCAUCUUUCUUUCCUUGAAAUGAACAAUACCUUCUCUAAUUGAUGCUUUAUAGUUAUCACAUUCUUUGUGUUUAUAACUUGAACUAUCACACUAUAUAUGCCUUUCAAUAUAUCCUCUAGAUCCUUCUAAAAUAAUUGAUAUACUAGAUCUUUGAAAUCUUUCUAAUUUUGUCAUUUUUAUCCUAAAAUCUCUUAUACCUUUAAUUAAUUCAUCUAAUGCUUCAUUAUGAGUAACUUUACUCAUCUUUUGAAUUGAUGAAGAAGUUUGGACAAUAGGCACUAGAUUUAAUUAUAUUUUAUAAUUCCAAAUCUUGAGUUUUUGUUGCUUAGCUAAAAGUCCAACUGCCUCCUUUAUCUUUCUUCAAUCAUUAGUAAAGAAAUUUUUAUAUGCUUUAUCUGGUUAAUGAAAGAAUAAUUUGUUCUCCAAAUCAUCAUUUAUUGCUUGCAAAAAUAACUUAGUUUUUCUUAUAUUAAAUAAUUAUCUUUUAUAUCUUGAUAAUUGAUCAAACUUCUUGAAAACUUUAAUAACUUGCUUGGACCCAUUUGACAUCUAGGCCUUUGUUCAAUCUAUUCUAAAAAUGACCGCUUCAUCAUUCUUUCUGAAUCUUCUUCAAAAAAUUCAUCUUUGAGAUAUUCUACAAAUUUUCUCUAAGAAAUAGAUUCUUUAUGAAAUUCUUUCAUCUUAUUUUUAUCUUAAAAACAACAAUAAGAUCAAAAAUAAAAAUCAUUUUAAUCAUUGAAAUUUGAUACACUUUCACCUUGCAUAUAUAGAUCCUAAAGAAUUUAGAUAUGUUUUUCUUUUCAAAUCCUCUAAUUUUAUUAAAAAUAACUUACAAGCUAUUUGUGGUAUCCUUGCUAUACUCUUGAACUUACUAUUGUUGCUCUAUAAAUUCCACAAAUAUUCAAAAGAAGUCAUUUGAAGCAACUCCUCUUGGUAUUUCAAAACCUAAAUCAACAUCUUCUAUUAUUUUUAGUAAAAUAAUAAGUACCUCAAGCAUCUCUUAAUAGAAGCAUCAAUAUGUCAUGGAAAGAGAAUUUGCUUUAAAAAAAACACUGGACUUUUAACUGCUACUAAUUGCUCUACUAUCUUGCAACUUUAGAAUAUAUAUAAUACUUUAUAAAAAAUAAUCUUUUGUAAACUUACUUGCCCUUCAUAUCAACAAUUUUUUCUUUAUUAAUUUUUUUAAAAAUAAAAAUAUAAGAGUGCAAAACCUCCUUAGAGAGUCUUUAUAUAUUCUUUUCAAAAAAGUUGCCAUCUUUUUAAAAUCCUAAAUUCUACUUCAAUUCCAUAAAUUCUAAAUUCUACUUCAAAUCUUAAAUCUCAAAUCCUAUUCUGAAAUCCUAAAUUUUAAAUCCUAUUUUUAAAUCUUAAAUCCUAAAUCCUACUUUCAAAUCUUAAAUCCUAAAUUCUAAUUUUUUAAUUUGAGUUUAUAUAUUUUUUUAAAAAAAUAAAAAAAUAAAAAUAGAUUGAAGAUUCUAAAGGAUUGAUGUUAUCUCACUUUUAGCUACCACCAACUUGUGGCUUUUUCUAUUUUACGAGAAGCUAUAUACUAAUCUAUUAAGAAGAUAAAUAUAUAAAAGAUGUGGAUAUCACAUAUCAUGCUAUUAUUAAAAGAAAUUCUUUACCUUUUUCCAUAGGUGACAAGUACCUUUGUCAUCUAACAUAAUUUUCUAAGCUACCAUUUGAUGUCCAAAGCCUCAAUACUUCUUCCUAUAAGCUUAUUGUCCGACUUCUUUCUCUUCUUAAAAUCUCUAUUUUUCAUGAAUUAUAAUUUUUUAAUAAAAAUUUAUAUAUCUAUUAAAUUUUACAUUGAAUAGAUAUUUUAAUAAUUAAUCAUCUUAAAUCUUAUUUUUUCUUUUUACAAAUUUAAUUUUAUAUUUCCAACAACUAUGACAUUUUUUAUUAAUAGGAUUCAUUUUAUUCUAUUUUAAUCUAAUAAUUAAUUAAAUUCUUAAUUAUUUUUUUAAAAAAUUAUUUAAUAAAAAAGCACAAAUUAAGAACUAAUAUAUUUCAUAGUUUAAAUUUAAUUUUUAUAUAUUAUGGAAAAAUAUGAUUCAAUACUAUAAUUAUUUUUGAAUAGAAUAAUCAAUUGUAAUUUAGAUGCAAGGUGUGGUGUUUGCUUUUCUUUGCACCCACUACAUUAUUCCACAAAAUAAGUGGUUAUUUCAUGGUAAUUUAUUUAUGGUCUUUAGAAUGCUUAAUGGAUUCUUAAUACAUACUUUUUUCUAUUUAAGUUUUGUAAUUUCAUUACCAAUUUGCAUGAUUGAAUGAUAUAUCAUACUCAAUUCAAUAUUCACAUUAUUAAUUAUUUCACUUUGUGUGCAAAAUCUAUGUACAAAAUACAUGUUUAAGCUAGUUACAAAGUCUAGCAAGAUGAUUUCUAUGUGCUAGAGAAUUUUUCAAAUGUUGUGGUACAUAGUUAGAUACUUUUUUUUGACAUAAUAUAGAUUGGUUUAGAUUUUAUUUGUUGCACACUCAUCUUUGGUUUCAAAAUUGUAUUAAACCAAGCUUCUUUAUCCACCUAUGAUGUUUAAGUGGAGGAAUGUCUUUAAUAGUAGAGACAUUCUCUAUGUUGUAUUUUUUUUAUUAAAGCACUCAUCAAUAAUAGUUGAUCAUACCAAUUAUAAAGAGAGUGACGGAGUAUGUCAUUUAGAUUUUUUUUUCUUUCUUGAAAGAAAUUAAGCAUAUCAAGCUUCUUAAAUAAAUUUUGUUUUUCAAAAGUGGUAGAUCUUUGCUUCAUAAAUUUUUCAAAGAAUUUGGUGAUUGAUCUUAAUAAUAUAGUUACUUUGUAUCAAAUAAAGAAGUUGAAAGUACUUUUAAUAAAUGCAAGCUUAUUCUUUUAUGAACAUUUGAUUAAUUCAUAAUACCUAACUAUUUAUUAUGAUGCAUUGUAUUAAAUUAAUUCAAUAUGUUUGAAGCCUUGCAAUUUAUUUCAGCAUAUACAUGAGUAUUAUUUGUUGUCUUCCCAAUUGGUAGAAAGUUAGAAAUCAAAAGCUAUUAUAAGAAUUUAUUAUGGUUGUUGAAGCAGCAAUAAAGCAAAAUUAUUUAAGAUACUUGAGUAAGAAUCAAGAUAGGUUUUAUACAAAUGUAUAUAAAGAAUUAAUAGGUUUUUUUAGAAAUGUGAAAAACUAAGAAGUUGACAUACAAAAUCUAAGGCAAAGGAUAAUUCUUUUGUCAUUUUAUAUUAAAAUAUAAAAAAUAUGUUAAAGAUCUUUCAAGAUUCUAUAGCCAUUACUUAAUACUUUCAGUAUCAAAAUAUAUUUGGAACAAGAAUUAUAAAUCUCUAAUAGCUAAAGAUUUCAAGUACACUUGUUUUAGGAUAAAAUUUCAAUGAUUGUCUUAACUUAGUAGUAAGAGUAUAUAAACUCAAGUGUUAUAAAUUGAUUUAGGAUGUUUUUAAAUAUCAUAUUUUAAGACAUGCACUUGCAAGAAUAUAAACUAUUAAGUUUUAAAAAUAAGGUCUUAUAUAUAUAUAUAUAUAUAUAUAUUCUUUUUUCAAUAAAACAAAAAAUAAAAGAUUAGCCAAUGUUUAUAAGAUUAUUUAUGUAUAGUUCUUUGAUAAAAAGAAAGUUUUUUUUUUUUUUUAGACAAUUAAUACUUGCAUAGUGUGAGUCAUCAAAUCAACUCACUAAUUAUUUUAGGAUAAAAAAAUACAUUUAGAGUGCUUAGAAUCACAAUAUAUAGUGAAUAGUAUAAAUAUUUUUAGAAAAACAGAAAAUUAGAGUAUUAGUUGGAGAAUUGGAGUCUUAGUAAGUCUUAGAGGCAAUUAUCUUAGUUGAUUUAGGAUUUUUUUUUAUUUAUUAUUGAGUAUUGAGAAAUAUUUAUUAAGGUCAAUAUUUAUAUUGGCCUUCUCUCUAUACAUAUUACUUAUAAGAAACACUACAAAUGUUAGUUAGUAGUUAAAAGAAGCAUGAAAAAGAACCUCAUGUCUUUUUAGUUAGUUAUAUAAAAAGUAAGAUUUAUAAUAGAUUUAAAUUAAUUUUAUUACUAUAAAAAAUUAUCAAGGUAAGAAAGUAUAGCUUAAAAUUUAUUUUAAUAUUAUAAAAAUAUUACAUAAAAUUUCAAAUUUUAUUUGGAAUUUAUUUAGAAUUUUUAGGAAUUUUUAGAGCAAGCUCUAAGACUUUGAUAAAAAUGAGUUUUACCACUUCUAGAGCCAUUAUGAAGAAAUGAAUCAAGAUUUAAAGGCCACAAAGGUAUUAAAGGCUAAUUGAGUAUUUUUAAACACCAUAGUGGAGUCAAAAAUGUAAAAUUAUUGGUUUUACUAGUAGAAAAUAGAAAGACCAACGACUAGUGUAGUCUUUGUAAGAAGGGAGGUGCACAAGUCCCAUAUAGAUUGUAAAACCUUGAAGGUAGUUAAGAAGAUAAGACUAAGGCCUUGUGGCCUUUCUUAGGGAUCCAUAUACACUACUUGUGAGCCUUAGUGAGGCUGGAAUUCUUGAUCUCUUAAUCAAAUUAUCUUUGAGGUAAAAAUUAUUUACUUAUUUUUUUAUUUAUUUACUUGUUAUUUUAAAAUCUUCAUAACUUAUUAAUAGUAAUUCGGAUUUAUAUGAUUUUUAUACCAUUUAAAAUACUAAAAAAUUAACUUUUAAAAAAUAUUUUUUACUUUUACUUUAUAUUUUUUAUUGGAUAAAAAUUAAGUGAACAGACUGUGACUAGUUUUGUAGUAUACAAUUGCUUGAUUGCAUUGAUUUCACUUAUUUUUGUAUUUUGCUUCUUUUAUUCUUAUUCUUAAAAUUUCCACUUUAUACCACUAAUUAUAAGAAAUUCUUAAUUGAGGUCAUCUUAUAAUUAGGUUAAGAAGUAAAUUUUACACUCAUACAUAGUUUAUGGUCCAUAUGAAUCUCAAAAUAUGUUAAUUUUAUCUAUUAUGGAUAGAAUAUAUCAAAAAAAAAUCCAAACGAAUAUUGAGGUAUAAAAUUAAUAGAUAGUAAUGACUAUUCCUAAUAUCAUAGAAAAAAAAAAUAACUCUCAAAAUUGGCAAUCACGUUGUAGACAAUUGAGAUAUUCUAUACAAUCUUAUUUUUAGUAGAAAAUAUAACUACCAUAUUAAAAUUGAGGUUUGUAUUUUAGUUUGUGAAAUAAAUUAUGUCCACAAAUACAUCUAUAAAAGAUAUAAUUCUACAAAAAUGUCAAUUAGAAAUAAAAAAGAUGAAGUCAAGAAAUAUAUUGAUGUAUAAUAUAUUGGAGCUUUAGAAGUAGCAUAGCAUUUAUUUGGAAUAAAAAUACAUGAAGAAGUAUCAAAUAUGAUUUAAUUUGUAUUUCAUCUUUUUGGAAUGCAUCAAGUAAUUUUUUAUCCAAAUAAUAAUGAAUUUAAAGUCUUACCCUAUGGAGAGCAACAAAAAAAUAACUUUCAAAUUAUUUUCUUAAAAUAUGUGAUUUUAUAGAGAAUACUUAAUAAUAUAAGUAUAGAGAAUUUUUACAGUAUUUUGUGUAGAACAAGACCUUAAAGAAGUGGAUAAUAAGACAAUGUGGAUUUGCAAUUGAAAGGUUUUAUUUUAUUAAUUAUAUUAUAAGAAAAAAUAUUUUAAAAAAAAUAUAUUUACAACACAAGAAGAAUGAAGUUCCAAAGAAGAAGUUUUGUAUAUUGUGUCCUCUCAAAUUGUCACACAACUUUUAAAUAAUAGAUAGUCUUAUACUUUAACAUGGCAAUAAGAUGAAAGAAAAAAAUUUAAAUUAUAUUUUUAAAAAACAUAGAUAAAAAAUAAAGAGAUAAUAAAUAUAUUUAAAUUUGAUGUUUUAUUUUUAUAAAAAUAAACUUCUAUUUAUUUUAUAGAUCCAUAAACAAGACAAAAUAAAGAAAAUUCAAAAAAAAAUAAUUUAGGCAUCUUUAAGAAGAAAUUAAGUAUAGUUUUCAGCCAAAAUUACCUUAAAAAGCUAGAAAAUAACACCUAAAGAGGACCAAUUGUGAAUCAAGGUUGAAACUAGGUCCUAAGGCAUAAAAUUGUGUACCUAUAGCAAUUUUGGGAUAUAUUUAUUAAUUAAAGAGAAAGAAUAGAAAACACACUUUAUAAGAUUUGUUUAAGCAUUAAUUUAUAUAUGAUUUAGAUUAAUAUUGAGUUGAUAAGAGUUUUUUAAAGAUAAAGUUAUUUUAAGUGAUUUAAGGUUUCAAGAAAUAAAAAUGAAUUUACAUAUUUGAAAAUUUUAUAAAUAUUAUAGAAAAUUGAUGAAAAUAAAUUUGUGGGAUUAUAAAUUUAUUUAUUUAGAAUUAAGUUUGUGAAUUUAUAAUUCAUUAAAAGAUUAGAUUGAAGAUUAUUAAAUUAAGUUGUUAGAAUUUUGAUUUUAAAGGUCAAUGAGGGUUGUUUUGAUCUUACAUAAUUUGCUAGUCUAAUUGAAACAAAUAUUUUUAGGCUAAUAAUUAACUUGGUUUGAAAAAAUAUAUAUAAAUUUUUAGGACAAUUAAACAAUGUAAUAAGGAAAUAUAGUUGCUAGUAGAUUAACAUCAAGAUUAGAAAAAGAAGAUUAUCAAGACUCAAGGAAAUUAAGAGCUUUUUCUUUCAAUUAAUAAGUUAGAUUAUUCUUAUAUUUUAUUUUCUUGAUUUUAAUUAAUAUAUUAAAAUGUAUAAAUUUUUUGAAAUAAAAUAAUAAAUUUAAUUAAUAAUCAUUGAGGUUUUAAAUUUUCUAUAUGAUUUCAUUAGUAUUUAUGUAAUAUUUGAUUAGAAUAUCUUUAAAACUUUAUUAAAAUUAUUCAAUUUUAUUUAGAAUUUAUUUAGAAUUUACUUGAAAUUUGAUUAGGAUAUUUUAAAAUUAUAUAUAAAGAUUCUUUAGAAUUUCUAUUCAAUAUUUUUAGAAUUUUUUUUGAAAGAUUUUUUAAAGAUAAUUUAGGAUUUAAAUAAAGAUUUAAUUAGAAUUAUAAAGAUUUAAUUAAGAUUAAUUUAAAAUUUUAAUAGGAUUAUUAAAUCCUUUUUUUGUUGCAAAAUCCAAGUUAUCUUCUACAACUAGGUAUUUGGUAUAUUUUCAAAUAUGAUGAUACAUAAUAUGAUAAUUGAUUGCAUAUUCUAUAUUUUAACUUUUGAUUUAUUUCAAUGAAGAUUUGUUUGGAAAUAUUGCAAAGAAUGUACUACAUAUAGAUGUGCUAAAAAAGUCAAUUUUUAUCAUAUGAGAUGAUUCACCAAUAGAACAUUGCUAUUGUAUUGAAGCAAUUGAUAGAAUUCUCUAAGAUGUAAAUGAAACUAAUAAGUAAUUUAGGAGAAUAUUGUAGUUUUUGGUAGAGAUUUUUGGCAAAUUCUUGUUAUUGUUGAAAGUUUAAGAUAUGAGAUUGUUAAUGCUUCUUUGCAAUAAAUUAAGAUUUGAUUUCACCUUAAAAUUUAUAAGUAGAUCAAUAAUAUGUAUUUGGAAGAUGAAUCUAGUGAGAAUUGAUUAUUUGCAAGAGAGCUUUUAAAGAUAAGUAUGAUCUAGGUUUGUUACUUUUAAGAGUUUUUUCAUGAUACAAUGUUUGUGUUUAAUAUAUCAUUUGUAGAUUAGAAUUAGAUCAAAAAUUACAAAUCCAUUGAAAAGUACAAUGAUACUUCUAAAAUAUGUAAAAGUAGGUACUACAUCAAAUGAUUUGAUUGAAGUUGUCUAUUUAAGAUUGAAUAAGAAUAAAAGACUUGGAAAUUAAUAUUUUAUCAACAUGUCAAUUUUAUCUUUAUAAAAUUAUGAUAUCAAUAAUCUAAACAUAUAUACUAUGAAAAGAUUUUGUAGAAUUUAUGUACUUAUUUUAAUACAAAUAUAGUAAUUAUGGAAGAUGGUGCGAGUAAUGGCAAUUAUUAUCUAAACAAGUAUUUGAAUAGCUUAAGUCCACUUAGAUUUCUAUUGUUUAACUUGAAAUUGAAAGUUGGAUGUCCAAUUAUGUUGUUGCAAAAUAUUGUUUUGCGUGAAGGACUUUAUAAUGGGUUACACUUGAUUUUUAUGGAAUUGAUUGACUAAGUUAUAAAGACAAGGUUAUUAUCUAGAGACUGCAAGAAACAAUUGGCUUUUUUUUCAAAUAUCACAUUAUGUCCAACAUUUGUAGAGAUUUUAUUUAAAUUACAAUAUAGAUAAGUUUUGAUAAAAAUGGCAUAUGCAAUGAUUAUUAACAAAUUUCAAAGACAAUCAUUGAAGAAUAAAAAAAUAGAUCUUUGAAGCUCUAUAUUUACACAUAGACAGUUGUAUAUUGCCCUUUCACAAUACACUUCUAUGAAUAUGAUCAAGAUCCUAUAUCUUGAAAGUAAUAAAGACAAAAAUACCAAUGAAAUUAUAGUUUAUUUUGAUAUUCUUUUAAAUUACCUAUUUAAGUUGUUGUAAUAAAUAAAAAUUAUAUUUGUCAAUAAUAUAGAAGAAACAUAAUUGAUUUAUAAUUAUGUGUAUAUUCCUUUAUUUUUUAAUUUUUUUCUUGGCUAAUAUUUCUUUAAAAAUAAUUUAUCUUUGACUUAGAAAUCUAAAAUUAUAAAAUUUAUAACUUUUUUAUAUCUAACAACAUAAGUUUUUAAUAUAUAAUAUAUAAUAUAUAUAUAUAUUAAUAUAUAAUAUUUAAUGUAUGUUAUAUAUUAUUUUGGGUCUUUAUUUUUUUUCUAUUUUAAAUUAAAAUUUUGUGACCUUAUUCGAAUAGUAUAUAUUAAAUAUAAUUACUUUUUGACCUUUUGAUUUAAAAUAUCCUAUGUGUUUUUGACAUUUCUAACCAUUACUAUGCAUGUAUUUUUUUUUCUUGUGUUUGUAAAAGAAUCACAAAAAAAAUAUUGAGAGCAACUAUAAUAUUCCGAAUUCAUGAACAAUCACACUACUAUUAUCACAUAAUGGGAUUAUAAUACGGUUCCAGGCUCGCUCAACGGAGCACGCCAUUCCACAUUGGAAUGUCGAGGCCAGCGCCACCUGUCCAAGCCAUUCCGUCAGCAGACUGUCGAUCGGACUCCCGCGCGCCAGGGCGGUCCACGUCGACCGGGACAAGGUGCCGAGGUGGCAGGAGAGAGUGCCGACGUGGAACGGGGGGGGGAGGAAGAGCGGUGAAAGAGAGAAAGCGGAGGGCGGGGGAGUGUGUGGCUGCUGAGCCAUAUCCAUUGCCGGGCGAUCGAUCGUCCGGUGUGUGCCGGCCACAUGAAUCACAUCCUCCAUCGCCAUCCGAUCGAUCCUCCUCUUGCUGCAACUCUAGUUCAAGACAUCCCCCUCUUCGCAAUUCUUGGUGCAUCUGCUCGUGCAUUGUUGCCCACUUCCUCACACCAAUCCCUCUUGAGCUCGCCGCCUGCAGGUCCUGUCAGUCCCCAUGGCUAUGGCUGCGACGGCUUCGACCUCCCUCACCAGCGGAUUGACCACCUCCUCGCUCGCCGCUGCCAACAAUGGCGUCUGCGGAAGCCCCUGCCUCGUGAUGGUGCCCGCACCUGGAUUCAGUGUCACCAAGAAGGAUGGCGUCGUUAAGGUGCAAGCUGCUGCCGCUGCGCCGGAGCGCGUCCCCGACAUGGGGAAGCGUAAUUUAAUGAACUUGUUGCUUGCAGGUGCCAUCUCGUUGCCCACGGCCGGUCUCUUGGGGCCUUACUUAUACUUCCUCGUGCCCCCCAGCUCCGGUGGUGCCGGUUUGGGUGUUACCGCUAAGGACGCUCUUGGUAAUGACAUUACCUCUUCGGGAUGGUUGAAGACGCACCCUGCAGGUGACAGGACUUUGGCGCAGGGUCUGAAGGGUGAUCCUACUUACCUCGUUGUGGAGAACGACGGUACCCUGGCUCCCUAUGGAGUCAAUGCUGUGUGCACCCACUUGGGUUGCGUGGUGCCGUUUAACAAGGCUGAGAACAAGUUUAUGUGUCCCUGCCACGGAUCCCAGUACAACAACCAGGGUAAGGUUGUGCGUGGACCUGCUCCUUUGUCUUUGGCUCUUGCCCAUGUGGAUGUCGUCGAAGACAAGGUGCUCUUCUCCCCCUGGAAGGAAACCGAUUUUAGAACCGGUGAGGAGCCAUGGUGGUCAUAGACUCCUUGAACUCGUAGUCCUUCGCAAGUGUACUAUAUUGGACUUCAUUGAAUCUGAUGAUUAGUCGAAUACACUACGAUGAUGUCGUGCAGUUAAAUUCGGCCACUUUCUGCUGUGGAUUUCAUUUUUGAAUCACCUUGGUUUUAGUCUAAAAAUUUGUCGAUGCCACCGACUCUCCUUAGGGUGAUGAUUAUAUUUGUCUCUCGUAGCCAUGUUUGUGGCUACGUGGUGAGGUCCGCCUGCCGCAAUUAGAUGAACUCAUCAAAGCCUCUGACCCAGGUCUGUAUAUCGAGGCUUUUGUAUCGCAAUGUUAGUAAUCUCGGGAGAACGGAAUAAAUGAAUUGACGUUGAAAAGUCUAUUUCUUUCUACGCUACUCUAGUUGUCUCAGGACGAUUGUCGUGCAUACCUGCUUGAAACUUUUAGGGAAUGGCUGCAUAACUUAGUGGCGGCGAAAUUUUUGAAGAGGUUAAGUUUUGGUACAUAGUAUCUCUUUCAUUUGUGCUGUGACUUCCGGGAAUCGAGCAUCUCACAUUUGCAGUUUCGUCAUCUGAGCAUCAAUUUAGCAUCUUGAUUGUGAUCGCCUCACGAUCGUCACGUCUCUAAUUUUUUAAAUGAUAGGUAAUUUUAUUCAUGAAAGAAGUUUAGAACUAUUUCAAAACACUAGAAACAGCAUGCAAAUGUGUAUAUGACGCGAAUUUAACACACUUUACUCUUCAAAUGUAACACACUUUACUCUUCAAUAUGUGAAAAACAAUAAUCUCAUACCGAAGUUGGCUUCGUGCAUACAAUCGCAUGUGGCAGUGGUCCAGAGCACAUCGUUCAAGUCUCAAUCACAACUUCUAUUACGCUGAAGACAAAUAUACCGACCCAAACAGUAUGUCUACCGAUAUUUAGUUCUCUGAUAUAUCCAGCAUUACAAAUCUUAUCUGAAAUAAAUCGCAUGGAAGAAAUAAACUGAAACGCAUCCUUGUGUCCCUACUUACAACAAUGACUGAUUAGAGUAUUUAUUUUCGCCUACUUAACUACCAACAUGAAACUUAGUUAGUAGAGAGUAAGGAUAAUUCUCCAACGGAUUGCGACGUCUACUCGCUGUAUUCUGGAAUAUUGAUUACCAAUUCUUUUUGCGGGAUCUGGACAAUUCCCCUAGCUAGAGACGCCCAGAAUGUAGAAGAAUACAGAGCACCAGUGUAGGCUUGGGUUGUCCUGAGCAUUCAGUUUCCCAAGAACUUUGUGACAAUGUGGAUACGAUUAUGAGAAUUGAGUUUUCGGUUUAUUGAUUAGACAUGGCAAUUGGUGCAUGGAACGGAAGCUAUUGUAGAGUGCCUAGAUUAUUGCAACUAGAUCUGCCAAAGCAGACUCCACCGAAAACGACCAAACCGCUCGAUUGAAAGCCCCAGCACAACAGCAGAUCGUCAAUUGGAAACUUGGAAUCCCAAUCAGAUCUACAAAUCGAACUGUUACCCGAGCACGAUUCUUAUAAGUGAUUAUUUUUGAGAAGCUGGUGAUUCAUAACACCGUCUGGCGCAACUCCAACAUCGACGUAAUCUGUCAGGUCGGCAAAAGAACUUGACUAAACUACUGUGCAGAUUAUAGUCAUGGCACUAAUGGUGUAGCACACGAGGGUUUAGAUUGGACCAGCCGAAGUCCACACAUGCGGAACACUGCUCCUGUUGCAGCUUCUCAACGUGAUGCCAACUCUUCUUAAAACGCACAAGAAGAUUGAUAGACCUUCUUAUCCCAGAUUGUGAAGAUGAGAUCGAUGAUUUGUCUAGCUAAAGUAAUAAGUGCCAUGAGUGCGGUAAUGUGAGAUUGCUACGGUGUGAUAAGGGGUCCUGCGUCGAUGGUCAUGCCGGCCACCAUUACUGCAGGGCGAGCCGCGAAGCUGGUGGCCUUGGAAUAGAAGCUAGUGGAGUCUUUUAACCCCGAGGUGACGAAGAAAGCGCCGUUGUGAAACACAUCAUCCACGCUUCGCCAGUUCCAAUUCUCCCCUCCGUCAUUCGUGUUGCCAUUACUAGAAAUGCACUUGGUGACCUCCUUGGUGUUGCCUGCCAUGAACUUAUUACCCUUGCUGUUGAUGGUAGGACUCCCCCCCCCAAUGGCGUACAUUGCCCACCCGGUGUAGUAGUUGUUGACUACAUGAAAUCACCCAUAUCGGCAUCUACAAGAGUAACAACGAUUAUCCGUCGCAACAGAAAGCUUGGAAGGGACGGAGGUCAGAUUAUCCGAUUCAAGUUGCACGACACUGUAGUUGAGAUGAUCGGGUUUGAGGUAGAAGUGGCGACUCACCUCGGAAUGCGUUGGGUCAGGCCCUCCCCAAAGUGAUUGAAAGCAACCGUGACCUGCAUUGCAAUGUCGAUGAUGUCCGCAGCGUUAGCUCCGAAGAGCAUCACCUUGUUGUGAUUGAUAAAAUAGUUGUUGGAGAUCGUGAUUCCCUUGGAUCCCUCUACUACGUGUACCAAUCCAUCGGCUGAAUUGUAGAGGUGAUUGUGAUCUAACCAGAUGUCCCGAGAACCACGGAUUGUCACUGCGUCUCCAUCGGUCCUGCCCCUAUCUCUGAUGUGGUCGGGAGAAAGCCUCAUAUCCGCGGGGCCAGUAGGCUUGCAAUCGUGGAUGGAAAUGCCGUGAAUUGUGAUGUUGCUCACAUUCUCGGCGGUAAGGCAAGCUCCUCCAGCGAUGUGCACAUCUGCACCUCGCCCGUCGAGGGUCUUGUGGCUGUUCAUCAGAAGCUCCUCCUUCAGCUCAAUGUUCAUGUUGCCGGAGAACACAAUUUAGAGUGGCUCUGUUUGAAUCAAUCCCCAUCUGAGUGUGCCAGUUGCAGGGUUAAUCGCAUCAUCGUCACUGUUGUCCGUGACGAUAUUAACUUCGCCAUUCAUCCCCCCUGCAGAAUUUUUGCCGAACCCAAGUGCGCAAUUCGCAAGCUCUUGUCGGUUCUCCUUCCAUCGAUGGUCACAUCUCCAGCAGUCGUCGAUAAGGUUACCUGAUCCACAGUCAGAAAGCGCUCGGCGUGUGUAAUUCUCUCAUAGGGAGAGCGCUGCAACAAAGUCAGUCUCAGAGGAUCUGGAUCCGCCACCAACAACACUGCCAUGGUCUCUCUGACCGAGCACAAUCAUCGCAAUUUAACAAAUGGAUACCCACAUGCUGCGGCUGGGUUGAAGUGGCGAUGAUAUAGACGUCCAUCUAAACUUAGCCAGAUUGUGGAGCGUGGUCUGGAAAACCUGUCAAUAACUGUUUGUGCGGCGUUUUGAACAGAGUCUUCGAAUAUGCUUGAGGACCAGCUUGAGUACCAGCUUGAGAGCAAGGCAAGUGCUAUCAGCGACAGGAUUAUUGUAGCUGUGCAUAGUGAUGCCAUGGUAUCUUUGGAAGGAACUCUGAAACUUUAAAUUAGAAGAUUAAAAUUUUAAUAGUAUAUUUAAGAGUUGUUGAAGAUCAGCAACAUCUAGCAUAGUUGCUGCCACAUACAGUUAAACCAUAGUAAGUUGUUAAUAGUCAAAAGAUAACAAAGGAUUAAAAGAUGUUACUAUAGUGGCGGCUAGGGUUUUAAGUGGCAGUUGGUUGAGAGGAAUCUAGGGUUUAGUUGGAUGUAGGAAAGAAGGAUGAAAACGAUUGUAGAUAAAUUUCAUCUAUAAUUGAUGUAAACUCUAGUUGUAAGUAAAAAGUGUUGGAAGUGAGAGUUAUUUUACUCCACACUUCACUUUAUGUAUACCUUGUUGAUGUUAAGUGUUGUGGUUUCUAACUUCUUUUUUUUCAAUAAGUUAUGGGCUUACUUACAUUUCCUUGUGAGUUUCUUUGAAGUUAUAUGAAGUCUUUGUUGUUGUGUGGAAUAGAUGAUAUUGUUGUUGCUGAUAUUAGAAUUUUGAAACUCCUAACUUUUAGAUUCAGAUCUAAAUCUAGAUCUUUGUUUGCUCUUACUUAUUAUUAAGUGCAUCUUGGAUUCAAAGUUUGAUUUACGUCUUAUGGUGAUGUUAUAAAGUACUAGUGUUGUGUUUUCUUAUUGAUUAAAAUCCUUAGUAGACUAACUUUGUAGUUUUAUGUGUUAAAAGAGCUUAAGGUGCUUAAAAGACCUUUUAUAGUGUUUAGAAGUGAUUUGUGAAUUUAAAAGUAAGAGAAGAGUGAGAAAUCUGGUUUAAAGCAUUGAUAUUGAUCAUUGAACUUGUGAGAGGUCAUAGAAGUGAAGUUGAGAGUGUUUUGAAAGUGAAAACACUAAUUUAUUUACAAAGAAGGUAUUUUGAGAUUUUAAGGCAAUAAUACCUUCUUGCUGAUUUUGAGAGCUUUAGAACUAUUUCUCUUUAUCUUUUUUAAUACAUCUCUUUCUUAAAUAUGGCUUUAAGUGACAGUGAAGGCUUGAAAGCAAUUGAAAAGUUUAGAGGUGAGAAUUUCUACCAUUGAAAGGUCAAAAUAGAAUUUUUGUUGGCUUCUUUAGAUCUAUGGAAUACUGUAGAUGAAAGUGAAGCGUCUCCAAGCAUGCAUGCUAAUACAAAGGAGAAGAAGGACUACAAACGUCAUGAAAAGAAGGCCUUUGGAUUGAUUGCAUACAAUGUUGAUAAAGCCAACUUCUUCCUCAUUAUCUCUUGUAAAAGACCACAAAAAGCAUGGAAGAAUCUUUGCAACAUCUAUGACAUCAAAAACUUAUCCAACAUCAUCUACACAAGGAAGAAGUUCUUCACAUUUAAAAUAGAAGAAGGUGAAGACCUCAUGGCACACAUUAGCAAGUUGAAGGUACUUGCAAAUCAGCUUGCAAUUGUUGACAAGUCUUUAAAAAGGGUAGAUGUUGUCAUGACUCUACUCUUGAGCUUGCUGGAAUCCUAUAGCUAUCUUAUUAUGGCUUUGGAAUCCAUUUAGAUGAAAGAACUCACAAUGGACUUUAUGACAGUGAGACUUAGUCAUGAAGUAACUAAUAAGAAAGAAAAAGAGCCUCAAAGUGAAGAUUUAGUACUCUACUCACAACAAUGCAAGGACAACUAUUCAAAUCAAUGAUGUAAUAUCAAAACUUGCUUCAUUUGAGGCAAAGUAGGACAUUUUGUUCGAAAUUACUAUAAAAGAGAAAAGAUGAAAAAGAAGAAUGCAAAUAAUAUACAAGAUGAGUUUAGAAGAUAAGAUUAUGCAUUCAUGGCAACAAACAGGACCUCUAUGGCUGCCAUAUCAAGAUGGAUUGAGGAUUCAAGUUAUUCUAAGGACAUGACACUUUAUAAAUAUUCAUUUGACACUUAUAAAGUUAUUUCAGUAUCAAAUGUGAUUUAGUGGAUAAUGGCACAUGUAAAGCCAUUGGAAUUGGUUCUAUUAUAGUAGAGGUGGUUGCAAAUGGAAAAAUCAAUAGGAUCACAUUUCAAAAUGUCUUUUAUAUGCUCAAGAUGAAGCAAAACCUACUUUUGAUAAGUAAACUUGUAAUGGAAGGUUUUAUGAUUCAAUUCAAUAAAAAUGGAUGUUUUGUAAAAUCAUUGUAUAGAAACAUGAUUGCCAUAGGCUCUAGAGAGAGAAAUUUGUACUACCUUGAAUAUAAGAAGGUCAACAGAGUGGAGAUAGCUGCAUUUGUUAAGUUUAUAUCAAACCAAGACAAGUUGAAUAUAUGGCAUUGUUGCCAUUUAAACGUGAAAAGUAUGGCAAAGCUUAAAUCUAUAAUAAGGGACUUAGAUCUUAGCAAAACAAGCCAAAAUGCAAUACAACUUGCAUGUAAAGGAUGCAUACAAGAAAAAUAAUAAAUGGUCUCAUUUCUAAGUGGUGUAGCAACACAUGCUUUAAAGUUGUUGGAGAUUGUCCAUUCUGAUAUAUGUGGAGCUAUAAAAAAUACAAGUAUUGGAGGAAGAAGAUAUUUUUUUAUUUUCAUUGAUGAUUUUUCAAAAAAGAUUUGGAUUUACAUUCUUAGAACAAAAAAUGAGUACUUUUGGAAGUUUAAGGAGUUUAAAGUACUUGUUGAAAAAUAAAGUGAAUGCAAGAUCAAGGUACUGUUUAUGAACAAUAGAGUUGAGUACAUGUUUAAGUAAUUUGAUGUUUAUUUGAAGAAUAAAAGAAUUGUUAGAUAAACAACAACUCCAUAUAUUCUACAAUAAAAUCAUAUUGCUAAAAGGACAAAUCAAAUUAUUGUGGGGAUGGCAAGAAGCAUGUUUCAUGCUCAAAAUCUUAGUUAUGAAUUUUGUGCAGAAGCUGUGGUGAAUGCAAUAUAUACAAGGAAUAGAUAUUCAACAAAUGUUCUUGCAUCAAUAACACCACAAGAAGCUUGGAGUUAGAGACAAUCUUGCAUUUCAAAUAUGAAGACCUUUGGAUGCAUUGUAUAAGCAAAGACACCAGAUUGUAAGAGAUCCAAACUUGAUGCAAAAGGUACAAAGUGUGUUUUUUUAGGAUAUUAUGAAGGUAUCAAGGCAUAUAAGCUAAUGUGUUUGGACACCAAAAAGAUCAUCAAAAGUCGUAAUGUCGAAUUUUUAGAGCAUAAAAAUACUUGUGAACACUUGAAGAUAUAUCUAAGUAUGAAUAAUGGUAUAUUUGUAAAUACAUCUUCAAAUUUAGCAAAGAAAUAAGAAGAUAAAGACAAUGAAGAUGGUGAAGGUGUAAAUGAAGAUGAAAAGAUAAAGAAGAAGGCCUUGCAAAUUCUUAGGACUAGUAAUGAAGAUGUUGAAGAUUAUGAUGAUAAUAAUGAUGAAGAGUAUCAACUUUUAACUGAAAAAAGAUAAGCUUUAAGAAAAAAGAAGCUUAGAAGAGAGCUUAGAGUACAAUAAGCUGAAUCUUCUUAAAAUGAAAGAAGAUAUCCCUUGAGAGAAAAAAGACCUCAUAGCAAAUAGUAGAAGGACCACAUCUUUCUUCAAGUAAGUGAAGAAUAUGCAAAUGUUGCUCUCUUUGCUGAUCCAUUGUCUUUAUAUGAUGCUAUAAAGUCUCAAGAUGCAAUGAAGUGGAAAAAGGCUACAGAAGAAGAAUAUCAAUCUCUUAUGAACAAUAGUAUAUGGGAAUUGAUAUCUCUUCUAGCAAAUUGAUCUAGUAUUGAUUAUAAGUAGGUGUUUAGGACUAAAAGAGAUGCAACAAGUGUGGUAGUGAGGCACAAGGUAAGAUUAAUUGCCAAAGAAUAUUUACAAGUGUUGAUAUUGACUUUAAUGAGAUUUAUAUACAUGUUGCCAAAUUCACCAUUAUUAAGACCAUUAUGGCAAUUGGAACAGUAAUAGAUUUGGAAAUAUACCAAAUGGAUGUAAAGACGGCCUUUUCAAAUGAAGAAUUGGAAGAAGACAUCUACAUGGACUAACUUCAAGGAUUUGUACAAUAAAGCAAAUAACAUGUUGCAUGCAAGUUGAAGAAAUUAUUGUAUAGAUUGAAACAAUCACCAAAAGCAUGGUACCAAUGUAUUGACAUAUUUUUUGUCAAUAAGAGAUUUGUAAGGAGUGAGGCUAAUGAUUUAUUAUAUGUGAUGCAAUGUAAAGAAUUCUUGCUAAUUGCAAUCCUCUAUAUUGAUGAUUUGACCAUCUUAGCUAAUAAUAUGAAAAAGAUAGAUUAGAUGAAGGUCAUAUUACAAAAAGAGUAUGAAACGAGUGUUUUGAGAGAGUUCCACUAUUGCUUAGGAGUAGAGUUUAUAAGAGAUCAUGGUAACAAGACCAUUACAAUGAGCCAAAGCAAGUACAUUAAAGAAGUAUUGAAAUGUUUCAAUAUGGAAGAGUGCAAGUCCAUUGGAACACCUUUGGAGGCCAAUUUGAAGUUGAUGAAAUUUACAGAUGAAGAAUAUGCAUAUGUUGAAGGUGAGAUGCAAAGUAUUCUAUACAAGGUAGUAAUAGAUCCACUUAUAUAUACAAUGGUGGCUAUAAAAGUAGAUCUUGCAUUUAGUAUAAGUGUUGUAAGCCAACACAUGACUUACGCAAGACCUUUGCAUUGGACAAUGGUAAAAAAGAUAUUGAGGUACUUAAAAGGUAUAAAGAACUUCAAAUUGUGCCUUACUGGUAAGAAUAUUAAUUUGCAAGGAUAUUAUGAUACAAAUUAGACUGGAGAUGAAAAUAAUAAAAGAUCCUCAAUAAGAUAUGUGUUCUUUAUUGGAGUGAGAGUCAUUUCAUGGAAUUGUAAGAGACAAUCUACCAUUGUAAGAUCAACUAUGGAGGUUGAGUAUAUGAUAGCAAGUCAUUGUGCAAUAGAAGCAUGUUGGAUAAGACAACUCUUAAAAGACAUUGGACUAGUAAAAUUAGAAGUAACUCCAAUAAUAUGUGACAAUUAAGGAUAUCUUAUAUUUACCAAGAAUCCAAAGCACCAUUCGAGAAUCAAGCACAUUGAUAUUCAACAUCAUUUCAUAUGAGAGAAAAUUGAAGAUAGAAUAAUUGGUAUGAAAUAUUGUACUACAAAAGACAUGCUUAUUGAUGUGCUUAUAAAAACUUUGGUAAAGGAUAGACACUAAAAAUUGAUAGAGGUAUUAGGCUUGAAAGUCUUUUAACAAUUAGCAAAGUGGGAGUAUUGAAGAUUAAUAUGAUCUAGUAUAGUUGCUGCCACAUAGAAUUAAACCCUAGUAAGUUGUUAAUAGUCAAAAGAUAACAAAGGCUUAAAAGAUAUUACUAUGGUGGCAGCUAGGAUUUUAGGUGGCGGAUGAUUAAGAAGAAUCUAGGGUUUAGUUAGAUGUAGGAAAGAGGGAUGAAAAUGAUUGUAGAUAAAGUUCAUCUAUAAUUGAUAUAAACUCUAGCUAUAAGUAAAAAAUGUUAGAAGUCAGAGUUGUCUUACUCCACACUUCACUUUGUGUACAACCUUGCUGAUGCCAAAUAUUGUGGCUUCUAAUUUUUCUUUUUUCAAUAUAAGUUUCUUAAGUUUUUUUACUUUAAAAAAAUUAUUAUAUUCAUUAUUACACUUAUUAUAUCUAUACUUUAAAGAUUGAUUUUAUUUUUAUUUUUAUUUUUUUAUAUAUGUAUGUUUUAUAUUUUGUAACAUACUAUGUGGGCGACAAAAGUUUUAGAAGGGUGUUUGCUUGGACUAAUUCAUUUUCUUCAGUAGAAUGUAAGAGAAUCCUUUAAUGUACAUUUAUUUUGAUAUUUUAUUUUUAGACUCUUUAGUAAAUUUUGAGAUAGUAUUUUAUAGAAUUCUAAAAAAUUUUCUAGUUGGAAGUUAAAGUGUAGUAAAAAGUUUAAUUUUUCUCAAUUCAACAUAAAUCUUGUGUAAUGUGUGCUAAGUUUUUAAUAAAACCAUUGCAUGAGUAUUUUUUUUUAUCAGAUAUAGCUCUACUAUUAGAAGUAUAUAAUGUAUAAUUGGUGUGUGUAUAAAAUUAAUUAACUCCAAAUUUAUUGUGGUUAUUAUUUAAUUGAUAACCAAAGCUUUGAUUAAAAAAUUACAAAAUUACAAUAGAUAUAUUGAAUGCAAAGUUUAAAGUGGAAGAAUAUAAUAUAAAAGAUUAAUUAUGAAUUUUACCAAAUAAAGAUAAAAAACCACUUUUACAAAAUAAUAUGGAUAUGAAUAUUUCCUUCUUAUGAUGUGAAUAUUAUAAAAUAUUCAAGAGUAUUGAUAUGGUUUUUUUAAGCUUGCAAGUACAAGCAUAAAGCUCAAAAAUAAAACAAAGAAUUUUUUUAAUCGAAAAUCUUAAUACUUGGAUCCUCAUCGGAAUUUGUUUUAUACUUAAAAAUUAUAUGAGAGAAAAAAUAUUUAAAUAAAUAAAAUAAUGGCAUAUAAGUAGAAUAAAGAAUGAAAUUUUUUAUUUUUCAAUUAAUUUUUUAUUUUAAUCAAAUAUGUUCUUAAAUAGAAGAAGGAAAAAAAUAAAAAUAAAAAAAUAGUUUCACAUCGUUGUAACUAUAUAAAAAAAAAUCGGAAUUUUUUAUAGUUAUAGAGGAAGCAUUAGUUUUUUAAAAAAAAUGCUGAAACUUUUCUCAAUUAAUAGAAGAUACCAUCACAUAUAAAAUAAUAAAAAAGUAAAAAAUGAUGAUUUAUGUUCACUCAAGUGUUUGGAGAUUUUAAAUAUUUUUUUUCAAUGAUAUUGCAUUUUGGUAUCUCCUAUAGACAAUUAUUUUGAAAAUUUAUACAUUUAUAUGUUAAAGAAAAAAAAAAAAAAGUACUUUCGAUUUUCAACCAAUAAAAGAUUAUGGUAGAAAAAAAUAAGAAAAUAAAUUAUCAUAGGUCUAAUAAUAAAAAAAUUAUAGAUAAAAAAAUUAUUAUUUUUAUGAGAAUAAAAAAAUCUUAACUUAAUUAUAAUAUGUCUACUAUAAUAAAAAUAAAAAUAAAAGUAGGAAAAAAAUUUUAAUUAUUAAGUAUUGAUAUCAAAUUAGAUAAUAAAAAUAGAAUUUUAUUGCCAUUGAUUUUACUAUCUCUAUCAUUUAAAUAUUUAAUUACUUUUUUUGUAUUAAAAACAUAUAAUAGAGCCAAAAGAGGACAAUAUAAUUUUCUUGUCUAUUAAGAUAAGAUAAAAUACUAAUAGUAAUGCUUUAUAUUUUGUAAUAUUAUAUAUAUAAUAAAUAACCAUAGACAAAAUUCAGAGUAAAAAAAAAUCAAAUUCAGAUUUGUACCUUGAUUAAAUUGAAUUUUUUUAGUUUAAAAAAUAUAAUAUAUAUUUUUUUAAAAUAUUUUUUAAAAUUUAAACAGAUAGAUCACAAAUAUUAAAAGUAAUUAGUCUUAAGAUAUAUGGAUGUAUGAUUAUGGUUACUUAUAUCAUAAGUUUCUUUAAUAUUAUUGAUUUUACACUUAUAGUCUAUAUAAUGGUACAAUUGUAUAUAUAAAAUGAAUAUUUUUUUACAAGAAUAUAAAUUAUUUAUUUAAUUUUUAUUAUAAUAUUUAAAAAUAAUAAAGAAAUAUUAAAUAAUAUUUAGUAUUUUAUUAAUUUUAAAAUAAUUUUAUUUAUCUAGAUGUCAUAAAUUCAAAUAAAGUGCAAAAAGUAGAAUUCUAAAAGAUUUUAAAGAAAAUGUGUGGUAAUAAAGAAUAGAAGGAUUUAAUAUAUAUAUAUAUAUAUAUAUAUAUAUAUAUAUAUGGAUUCAUAGGAGAUAAUACUAAAAAUAGAAAAAUUAUUGUAUUUUUUCAUGAAGUAAAUUCAAUGUUUAGGAUUUAAUCAAAGAUAGACAUUUGGAUUACAUAAGUAAGGAAGAGCUUCUAAAACUACAUAAGUAAUAAUUUCUAAAAGAGAUAAAUUUUUAUAAAGUAUUAUUUUUAAAAUAUUUUAUGUUUAAAAAAAAAAAAAAAAAAAAAAAAAACACUUAUAUUUUUAUUAUAUUAAAGAUAGGAAGUUGAUAUUUCUAUUCUAAGUUUUAUUAUUCCUACCAGACAUAGUCUUACAUCUACUACAUUGUCAUUUUUGUUGAUGUUGUACUUUUGUAAUGUAUUCAAAGACAAUUCAGCUUUGAUCAAUGCUCUAAUGAGUCAUCUCUUUGUCUUUGAUACUAGUAAUUAAAGGCGCUCAUAAACAUUGGCAUUUCAAGGACAUGAUGGAGUCUUUUAAGACAAUUGGCAACAUGUAUAGGCUACUUCUUAUGUUUUACUAGUAGCUUUAUUAAUAUAAUUUGAAAAAAAUAAAAUAAAAUAAAAUAAAAAAUGUUUGUUAUGUCUUGAGAACCUUAUCUAGUGAAUUGUAGUGGGAUCACAUAUGAUAGAUUUUACCACCAAAAAGACAUCUCUACUAUGUUAGAUCAAUUGCUAGUAUGAAAGUCAAAGAAUUAGUCUAUUAUGGCAUUGAUUAAAUCAAAAUUAUCUUUGAAUAUGUCACAAAAGCACAUCAACAACAAUAACAACAAUGUCAACAAUAAUAAGAUUGUAGUGAGUACAAUAUAAUAUGAGAUAAAAAUAAAAUAAAAAACCUAAAUAGAAAAUUUAAUUUUCUUAAGAUAUCCUAAAUUAUUUAUAUUAAAAUAUUUAAAAAGUUGUAUUAUUUUCUUCUUAAAUUAAAGAUAAUAAAAAAAAACUCUUUGAUUGAAUUUUUUUUCUUUUUGUAGGUAGCUUGUUUUAAUGUCUUUAGCUCCAUUGAAUAUUAUUCUAAUUAAUUACCUAUAUCUAUUUACAUACAUUUUUUUAGAAUUGAGGAAAGAAAAUUUAUCUCCAUUUUUGGCUCUCUAAGUCAAUAUCAAUGCACUAUGCUUAUUUUCAAUUGUCUUUUUUGAAAGGUGAAUAUUUUGCUAAGUGGUGCAAUAUUUUGGGCUUCUAAAUUAGAACUAUUGAUAUGACUAAUGUCAUCUUUUUCACUUAUCCACAAAGCCAAAGCUUUAGUCAUGUCUUAUUGCUUACUUGUUAGCAUUGAUUAUUUUGCAUUGAAAUCCUACAGAUAGAUCUAAACUUGAUUUUUUCUACAUAUUGGCUACUUUUUCGAAUUGUCUUUUGCUUAACUUUCUAUAUGGAUUCUAUAUCAAAAUAAAGCCUUUUGUAUCUUUUUGCUCUUAGUUAAUACUUUUGUGACCUUCUUUUUAAGAGAUUGAGCAGCUUGGAUAUUUGAUUGUUACUUUUUAUUUUAUUUUAUUUUAAUUAUUUCUAUUUUAUCUAGUUUUUUGUAGGUUUUUAUUUAUCUUAUUUAAAGUUGAGAUACCUCAAAAAAAAUAUUUGGUUCCUAAGAUAAACCUACAUCUAAUAGUAAGUUGUUAUAAUCUAUAAAAAAUAAUUUUUUUCUUCUUGUAAUUGAAUUUAUCACUUAAACUUCUAACUUUCAACCUUCACUAGGUUUAAAGCUAUGCAAAACUUUGGUUUAUAGAUUUUGUAAUUAUUUGAUCUUUUACUAACAAAUUAUCUCAAAGAAAGUGCUACCUCUAAGACUACUUUCUAAAACUUAUAAAGUACAUUUGUGAGAUUUAUGUAGGAAGAAACCUUGAAGUUUUUAAAACCUUUUGGUUGGCUGGGAUUCCAAAUAGCCUUAGGAUUAAUAUUCAAAUCCUAAUCUUGAAAGGUGCACAAAUCCAUAGAUUCUUUAAAGGGGAAGAAUAAUAAGGCCUUUGUAAUAAUCAAAGAAUAAGUAUAUUGUACAUAAAAUAUUAUUUUCUUUUAUUUUUUCCUAUUUAAAAUUAUCCUUCUAAUAUUUUUUUAAUUGGUUCUUCUACUCAUCAUUAAAAUGAGAUAUAUCUCUAAUAAAGCAAGUAAUAGCAACAUAGUUGCUUAAAUAUUCAAUUUCUCUGUACAUUGUUGCUUUCUUAAUUUUAAUUAAUCUAAAAAUUGUUAUAAUAAAAAAACCUUAACUCCUCUUAAAACCAAUUAGAAGUCAUUUAUCUUUAUUAUAACAAGUAGAAUGGAGUAUAUUUGCUUGUCUAUACAUAUCUAAUACUGAAGAGAAAACUUCCUUGUCUUACAUAUGGUAUGGUAUUAUUAUUCCUUCUUUCCUAUCCAAUUCAAUAUUCUUCUUUCUAUUCCACCAUAAUCCCUCUUACACGCAAUCCACAUAGAAGCCUAUUGAAACCUUAAUCUUGACUUAAUUCUAAAACCAUAUUUUUUGCUUGUUUUAAUUAAGAAAAAGCCAUGAGCAUAUUUGAACACUUUUCUUAUAACGUGAGUUACCUACAAAAUAUUGCAAACAAAAAAAGACAUAAUUGUAUAAGAUAUUAUGUGAUGUUGCACCUACACAAGGUUCAUUGAAGAAAUCAACACAAAGUUUAGGCUUUUUAAAAGAUAGAUCCCUCAAGUCACAAUACAACAAGCAUUAAGUUGUAAAUGCAAUAGUUUACAUUUAAGUACAUAAAAAAGGCUCUAGGCUUCUUGAAACCAACUAGACAAUUUAUUCAUCUAAAAUACAAAAAAAUCAUUUAAGAAUUGAUUGAUCAAUACCAUCCUUGAGAGUUGGACAUGGUGUAGUCACAAGCAUAACAAUUGAUAUUUAGUAAAUAAAUCAAGUGUUGAUUUUUAAUAAGAAGAAAAAUGACAAUUUUGUAAAAAAUUAAAUUAAUCUAUUUUUGCCAAAUCUUGUGAUAGAUUUCAUCAUUAUUCAACAGAUGGCAUUGACAUGCAUCUUCAAGUGUAAAUAUGCAUCUUAUUGACAUAUGUAUUCAACAAGAUUAUUUCAUCAUGACUUAUUCAUCUAUUAGAAUUAGAUUUUCAGUAAUAUGCAAUUAUUCAUCAAUUAAGAUUAGCAAAGUUAAAAUUUCAUCAUUCCUUAUUGAAUGAACUAAAUUAAUUAUAUAUUCAUCUUUCAAAUAACCAUAUAUUAAGAAGCAUUGUAUACUUAUAAAAAUCAAUCAAUAUGUGUCAAAGUUAGCACUUCUACUUUAUACCAAUAUGAUAUGAAAGUAAGUUCUUAAGAACAUAUUGUAAAUUGUUUAAAUAGUCAAAGUUGUUCAAGGAGAACCAAUAAUUUCUUUUGUGUUUUCUUGCAAAGUCAUUCAAGAAUAGGAUGUUAUAUAUUCUUCUUUUUUUUUGUUUCCUCUUCACUUACUAUAGGAGAGAGUGGACUUAGUGAUAAGAGACAUCAUGAAGACAAAAGAGCAUCUAACUGUAUACUACGGAGCUAUAGAGUUCAAUUUUGAUGCAAGAAGACCUGUAUCAGAUAAUUGAGUUGUUUCUAUCAGAUAAUUGAGCUAUUUUCAUGAGCACUAUAAUGGAAUGUUUCAACUUCAUUCUUUCAAUACAUCGAAGUGUGUCUUUUGCUUCUUUGUCCCAUGCUUGAAGAUGGCAAUCAACAAUGAAGCUCUCGUCAAAAAACUGACUGUAGAGGUGACACACAUGCGAACUUCGGCACUCCUUCCUCUAUAGUGUAACAACCCUUUUUCCACUUCGUCACCGAGUAACCAACGUGUGAUGAUUCGAAGACCUGGAUCAAGCGCACUACUGAAUCACCAUGGCCACAGCAACCCCCUCACUUCAGUUACGUACAUGUGGAUGGGUUUACGAAGAAAACUUCCUGAGUCAUUUAAUCUAGUACGCAGAUCUGGGUUCUACCGCUGUUGCUGCUGCUGCAAAAGACAAGGUCCCUCUCGAACUCAGGCAUCACAUCGUCAGUAAACAAAGGACCCGUCGAGGAAACAUUCUCUUGAUUCAUGGAACUCAAUUACUGCAGUCUAGACCAUGCAACAAACUGGGUAUUCUUGUAAGAAGUUUGCAUUGUGAAUCUUCCUUCACCUGCUCUCUCUCUCUCUCUCUCUCUCGCAUGAUGAAGCUCCUGAUGCUGAUCUUUGGCACCGUGAUGUUGCUGCUGAUCUGCUAUUUCUUCUCCCAAGGACGCGACCACGCAAAUGUUUGUCACCUGGCGCAGCAAGGAGCGAGGCGAACGCGGCUGGUAGGAUUCUCGGACCCAUGGAAUCGAUGAGGGUGUCUGGCACCGCUGCAAAGUAUGAAUCGGAGAAGCUGAAGGGCGGAACCGACAGAAGGGGUGCGGUGGGAGAUUACUCCAUGUCGAAGUCGAAGGAUGGGGAGGAUGAUUAAAACUCCACUGAAUUCACGCACAGCUGAAUCUGCUCCCUCGAGUCAUCUCCGACCGGAUUGAUCUCGCAAACCCAUUCAAUCUUGCAUUGCAAUGCGCUCAUCUUCUCGCGCGCUGAUUCUGCUCGCGAUGCCUCGACUUCCGUCGGCGGACGUUUCGGCGUCGUCCAUGACAUUGCGUCCAUCUGCGUAGCAAACUUUUCGGUGGUCUUGAAAGCCUUAAUUGACUGUACUGUUUUCUUUUAUUUUUUUUGUUCAUUGUAAGUUACAGUUUUGGCAUGUUUAAUGAUUCUAAUGCUAAAUUUUUAUGAUUUCAGAAAGGAGUUUGAAAGUAGAACUCUCUGUUUUUUGCAUGCAAAUCUGUAAGAGCAUUUCUAUAAGAAUAAUGUGAAGGCUAAUUCGGAUUUGUAUGGCAAAUGAUAGCAAUUGACGUGAUGUUUUGCCUGACACAUGCUAAAAAAUACACAUUUUAGUUUAAAACAUAUGAUAAAUCAUCAUGUACAAUUCAAUUAAAUUAAUUAAAAAGUCAAACAAAACACAACAACUUAAUAUGCCAGACAUAUCAAUGCACAAUAGGUAACAUAAAUCUAUCUAAUGUUAACAAUAUUUAUAUAUAUACAUACACAACACUAAAUGAAUAAUGACAGGAAUGUUAUAAAAAUAAAUAUCAUUUAUAGCAUCACUUGAAAAAAACUCAUUCAUUCUCUGAAAUUAUGCCCUACUUUUACUUGAUUGAUUAAAAACAUAAAAAUAAGUAAAUUAAAAUUAACCUUUCAUACACUCUUUUUCCAUUAUUUUAUUUCAAAUAAAUAAAAAUUUUCAUUUUAUUACAUUCAAGAGACCUAUGAUAAUUGAAAACAUUUGCAAACACUCCCACACACAAGUGUAUAUUAUCACAGUGCAAUAAAAAAAAAUGUAUUCUAAAUUAUUCUGAUGUAAAUGAAUUUGUGUCUUUCAGCAGUGCUCAAUUAUUCUAGUAUCAACUUCUCAAACUAAAUUUCAAUCCAAUAUUAUGUAUUAUACGUUUUUAAUUAUAGGUAUUUAUAGUAAUAUAUUUUUCAUUGGAUUUAACUUGAAUUGUAUGAAUUCUAAUGUUAAAACAUACAAAUUAAACCAAUUUUUUUUCAUUAAAUAUGACUUGUAAGAAAAAAUUAUAUACUUCCAAUUUCAUCAUAAGAAUAUUCUCAUUUGAAUUCUCAUUUGAAUUUUUUGAUAUCCAAAAACAUUUCAUACCACUUCAAGUUUGAUAAUAAAUAAUAAUAAUAAUAAUAAUAAAAUCAACUGAGAUAAAUAAAAGUGGGCUCUUACUAUAAAAAAACAAGAAGAUGAAGAAUCCACAAGGUGGAUGAAUGUUGGAUGAAUUAGGCUGGCAAGGGGUGACCAUGAGCAUGAACCCCCACGGUAAUAGAACCCCAAUGAAAACUUCCAAUAAAGACUUUCACACAAGAAGGAUGGUGUUGCCCUACGACCGUGCUAAAAAGCCAGAAAAAAAGAUUCAGUAUGGAUAAUUACUUUACUCCAAAAAGUAAAGUAAUUAAAUGGAUCAGCCUGGACCAAAGAAUAGGAACCAAUUGCAAACCUCGCCCUGUGCGUGCCACAACUUUGCUCACACAUGUGAGCUUGCCUUCUGAUUUGGUCCUAUUCCCACUCACUUUUACCUUUUUCGCUGCUCCGACUUUCAUCCAUCCAUUGAAAUUGAUACUUAUUAUUAUGUGUUAAAAUUUUACUUUUGUAAUCUUUUUAAUUAUUUUUCCUUUUUUCAAUAUGGUACACUUUAAUGUAGAGUGCACCCUCAUGCACUACCACGGAUGAAAAGUAGUGGAUAGUUAUUGGUUGCACGGUGCCCAUCCUUUAAAAACCCCUUUGAACGAUGGAUGGAAACUUUCCACACUUCGGUAGCCAGUUUUUCAUCCUUCAAGAUCAAUAAAUAAAUUUAAAUCCUACUUUUUUACUCAAGCAUUGCAUUGGACUUGCUUGAUGAGAAAUAAUAACUUGGUAAAUAUAGAAUGUGUUCUUCAUUCCACCAAUUGGGAACAACUUGGGAACACGAUUAGGGUUCCUUGUUCACUAUCAGUAAACACAAAAAGAGAGUAGUAAACUAAUUGUGCUUAUUCUCAUUAAUUAACAUUCUUGAUCCCCCUCCCUUUAAGCAACAAACUUUCAUGUCAACCCUCAUACAGUAGAAUGUUUCUGGCUCUAUGUUGUUUGAAAAUCUGGAAAUAAUUGGGGGCCCAUUUAGGGGAAGAAAGUAAGCCCUAGUUCAGUUUUGAAUGUUCGUCCCCCGAACUUUUUCCACUGCGAUUGAAUUGAUUGAGCUUAGCAAAGUAGGAAAAAGUACUUUAAAAACCUAGCCAGUCAAUGGAUAUCGCGUGGCAGGGGCAGCUUGUGGACGGGCCGCCAUUAAAUGCCCGCUCCAUGGUGGACCAAUCGGGGGCAGCCUGCCCGAAGGCGAGGUCCGCUAGUUAAUGAAGGACUUGGUACACUUUUGGGGACUCCGUACACACCUGAAUCGGGACUUGGAAUAAUGAGUAAAUGUGAACCCGUCCCGGUUCGCGGGGUUUCCGUUGCGGGUGUUCCGGCCCGUGGACCCUCUUCGGGGCGCCUCCAACUGUGUGGGACCUUGGCUGUCCUAUAGGACUGUGCCUAGAACUGCGCGUGAAACCGUGCUGAUUUGCUUUUGCUGCCUUAAUGAGAGGCUUUGUUAAAGCCAGAAUUCAUUCUGAAGCUCGUGGGAAGGAUGACCAUGGAGGUCAAAGGACUAGAAUGCUAUUUUGUUUGUUAGGGUUUGAUUUUUCAAACAAAUAAGAACAAGGUGACAAAGGCUACAUACUAGUUUUGGGGUUUGAGCAGGAUGCACUUCAAGCUAAACAAGGAAAAGAAAGGAAGUGGCAUCUGCACAUGUCAAAAGAAUAACAUGUAUACUUUAAAAUGAAACAGUUAAUUGCACCAAAGCUGUUGAUGACCAAUCAAACCUUAAUUGGUUGUGAGUUCAUUUAUUGAGCCUUCUUGCUCUAAAACCUCUUCCACAUGUUGUGCUUUCUGCUACAGAAUCUUGGAAUCUGAGAAUAAAAUAUUUCAUUAAUGCAUAUUUAAAAGGAAAAGUUUUUAGUUUUUAGUUUUUAUUUUUUCCUACACUUUUGAUGUGGUCUUUGUAGUUUGACAUGGGCCUAAAGCUUGUGAGUGUUGUACUACUUGCUGUGGGAAUUCAAGGUCAAGAGGCCUAGCAAGGUGACAAAUAUUCACUAUUGAAAAGCAGUCUGGAAAAGGUCUUCCACAUUAGAGCCCACUUAAAGUAGCAAAAUGGGUUACAAAUAAUAAUAAAAAAAAAGUGGGCAAAUCCCAAACAGGCAUUACACAUUAUAUUGUCUGUAAUCUCUUAGCAAGAUUUCCACAAGCAUCUUGUUUGUGGGAUUGAAGCAAAUAAAUGUCCUCGUAUGGGUUGUGUCUUCAAACAUGAUAAAUGUGAAGUUUGCCUCCUCAGGGUUUAAAUGAACGAGAGGAGAGGGUUGUAUAUUAAACCAAUUUACUUGGAUUCUUCUUUGCAAAUGGCUAUAUACAUUCAAACAAAUGAACAAAAAAAAGAAUGGUUUGAUAUUUUGUCCAUGGUCAUUUCUUUCUUCUUUCACUAACUUGUGUCCUAGUGAACCUUAAGUUCCCCUUAACAUAACAAAUAAUUGAAUCUAUAGGUGUGAAAGUAGGCAUUGUUAUAAAAGCAGAAGGGUGCCACUCUUACGGCUACACUGCAUCCAAUUCUGCUUGGAUAAACAUCUGGGGCUAUGGCUUCACACCAAUUCAAAGAAUAAACAUACUGUGACCUAAUGAAUGAAUAUAUGCAUACAUACAUAUAUGUGCAUAAACGAUUUCCAAAUAAUAUCAACCAAUGUCUUAUUAUUAUUCUCUGAAAAUAUCUCAUACUUUCUUACAAUGGAACCGUGUCAUUGUUAAUGAAGACAAGUUGUAAGUUUGACAAACACCUCUCUUAUGCACUGCUUAUCCACCUCAAACUAAGCAUUCAUUAAUACGUGUGUGUGUGUGUGUAUAUAUGUAUCUGUACGCAGAGUUUUUGGAGGCAGGUGCGGGGUCAGAGAGACAGCAGCAGUCUAUGUUUGGAAGUGCAAAGCUCUGAUUGUGUAGACACAAGAAGGGGACCAAGCGGGAUGGAGAUGAAUCCCUGAAGGCCCACAGCAUCUUCGAGGCGACCAGUCCCGCGCAGUUUGCAUUGCUUCAUGUCGUUCAUGACCCACACCAAUCGUUCACGACGCUGCUUCAGGCAUGCAGCCACUGCGUUUGAACCCACCUCCCAACCUUCCUUCUUUAGACGCAACCUUGAAUCACUGAAAUCCAGCAACCAAUCAUGCUUGAACCCUAUUCUCCACACAUUCUCACACAGUCUACGGCUCGGGGUAACCACCAGUGCUGUUAAACAAACAGCCAGGGGGAGAAGCUCGUUGUGGUGACAAUCAAUCUGUGUAUGACAAGCAACUUUCAAUAGCAAUUUGCGUAGCAGGUUCUUCGCACAUUCCGAUGUGAAGGUUUGGAACUGGGUCUUGGUCUUCAGCUCAGUUUUAGUUCAAUGCAGGUGACGAAUCUGGCGUUGCUGGUGGAGGGGUGCGCGAUGCUCUAGGCUGGUACCUGACAGCGUCCUAGAAUCCGGUCCAGAGUAGGGGAGUCAGCUAUACAUAGCCUCGGUUGAGUUAUGAGUGACUGAUAUUCUAGUUGAAGCGGAUGACGAUCCAGUGGCUGCACUCCGCGUAAUUAGGGCUCGCUGAUCAAUGCUCUCCACUAAACGUUCAAACAUAGCUUGCUACUCUGGCAUUCUUCCUACCACUGUCCCUAGCACAUUCAUGCUCCCGGUGCUCAGUGCCUCAGUGCCAAUCCUUAAGCGAUAUCGCUCACUGGCGAACUAGUUUCAUGCUGCGCUAAUAACCAUUAAGCUAAUAUUCUAACAUUUCUUUAGCUCCAUCGACACGUUAGAUAAUCAGAUGUUAUUCUCCGACCUAGCAGUUUUCGAUACCCUUCUUAGUUACAUCUCAGGUGCGCUUGAUAAUUGGGACACAUAAUUUUUUAAUGAUAUUUUGCUUAGGUUUACAGUUUUCCUUCCCAUAUCCAAUGUGUCGCUGUCAUUGGUAGCAGAAAUCCUAAUACUUUAUAAUAACUUAGACGGAAUUUGUUCAACUGCCAAGCUUGAAACGAAUACAUGGAACAUGUCACGCACCACUUGGUUGUAUUAACCUUGCAACGACUCUAAAGAGAUCAUAAGUGUAGGUUACUGUUUAGGAGUGAUAACCACGUCUGCAACGCAUUCACGACAACAACCUUAAGCCAUAAUAGCCACUAAAAAAUUGAUUGAGCACCUCUUGUAGCAGUUUCCGGGUGCAUGAUAUAUUGAAUGAAACCGCCAAUGAAACAGUAACCAAAUAAAAGCACAUCAUGUGCCUCGUGGAGACAACAUUAAUCAGGGAUGAAUGGAUGUCCAAGGCCUGAAUUUCGACUACGCAAUUAAUCAUGUCGCUGAGGAGACGCCAACAGAGGGUGAGAAACAGGGACAUUCGGAAUCCAUCUACAAAUGAGACCCCCGCGAGUGCUGAUUAGGCUCUGCCUAGGCACAUGACCUGAGCCUAGAUCAUCAAAUUUCGGCUCUCAUGGUGGCAUUUUUAGAGAGGGAUUCGUGCUGGUUUCUCAUUCAGGCAUUCCAUUUCCCGCACUCAUCCCUUCUGCUUCAAGGGCGCCCCUGGUUGGCAAGAGCGAGGGAGAGAGUGAGACAGAGCUCAGCAGUGAGAUCUGAGAGCUCAGAGCCGUCGUAAGGAUUUAUCACUGUCUAGAGUUGUCUGCUGAGUUUAACGAGCUCAGACAUUUCUGUGCUCUCAGUUUUUGAGAGCUGAUAACUAAGGAGCGUCAAGCGCCACUGCAUUAACUUCCUCAUCGAGAUUAACAGCUCGCUGUCUUCCCUCCACCCCAGCACUCGUUGGAGUGAAGCUUUCAGAGGGGCGAAGUGGAGCAUGCGCAUCCAUUUAAAGGACUUUUGCAAUUGAAGGGGCCUGAUGUCUGGGUUAAUCUCGGGCAAUUAAGGUUUCGAGGAUCAGUUACCGUUAGCGAGGUUUGAAUCGAGGACAGAAAGAGUUACGCGAGCACAUUGUCGUCGUGGGUUCAAGGAAGACCGAGAAUUAGUAUGGGUGAAAACAGCCGGUAGCGCAAUUGAUUUGCGUUGCGUCGCGCUACUGGCACAUAGCGUUCAUGUCAGGGUGAUUUCGUGUAAUUCGCAAAGUGGGGAGUACGUUCGGGUCCUCUGGUGGAGGAGAUUUGUAACAGUCCAGCAUUCGAAACAUGACCGAGCGUGUGAUGAUACCGCAAACAGCUUAUCGUGACUCUGGAACCAUAGAGCCUCACAAAUGGGCCAUUCCUGGUAUGCCGAAGAAACCAGCCCCCAAGUCGGGGCGUCGAGGUUCCUUCAUUGGGCGGCGAUUCAAUAACGAUUACAACAAAGUGCAGCCGUCGAAAUCAUUGCUAGAGUCGCCGGAGCUGGAGACUUUCAACACAGACGCCAUCUCGGAAGAUGAUAGCUCUGUGUUCACCGCAAGUACCCGCACCAGUAAUACGAUCUCGGACGACGACAGUCUUGUACUGGAUUUCGGUCGGGCAAGUGCUGAUUUAGGUCGGGCCAGUAUCGAUUUCGCCCCUGCUAGACACAGCACCGCGUGCUGCACCGAUCUCGCAUUCCGUCGGGAGCUGAGGAGGAGAUUUCAAUUCGAGCCGCCCCUUGAUGAGUCCACCGGAUUGAGAAACAGUUUUGCAAUGGGACACAGUUUCCGCCGGGAGCUGGAGAAAGAAGAUUGCGUGGAGAGCUUGGCGCUCUGGGAGGAGACCGAAGCGCCAGCUUCCCGAGACCGAGUAGUGCAGAAGGGUACAUUUCCGCAUCCGUGGCACGGCGACACUGCUUCCACUGGGUCGAGUCGGAAUGGGACACUGGAAAGCCUUUUCCGCAAGCCGAAGAAGUCUUUCCUUAAUGGCUUAUUCUCGGGGCUAAAUUUCACAUCAACUCGAAGAUCUCGAAAGUCAUAAAGGAAGCAUAGGAAGCCUUGUUGAAGUAUGUAGAGAUUAGGGUAGAGGUUAGUGUAGGCUUAGGCGAAUGCGUACAAGCUUGCUCAUUUUGUUGCGAGUUGCGGACAGCCACGAUGGUGCUCAGGCAUAUGGCGGUCCACCAUUACAUCCACACUAUUAGUCACUCUCGCCUGUAUCCCGCUGCAGAGAUAUCGGCCUUGUACAUUUGUCAUUUGAUUGAAUUUUCGGAAAGAGAAAACGUUUGCGUUUAGCAACAUAGUUACCCUGUACUGAUUCGUGUCGGCGAGCUGUGCUAAGGUUUCACAAUUUAAGUUUGGGUGGGACAAAUUGUGGACCAAGUGUGCUAUGUUGAGACGCGAUGGGUGGUCGGCACACUCAACCCGUAAUUCAUCUGAUUUUAGCGUUAUGGGUGCCAUCGACACAGUUGUACACUGCGCGCUGUGUCUCUUCAGACUCGACCAUGUAAGACUUUGUUUCUGUCUGAGCCACUUACGCAUGUGAGCUUCAUUUGCGUCAUCCUUUCCGACAUCUAGAAACACGAACCGACUGUAACGUGUUCUCUUGCGCAGAGUGAUUCUGGUCGGCAAUACUUCCAUAGAUUUAGUACAUUUCAGUUACGCUCUGCGAAACUGCUUCCCAGACAACGUCUUUCCGAUUCCCCGUACGCCAUCAGGGCGUCGGUCGCAUCAUACAGAAAAAGACUGAAGGUAGCAUCAAAACCCAGCUGAUUCGGCCGAGUCCAGCCAUUUCGACUGACCAGAUAUCAUUGAAUUCGUGCAUUUUCCACUCUGACUUCCAUGCAAAGGUGCUCAUCUCGCGAAGAUUGGAACAUGGGCUUAUAUUUUGUGAUGCGGAAUCAAUUGCCACCACGCUUUCGUGUGGCACAUUAAACCGAGGCAAUGAGUUCACUUGACUUGAAAAGACAGACUGGGGUACAGUCCCGUCAUCACUGGUGGUACGGGGAUUUGGGCGAGAUCAUUGCAACAGCUAGAAGUUGUAUGCAAAAGCAGCAACCCCAUUGUCAAUGAAGUGCACAGAAUCGUCGCUGGAAGUGUGCACAUGGGGGAGACGAAAGCACAAUGACAAGAAGAGCAGCCUGAUCGAAGAGCAGCAGCCUCAUGCACGCUAUUGCUGCUGCUGGUGUUGCGUUGCCUCAUCAAUACGCUCACCGUGUGCUCCUCUGAACUAAAGCAAUGCCAAGCUCCUCUUAUCUUCAUUGCCUCCAGGGAAGUACAAUCUCAUUGUCAGAUGUUGCAUGGGCAGAUGAACAGAAGAAAGCAAAUUAAAAAGAAAGACAAGCAUGAAAGCAAGCAAGGCAUAAAUACAGGCAUGCACGAAGAAAGAAAGAGAGAUGAAGAAAAUGAUGAGAGACAGAAAGAUAUAUAUAUAUAUAUAUAUAGGGGGUUGUUAAUGUCAUCCCAUUUUUCCUAUUGUCAUCACAGUUUUUGUUACUAGUACCAGAAUUUAUUUUUAAUAAAAUUUUAGUUAGCAGUUUUUUAUUAAAACUGAAUCUAUAUUUUAUAUAAUUUGAAAACUAAAAAACAUGUUAAAAAUAUUAACAAUUUUUUAUUAGAAUAAUAAAUAAAACUAAAACAUGUCCAAUGGGUGGCAAAUUGUGGUGACAUUAGCAAAAAAUAUAGUAGCAUUAGCAUCACCUUAUAUAUGUAUGUAUGUAUAUACAUAUAUAUAUAUAUAUAUAUAGUUGUAUACUUAGGUGCAAUUUAGAAUCCUACUUUAAAAGGCCCACUUUGAGAGGUCAUGGUUUAAAAGCUUCACCAAGGUCCCUUACUUGGUGAAGAAAAUCUCUCUUUUAGAAAUCUAAAUUUUUUUGAUACAGUAUACAACAAGAAAAAGCCAUAAAAUAGACCAAAUCAUCUAUGUAUUGCAAUUGAAAAUUUGUUAGUUUAUAUCUAUAUUCAAUAAAUUAUGAGAAGUAUAAAAAAAAAUGAUUUAAAAAUAGCUAUUUAAAGUAUUUUUAGACAUGGUUUCUUAAUUAUUUUUUAAAAACCAAUUUCUUUGAUAAAGACUUAAUAGAAAAUUUAAAAGACACCACUAUCCAUGCAAUGCAAUGCAAAAAAAUUCAUUCCACCUCAUCUUUUUCUUAUAGAGUCUUCGGAUUUACUUUUCUAAGUACAAAGCCAAUUUAAAAAGGCUUCUUGAUUUCAACCAAUCUAAAUAUUCAAAAGUUAAGGCCUCUCACCUUGUCUCCUAAGUACAAAGUGUUUCUUAUAUAAAGAAGAGUCUUAGAAGAAAGGAAAAUGGUAGAAGAACUCCAACAUUAGUAAAAUAUCCAUUUAAUAAGUAGAUUUUUUUUUUUUUUUUUUUUUUUGAUACAAAUAUAUAUAAUUUUUUUUAACUAGUAAUUAUAUUAAAUGUAUCAAAUAAGAUAAUUUUAGGAUAGAAAUGUUUUUAUUUUUCUAAAAUUUUAAUUUCAAAGGAACAUAGAUUAUAAUCCUACUAAAUAUAAUUUAUUGCUUUAUCUAAAUACAUUAUUAUUUCCAAAAUCAAGCAUAUUCUUUACAACCAGAUUUUAUCAAAAAACAGCAUUAAUAUUUUAUUUUAAUAUAAUAUAAUUUUUUAUUAUCAAUAUAGAUUAAAGUUGGAUUUAGGAUUUAAAAUUUCUAUUAAAAAAUAAUAUCAUAAGAUAUAUUUUUUGAUUUUUCUAAUAUAAUAUAAUAUCAUCUUAAGAUAAGAUAAUAAAAAAAAUGAAUAUGAAACAAACUAAGAAAUUGGAAUCUAAUAAUAUAGACAUGUACAAUAGUUUGCAUAAAAACUCUACAAUCUAUCUAAAAAGGUUUUUAGAAUUAGUAAUUAUUAUUUAAAGUCUUAGAUAAUUAAUUUAGAAUAGUUUGGAGGUGCUUAUAAUUUAAAUAACUUUGUCAAAAAAUUGGGUAAUUUUAGAAAAAUAAUAUUAUAUUAUGUGAAUCCUUGCUUAGAAAUGCAUUGGGCAUUUAGUUAUAAAAGAUGUUUAUCUAAACCCUAUAGUUCUUCUCAUAAAUCAAAAAAUAAAUAAAGAAUCUUAAAAAAACUACCUUAAUAAGUUUAAUUCUCUUUGAAAUACUAAACUCAAUCAAUUCUAAAUCGUAUCAAUUCUAAACCACAAAACAAAAUCAAUCAAAUAACCUAAACAAAAUCUUAAGAAAGUCCUAAUAAAAUUUUAAACCAAUUUUAAUAAAAUAUCAAGAAAAAAGAAGCAUACCAUAAUAAAUUAUAAAAUAUUGAAGUAUAUUCUAUUAAAUCCUAAACAUAUUUCAAAACAUCUUAUCAAAUAUUUUUAUAAAUUGUAAAUAAAAUUUAAUUAAACCUUGAGUAAAUCUUAAAAAAUUCUAAAUAACUUCUUAAGUAAUUUUAAUUAAAUCUUAUAUAAGCUCUAUUAAAAUUCUAAUAAAAUCCUAUUAAAUCUUUAAAAAAUUCUUAACUAUCAAAUAACAACUUUAAAAGCUAAUAAUUAUUUUUUGAUUAUUGUUUUGCUUAUAACUUUGUAUACCUUUAAAAUUUCUAGUUGUCAAUAACUUCAUGAAAUUUAAAAAGACUAAAGUUAUGAAUUGAGAAUUUUUUCUUAAAGUUUAUUCUCUAAACCACUUUCCAAUUAAUAAAAAUAACUCCAUAUUUGUAGUGGGUGCUAAUGUCUGUGCCUCAAGGUCUAAUUUUAACCACGUUUUAGAAAUAUCCAUUUCUAAAUAUCAAUCUAUAAAUUUUUUAGUUACUUUUUAUUAAAAUAAUAUCUUUUAAUUUUACAUAAAGGACUUUGCAAAGUUUUUAUAUUUAUUCUACUAUAACUUAUUUUAUUUAUGGCCGUACAAAGUUUGUAGAAGCUCUUUUAAUAAAAAUAAAUGCAGCAUUAGUAUUAAAAUUUUCUCUUUUUCCUAUCUAUUACCUAUGAUCUCUAAAAAAUAAUUCCUACUAAUCUUUCAACUAAGUCAUAUAUAUCUAUAAAAAUAUAUAUAUAUAUAUAUAUAUAUAUAUAUAUUAUGGUCUUUAUUUACUUUUUUACCUAAAAGUUGUAUUACAAUAGAAUACUAGCUUGCCAUAUACUUGAUUUAUAUUCAUAACAACUUGGUAGUGCUAGUGCAUAUAUCUACCACUUUUUAUGAAAGAAAAAAAAAAGAAAAAUCAUAUGUUUCUAUAUUAGGUAAAUUUCUAUUAUUUUGCAAGUACUCAACAAGUUCUUAAUAUAAAUUAGUACAAAUAGUAAGUUGGUUUGAUUGGAGCUAAUAGAGAUGCAUUUUUACCAAUUUUAUAAUAUUGUAUAACAACACAUUGUUGAAAAAUUCUCUCAUACUAAUAAAUAUAACCAUCCCUAAGAUCACAAGAUAUAAGUAAUAUGAUAUAUAAUCCAUUGUGCUUUAUUAAUUGAUUGAUUUAUUUAUUAUCAGAAUUAGUACUUCAAAUUAAAUUCUUGUUAUAAGCCAACAAUUAUCAGUAGAAUAAACCUUGGUAAUUUUUAGUAAUUAUGAUUUUUUUUUUUUUUUGGAAUUAUCCAAUAAGAGAAUUGGAAUUUUAGGAGUUAAUUGGUGUUCAUUUCUAAUUUUAAUAAAUUAGUAGAGAUGAAUAUAUAAUACUUGGAAUUUAUGGUAAAUUUGGAAUUAUUAGAUAAUUAGAAUAAAAAUUAUGUCAUGACUAAAUCUAUGCUUUAGAAAGGACCGUGAGUGAAAAAUCAAUUACCCUUCUUACAUCAACCCAAUAUUUUUUUUGAGAAGAAGGGUGUAUUUUCAAAUAGUAAUUCUCUAAUUUUUGGUACAAAUAUCAUACAAAAGAUCUCCUCUAAAACACUAUAUUUUGAAGCAUGUAGAUAGCAAUAAGCAACAUAUUGUUUCUCAAAUGCUUCAUGCCUUUUGAAGGACAAAUAAAUACCAAAACAAAGCAAUAAAAUCAAACACAAAAUAAUACCAAUGACAUCAAAGUGCGAGACCUGAAGCCUUAAUCCUUAAGUCCCCAAAGACAUGAACAAACAUCCGACACAACAAUGAUGUAUUCCAUACCAACAAGUCACAUAUCACAGUCACGUACAAUACUAGUCCAGUCAUAGCCCAAGAGCCACAUUUUAUACUCCCCAAUUGAAAGCUCCUACUUCAUAAACAAACUACAAAAGUUCAGGAAGUGAAAAGAAAAGCCUACGAAUCGGCGAAGCUGAAGAGUGAUACUGACACCGACCUCAGCAAAAACAGUACAAACAACUCCCACCAGCAAACCAUCAUCGAAAAAGAAAAAGAAAAAGAAACGGAAUGCAUCACUAGCUCCUGCAAAAAAGCACCGCAAAUCUGGAUGAUGACAAUGAAGGAACAUCACCUCGGCAUUGAUAAACAACAACACUGUCCAGUCACAUGCACAACAUGGUGUCGGUACACGAAUGCUAACACUUGCUGAGUCCAUGUGGCAUCAUUGUGUGUGUGCAAAACACAGGGAUCGAUGUGUAGAUGAAGCUAACAGUUUUUUGCAAGGGUGAAGAAGCAGAAGAAGCUUGAGAUGGAGGGGGUGGGUUCAUUGGAUACGGUGUGGGUCUCUCACAUGGGGUGCCGAGGUCUGACACGCCCAGGUACACUUCUACGUGACGGUUGUGUACGCUGAGGGGAAUUCAAUAUGACAGAAGAGAAAGGGGGGGGGGGCUACGGUAAUCCUAACCACUGGCGGUCUUCGCGACGUCACACCAGAUGGAGGACGUCGCACUCAGCCAUGCAGGGAUGAUCACAGCGUGUGUGUGUGUGUGUGCAGAUUCCCUCUAUGCUCACAAUUUGGAUAGGAUUUUACUGCACAGCGUGGUGUCUGCAGUGCCAUCAGGAGCGGGCUUGACUUGGAGACGCUGCAGUGAGCUGCAGAGCAGAACAGUGCAGUGCAACCUCUGGGUUCAGUUGGGGGGGAUCUGACGAUGCAAAUUCACGGUUAGCUGGGGCGUCGUCGUUGGAUUGGACAUGGUGGUUGGCGUCACGGAGAUGAUAGGGGCGGUUCGGAAUAGACUGGUGUAUUUUACUCAUCUGUGAGUGUGUCGUGCUCAAGCUCUUCAUAAACAUGGCAACACAUGACGCAGUUUCGUGUCUCUGGUCCCAUGUAGCUGGCAAUCAGUGGAUCAUGGUUGGAGUGAAUUCUUCAUUUCUUCGGCAUUCAUGGUGCUGGCGGCUUUUUGCUCUGUUUCUUACGACUUGACGUGAGAAUUGAUAUGUCCACAGAUGCAGGUUUUCAACAGCCGGCGUUUCGUUUCCUCAUCCUUGGAUUUUCCCCUGGGAAAGGAUGAAGACUCUUCGGAGUGUAGUGAGCAGUGAACUUAAGCAUUUCGUGAUUCGGAUUUGAAACUGCGUGGGAAUCGACCUCGAGUAGGAGAGAUCAGCUCGUGAGCAGCUACGACAUUAUUUGUUAGAUCAGACUCUACCCUACCUUUUGCCUUCUGAAAAAUUCCCACUUUGAUGAAAUGGGCGCGAGCAGGAAUGUCGUGUCGCUUUCAUCCUUCAUUUUCGGUGCAUACAUUCUAUUGUCUGCGUCGACAGUGAAUUGCAACAAGGACCAUUUGCGCGGCCUCCAAUCAAUCAAGUGGGCGCCGGCUUCUACCCCGACAAUGAAGCAAGCCGUUGCCGAAUAUGAAGACUGGAUCGAGAACGUUCGGAUGAAACACGAGCUCAAACAGAAGCUUGCGGAUAAGCCAGGGAUGAUCCAGCCCGACCUGACGCUGGAUUUUCCGGGAAUGAAGCAGUACACCGACUGGGAGAGCGUGGUGACGCCCUCUACAUACAUUGUGGUGGACCAGAACGGUAUAGGAGAUUUCAUCUCAUUGAGCGACGCCAUCAAUUCCAUCCCGAAGAACCGAUACCGACAAUAUCGCAUCACCAUCCAACUCAAUGCCGGAGUUUACAGGUUUGAGUACUUGCGAAUCCCUUGGAACACACAUAAAACCCCCUAUAUACGUUUGUCUACGGCGCCGUCAUUCUUGAUCGAUGCACUCAUUGCUGGUCAAUAUUGUUUUGUUCUCAAUUUUGUCAGUGCCAUUGGUGCCACGAACCCCCUUUGUAUUUUGCAGAGAAAAAGUGACUAUUGAGAGGACAAGACCUUUCAUCACCUUGCAAGGACUCGGUCAGCCCACAAUCGUCUGGAACGACACCAACUUCCAUUCAGGCAACCAUACCUUCGAUAGUGCCACGUUUGGAGUCGCUGGAAACUUCUUUCUAGCUCGCUACAUUACUUUCCAGGUUCGAUCACAAGCUAAAUUUGCCAGAAGUCGGGUCUAAUGAUCACUCAAAACAAAAGCACAUGGCCAUCGUAGCAUCACAGGAGCAGGAAACUACAGAAAAAAGGUUUUCCAAAGUAUUUGUUCUCGUAAAUUUGACCCCAUUUGUAAUGGUUAUCUUUUUGUCAGAAUACUGCACCUCCACCUCCACCAGGAGCUAUAGGCAUGCAAGCCGUGGCGCUUCGAGUAACGUCUGACUACGCCGCCUUCCAUGACUGCACCAUCAUCGGCAACCAAGACUCAUUAUACGACCACAAUGGUCGCCACUUCUACAAGGACACCUUCAUUCAAGGCAGCAUCGACUUCAUCUUCGGAAACGGUCUUUCCAUGUUCUACGUGAGAGCCUCAACAAGCCCCAAUUCACCGUACACAUGAUUAUUCUCAUAAAUCACAAUCCGUGCGAAAGGAUGAUAUAAAAUUGUGUUUUUUUUAGGAGAAAAUGGGUUGUGCCAUUUGCAGAAUUGUGAGCUGAACGUGAUGCCGACACAAUGGGGUGCGGUAACAGCACAAAAGAGGCAAAAUGCAACCGACAACACGGGCUUCUCCUUCCUGAACUGCAGAAUCACUGGAGCUGGGCGAGUCUACUUGGGCCGAGCUUGGGGACCCUUUUCAAGGGUUGUGUAUUCUUUUACGUGGAUGUCCGACGUCGUUUAUGCGCCUGGGUGGUUCGACUGGGGCCUUCCUGACAGGCAGCUGUGAGUCUCCUCCAGAAACAAGGAACUCUUUUCAUAAUGUGUGAUCAACGUGUCACAAGUUUAUUACACAUCUACUCGACUGACUAACACAUCCUACACAGAUCAAUCCACUCGAUGUUUCAGUCUUUACAUAACUUGACUUCUCGAAGCACAGAUGCGUUUCUAGUCCCUCUUCGGACUGUGUUUUAUAUUUGUUUGUUUUGUUUGUUUUGUUUGUUUGCAGGUCUGUGUAUUAUGGCCAAUACAGAUGCUCAGGGCCUGGUGCAAACGAGACAGGGAGAGUGAUGUGGUCGAGAGAACUCACAAACUGGGAGGCAGCGCCCUUCUUGUCCCUCAACUUCGUCGGUGGAGAGGAUUGGAUUCCUCAAUAUCUCAAGCCUCUAGUGUAGUUUUGUGCAGGCUCUGAAGAGGUUUGAGGUUUCGUUGAGAUCAUUGACGGGUGUGGGUUGGAGCCAGUCGAUGGUGCUUCCCAAUAGAGAAUUUUAAUUAACCGCAGUACCUUGUAAUUAGUCUCAACGAGAAGUGCAAAUGCCGUGGUUCCUACAAUUAAUCAGCUUGUCAUAUGUAUUUUUUUACCUGAAAUCGAUAAGUAGCAGCAUGAAAUACAUACAUACAUACAUACAUACAUACAUACAUACAAAGAAAAGCAAAGACAAUUCUGCAAAUCAUCACAUCGACUUUCUUUUGCACAAUAUGGGAGGCUUGAAGAGAUUGAAUAUAUCACCUGGGAAUAUCUCUUGUGCCUCAGUUACUGUUUCUCACACCGUAACACAAAGGAGGCUCAAAAUGGAUGUCUCAUCCAUAUGUUGCAGACUUGAGCUGUUUCCAAAUGGGAGAUGUAGUCAAGUUGCAGGCUAUACAUUGUUACAAGUACAUGGAUGUCCCACUUUGGUAAACAAUAUGAGGAGGUGUCAAAAAACAAAAACAGAAACAAAAAAAAACAGACAAUAGAAAAGAUGGACAGAUGAGAGCUUGUUGUAAGAACAACUAACUAGAAUGUCAUGUACUUUAAAAAAGGUAAGUACUAAGAUUGAACUUUUGUAAAGAAAAGAAGACUGGAGGAGGUGUGUUUGAUCCAAGCUUCAUAGGCUCUACACAAAGGUAUCUUUUUCCAUGUUAUUUAACAGUUCACAGUGGAUGAAUUGUAUACACUAUUGUUUAUUGGAUUAAGAACAAAGCAAUUUUGAAAGAGAGUUUAAAUUUUCUUUUUGCUAUGUCGCAUUCUUUGUUGCAAGUUAUGAUUAAGCAGAAUGUUACUUUUUGUAUGUAGUUUUUGGAUGUAAAGAUCAUACUUUUUAUCAUUAACUAAUUUUGAUUGAAAUCAUCAAACAUUAUUAUUGUUUCCUUUUUCGACUUUAAGUUCUACCAUAUAAAAAUCACCAAAAAUGCUUUUUUUAUUAAUAGAAUGGAGACUUAAUAAGUUGUCUAAAUAGUAUGUAUGUAUGUAUACAUACACAUAUACAUAUAUACAUAUAUGAAUAAAGGUGCAAGAUAAAUCACAAUAUAUAUGAAGAUACAUUACAUUAAGAUAAAAUAAUUUAUAACAUGUAAAUAUAUAUAUAUAUAUAUAUAUAUAUAUAUAUCAGCAAGAAGAUCAAAAUAAUACACAAACAUAUUCAAUUAAUUAAAAAUAGGAAUAUAUAUAUAUAUAUAUAUAUAUAUAAAUCAAGUAGCCUUUAUAAAAUUAUGUCAAAGAGUUCGUAAAUAAGUAAUUUACUGAUUAUAGAUAACUUCAACUACAGUACCUAUAAAUGAAUUAUAUGUCCAAUUACGUUAUUACAAAGGAUAAAAAAAAAUUCAAAGAUUCAAUGCAAAUUAUAAAUUAUAAUAACCACAUGCCACCAAAUCUAUUUUAACUAAGUAUUUCUUUGAAUAGCUAUCUGGUGGUUAUAUAAAAAAAUAAAAAUAAAAUUAUAUAAAAUAAAAAUCCAAUCCUUAAAAUUAAUAGUAGAUAAUAAUAUGGUUAUAGUAGAAUUAAAAUUCUUAAAAACCAGUGUUGUAGUAGACUAGUUUGUGGAAAAACAAUAAUAAAGAUUAACUUAUGUAAUAGAGACAUUAGUUAUUCAAAAACAUUAAUGCACCAUAAUACAAGGCAAAAAUACAACAAAGAAAUAAUUUUACUUUAGAACUAUAAUAAAGUUCAAAAUUUAAAAAGUAUUUUUUUUACCACAAGAUUGUAUAUUUGAUAAAUUAUGCAUCUUUUAUUCCAUGAAAAUAAAUAAUAGUCUAAAAUUAUGAUCCUACAAUAGCUAUAUUUAUUUUUUGAUCAAUUCAUAUUAUAUAUAAUUCUCUAUUAAAUGGAUAUAGUAGGAUCUUGUUCUAAUUGAGGUUGCUAUAUUUGAAAUAGAUAUCUUAAAGCAUAUUACAUAUGAUGCCAAUUCAAAAAUAAUCUAAACUAUUGAAAUUAUUUAUGAAAAAAUAUAAAGGGGUAUAAUUUGAAUUUAUCAUAUUACAUGAUUUAUUUUUAUUAGAAUAUUUUAAAAAUAUUUUAAUAUUAAAUUAAUAUCUUAUUGAAUAUUUUAUUUUAAUGACAUAGGUAUGUAAUAUAAAUAAAUGUGACAAGUAUCAUGUUUAUGAAGAGUUUUGCAUUAUAAAAUAUAACUAAAAAAAAAAAACAUUAUUUGAAGUACUUCAUAUUGCAAUGCAUAGAAAAUAUUUUUUUUGUAGAAAAUAUAUUAAUGAUCAAACAACAUCUUAUUUAUGAUAGAACUUUUGCAAAGACAAAAGUUUUAGCAAAAUAAACAAAAUCUGCUUUGAAAAAAAAUAAUAAAAAUUUAAAAUAUGAACUAAGAAAUCAUAAUUGGAUUGCUAUUAGUAACAUUGAUCUUUAGCUUUUAUUUUUGUAAUAUACUAAUAGACAUCAACUCUUUAUAUGGUAUCCCAAAAUACAUCUUAUUUGAUAGGUGUUUAGAAUAGUAUGCAGAUAAUUUUCAUAAUUUUAUAAAAUAUUUUGUAAAGUAAAAUUUUUAUGUUAUUUUUUCUAAAUAUGUACAUAUUUUGUUUUUUGGUUUUUUGGUUUUUUUUUUCCGACAAAAAUAAGAGUGGUCAACAAUCUAGGUUCAUCCAUAUAAAUCUAAAUUCUAAAUUCUAAAUCUUGAUACUUGGUGAAAAUUAAAUUCUAUCAAGAGUUAUGCUAUACAAUAUUGAUUGUCAUAUAUAAGCAAAGCUUAAAUGAUAUAUGUAUGACAACUUGCACAAUGCAAAUUAGAUUGAAUCAAAUGUAAGACAUAUUACCAAUGUGAAAAGGAAUUUCUAAAAAUAUGUGUAAGGAUUGUCUUCUAGGUACUAGAUUAGAAUUUACUAUUUAUAAAAAGAGAGUUAUAGAUGGAUGUAAAUUUUGUAGUAAUUUUAAGUUUUUUUGAUUUACAAGCAUUGAAAGUAUAUUAAAAGUUUAUUUUUAUUAUUAAAAAGGUUCUUUAAGAUAUGUCUAUUAACAUUAGAAAUUACAUUUAAUAAAAUAAAGAUUUUAUUUUAUAUCAUAAAGAAAUGCAAAAGAAAUAAAAUAAUAUAAAACAAAAAAAAGAAAAAAA